UAAAGAUGACGGUAAAGUCAAAAUAAAAAAUAAUUUUUAAUAGCAUAAUAUUAAAAUGAGUGUAUACAUAAUAAAAAAACUAUUAAAUUAUGUCUAUAUUAAAUAAUAAUAUAUUAUAAAAUUAAUAAUAAUUAAAAGGUAUUAAAAUUAUAUAUAUUAAAUGAUAAUUAAUAUUAUAUUUAUAUUAAAACGAUAUAAUAAAAAUAAUAGUAGUAAUCAAUAAAAAGAAAAAGAAUGUGACCCAUUAAAAUAUAUAGAUUGCACAACCAAAUUCUAAUACAAUAUCAUUUGAUAUUGAUUAAAAUAUAUCGUUAGUCCCUGGACUUUGACAAAUUUAAAAUUUAAUUUUCAUAUUUUUUGGUGAUUUGAAUAUUUCAGUCCAAUAAUUAAAAUUAUAAAUAUUCUUUUUUUUUAUUAAAAUUCGUUGUUUUAGAAUUCUGAUUAGGUUGUCUUUAUAUAGCGUGACAUAUAAUUGACAAAAAAUAAACAUGUUGAGUUGACAAAUAAUGAUAGAAGCAACCAUUGACGAUAAUGAUUGGAUUAGAAUUUUUAAAUUUAAAAAAGUAGGAGGAUUUCAUCUUUUUUAACUUUUAAAAUAUAGGGACUAAAUCUCAAAUUUUAUUAAAGUACGAAGAUUAAUAGUAGAUUUUAACCUUUGAUAUUUCAUAUAGUUAUAACCAUUAAAUUUUUAUAUGACAAUAGUUUAUCGUGUAUUUUCAUGCUUUGUUGAGUUUUUGUAUUUUGAUAUUUUGUUAGGUUGUAUUGUUUUUAUAGCAUCUCACAUUUAAGCUUCAUUUAGAUGAACGGUGAGAUUAAAAAGAGCAGUGGCAAUGAAAUUAAUUAUUGUAAUAGUGAGAGUAAUAAAAGCAAAAUUAGAAGUUUUGUUUAGGGGUUGAAAUAAAAUUAUAAAAUUUUGAAAGCUAAAGUUAAAAAUAUUAUAUUAAAAAUACUUAAAUUAAAUUAUUUAUUUUUUAGAAGGAUUAAAAUUUAAAAUUUUUAUUUAACUAAAGGAUUAAAAUGCUUAAAUUUAAUGCUUUCCUUAUAGGAGAUUAUUAUAUUGCACUUCUACCAUUUGGUAAGGGGAGCUAAGGCCUUGCCUUCCUCCAACGAUGUCUCUAGAUAGUGGUUAUUAUAAUGGUGAUAGGAUAUAUGUUUAGAUUUAAACACAGCGAUGACAAUGAGAAUAAACUAGAAAAUAAUCAUUAAAGAUAUUAAAUUAUAAUAUAUAUAAAUUAUAUUUAUGUUAAAUCAUAAUUAAAUAAUAUUAAAAGUAUUAUUAUAUUACAAUUAUAUGAUAUAAAAUAAUAAUUAAAUUCAUUUUUAUAUUAAAAAUAAAAUAAACAAAUAAUUAAAAUAAUAAUGAUGGAUGGGCUAGAAGAGUAAUUUUCCGCACCUCAAUGCAGGUGUGCCAAAUACACCCAUAAAUUGUGAUGCAUUUCAGUGAAUGGCAAUUUUAUUUUGGGAUGUUAUAUAAAUUUUAUUAGAUCAAUCAUCUAUCUCCGUUACGAGGUAAUUUAGUCGAUUGAGUCUUAAUUUAAUUGGCGUUGGUAUUAUUGUUAUUGUAGGAGGAUUUAGGUUCGAGUACGUCGUAGCACAUUAUCCUUCUAUUUAAGGAUUUAGAGGAGUUAUAGGUUGUUCUAGACAUUCUAUCAAAAAAAAAUACGAUAAAAACUUAUAACGAGUUUAAUAUUAAAAAAAUAAUUUUAAUACGUUAAUAAUUCCUUAGUUAUCUUAUUCAUAAUCGCAUUUAAAUUAAUGCAUUUUAUAAGUUUUGGUAUACUUUUGUAUAUUUUAUCACAAUAAUUAUUCGGUACACAAGUAGAAGAGCGGAUUGAGAUUAUGUCGCAUGUCUUAUUUAUUUAUUUAUUAAUUUUUUAAAUAUCUCUACCCUUACUUAUGAAGUUAAAUUAUUUUAGGUAUUCCAUAUAUAUAUAUAUAUUUAUAUUUAUACGUUAAUGUAUUAAUAUAUUAAUAUUUUGUAUUAUAUGAUCUUUUAGAUAUUUGUAUUUAAUAACUCACACAAUGUUUGUGCCGUGGUCUACUUCUUGUAGUGUUUAAUAUUUUUAGGUCUAGUUUUCUCCAAAUGUUUAUUUUGCUCCUCCUACCUAAGACAGUUUAUUUUAUCAUUUAAAAGCAUUAAAAUAUUAAUAAUAUUUAUAUUUUAAUACAUUAUAAUGUUAGAAUUAGAUUUAAAUAAAAUAUAUAUUUUAAAAAAAUUAAUGGCCAUCCUCAUUGAUUUCUUAGCAAGUUUAAUUUAACAUUAAAAAAUAUUAUUUAUUAUCGUAUUAAGUACUUACAAUCACUCCAAAUAUGUCGUAUUUGAGUUGUGGCAGAACUAAUUGUUAACAUGUCAUAAUGUUCUAUUGACACUGAAAUUAAACUUUUGUUGUGUUGAUAAGGUUUGUCUUUCACCAUAUACAAUAAGUGUUUGUUGUUGUUUUUUCGAAUUGUAUGAUCUCAUGGAAUCAGUUAAUGAAUUUCCAUCUCUUUUUUCUCUCAAUAAAACUUUAAUUUAAUGGCAAGAUUGAAAAUUUAGAAACUUUUAAGAUUCCAACUUUGAAUUUCAACUUAUUUUAUAUUUUAUUUAAAUAUAUUAUUUGUAAUUGCAAAUGAAUUAUUGAGUUGGGAUCAAUUUAAUUUCUUUCCAUUUAAAUUCAAAUUGAAUAACAAAUAUAUAUAAAUAUCAAUAGCGUAAACUAUAAAAAUAGUUACUUUUGUUUACCUUAGAGUACAUUUUAAUUACUUAUGUUUGAAAUGUUAUGUUUCAGUCACUUACAUUAUUGUUUUGUUAUGAAGUGAUCACUUUACCGUUAAACUCCAUUACCUCCCUGACGACAGUGCUACGUGAUAGUCUAAAUGAAUUUUAAAUGCCAACUUGGAUGUCUAGUUGUUGGGAUGAGAGAAGGUUUUUAAUUAAAUAAAUUUAAUUUAAACUACCACGUAAGACUGCCGUUAGGGAAAUAAGGGAGCUUAAGACCACUUGAUAACAAAACGAUAACGUAAGUGACUAAAACGUAACAUUUCAAAUAUAAGGGACUAAAAUAUAAUCUGAAGCAAACAAAAGUGACUAUUUUUGUAGUUUACCCAUAUCAAUAUAAUAUAAAAAAAAUUAAGAAAUAAAUGAAUGUGAUUAGAUUUUAAUUUCAGAAACAGAAAUGGAUAUGGUUUUGCAUUGAUUUAAGAUUUACUAAAAAGGAAAAGAAAGCAAAGAGUUAAAAGGGGUUCUUUUUGAAAGAUGAUGAAUUAAUUAGGCAGAAGCUUAUUAUAGUGAUGGAGAAAACCAAAAUGUAAAAUUUUUUAAAGCAUUUUCUUAAUUUGGCACCAACAAAUCACAGCAGUUGAAUUCAACGGUCAGUCCUUUUCUCGGAAAUUAAGUACUUUCCAUUUCCUCCUUUUUCCUUUCAUUUUCUUCCUUGUUCUUCCUCUCUCCUUCCCUCCCUCCCUCCUCAUCAUUGCCAAUCUCAAUUCUCCAUAAGGUAUUUUUUUUUAUUUUGGUAUUGGAUUGAAGCUUUUCAUUAUGAACAAUAUCUGGAAUUGUAUUUAAAUGUUCUUCUUAAUAUCGGGUUUUGGAUGAUAAAGCUGUUUUCAAUGGAUCUCAUAACUGGGUCUGGUUUUAAAUUCCAUGUGGGGUUUUUUUUUUAUUAAUAUUAAUGGGUUAGGUUUUAGGUCUUUGAAUUUUAUUAAUAUUAAUUGGUUAGGUUGAUGAUGAUGAUCCCCCAAGCAUUACACUGCACAUGUGAAUUGAUUGUAGUUUACUAUUUUGAUUCAAUUCUGAACUGUCUCCAUGUCCUCUUCAAUUUUUUGUUAUUAAGAAAUUCACAUUUUUUUAAAGGAAUAUGUUUUUGAUAUGGUUGCAAAUUCUUACAUUUUCAGAAUGGGUUUUGUUUUCUUUUUAUCUUGAUUUGUGUUGAAUGACUCGAAGCAAGGAACACCAAAUUGGCGAUUGUUUCGUGUGUUCGAGCAUAUGCAUUUGUGUGUGUUUCUAAUUUUAGUUGUUUCUAUACAUUUUUGAUAGUUUAGGAAGUUUGCUUAGCACUGAAUUUGUUGUUUUUUUUCUUUUGUCAAGGUGGGGCUAUUGCUGACUUGAUUGAUUGUUUCUUUAUGGCGUAAUCGUAGCUUGCCGCAUUGAAUUGGGGAUGGGAUUGUCAGCUUUGUAUUGCAAGGUUAAGAACUACUUUAUGCAUCAAUUAAGGCUUUUUGAUGUUCAUCCAGUUAUGAACCUUGUGGUAUCCUAGAGCAAUUGUUGUGGAAAUGGCUACAAACAGUACUUCACACCUUAAAAGGAAUUUGAAGGGCUUUACAUCGGCCCUAAAAUCUGCUGCUUGUGAAUGUUUUCUGAUUGUUCUGCUGUUCUUUUAUGCUGCCUUCUCGUACCUGCUGACAAGAUUUGCACAUUACUGUGGAUUGCAAGCUCCUUGCAUUUUAUGCUCUCGGCUUGAUCAUGUUUUCAGAAAUGAAAAACCUGGAUACUAUUGGAAUCUAUUUUGCAGCAACCAUAGAUCAGAAGUUUCAUCGUUGGUUUCCUGCAACAUUCAUGGCAAGCUGGUUGAUGGUCGUGGUAUGUGUGACAAUUGUCUCUCAUCAGACAUUGAGGAAAACAAAUCCAACUCAGAUAUACAGAGGGUUUCCUUAGAAAAUUUGGGGUUUGAACCUGCAUGUUUUGGAAAUUGUGAUUCCCGGAGCUCGUUUUUCAACAGGGAUCUUUCCCCUGCUUCUAAAAGUACUAGGUUUUGUUUAUGUUGUGAUAAGCCAUGGACUCCAAGAUCGAAUGCCCAAGGAUUACCCCCCCUAAAAUCACGUGGCGUUGCAGUUGCAAAGGCAAACUUUUAUUUGCCACGCCGCUUAAGACAUCGAAAUGGUCUGAAGAAGUCAAAGGAUAAGUUUUCUGCUCCAGCAUUGACUCAUAUAGGAAACACUGGAAUUGAUACAUCGCCUCAUGCAGGAUUCACUGAGCUGAAGAUCACUUCUGAAUCGGAGUCUGAGAUUCCAUUUUCUGAUGAUGAGGUUAGCAAUUGUAUGGUUCUUGAUAUGAACGAGAGUAAGAAAGAAUCUCUAGUUCACUCUGCUCCGGAAACUCCAUCUAAAAGACUGUACAACAAUUUGGUUAAAAGGAAACAGCCUGAUUCUAGUGAGCCUCAUGAUUUUAGAUAUUUUUAUCCCAAUGUCCAUAGUGAGAAUUAUGUCUGUGACCGUAAAGGACAGCUGGCCGAUAAGAAAACCAAUUCUUCAGUUUUGCCGGAGCUUAUUUCUCUAGAUGAUAUUCCUGCAUCAUCCUGCCUUGUGGGAGUUCCAAGUUAUAGUGCUUCGUUACUGUCUGAUCUUAUUUCUCUAGUUGAUAAGCCCCCUUCAGUUAACGUUAUGGAAACUCCUCUUGAAGCAUCAUCGCGAAAGCGUAAGUUAUCUCCCUUUCUGUGUGCAUAUGUGUAUGCAUGUAAAUGUUGGUCUUAUCUUAUAUGGCUUAAUGUCUUAAAUUUGCAAUGGCAGAUGUUACUGGUGCAAGUAAAAAUGAAAAUAUUUCUAUCAACAUGACCGACAAAAGCUUGAAGUCGAUAAGCACAUCAGCUGGAGCUGGUUUCGAAACUGAUCAAGUUGUGGAUGAUACUGCUGUGGUACAUUCUGCGCAUGAGGAUCUAAAUGCUGUGAAUACAUCACCAGUUUAUGGUGAAGAAAAAGGUGCCUCUGUGUUUGUUACGGAAGAACCAAUGCUGAGAUAUAAUAAGGGUGUUAGCAAAUAUCCAUCAUUGUCGGUUCAGAAUUCUUCUGGAGAAGGGAUUGAUUUAUCAUUUAACAAUGUAGGUUCUGAGUUCCCAGAUGACGACGACGACUUUGAGACAACUGAUGAAUCCAAUCCUUAUGGGGUUCAGAGUUUUGAUAAUCUAUUUUCUGCGGAAAGAAGUGAAUUUGGUAGCUUUGGAGUUAACGAAGAUCAGUCAUUGGCAGUUCAGAAUUCUUCUGAAGAAGGGAUUCAUUUAAGUCCUGAGUUACAAGGUCAUAGUGAUGACUUUGAGACAACUAAUGAAUCCGAUCCUUAUGGGGUUCAGAGUUUUGAUAACCUACUCUAUACAGAAAGGAGUGAAUUUGAUAUCCUUGGACCUUUGAAUGAAAGCACUUUCAGUGAAAUUGAAGGUGAAGAUCCAGUCGAUAGGCUGAAGCGGCAAGUUGAGCAUUAUCAGAAGUGCAUGGAUGGAUUAUAUAAGGAAUUGGAGGAAGAAAGAAAUGCCUCCGCAAUAGCUGCUAAUCAGGCAAUGGCUAUGAUUACAAGGUUGCAAGAAGAGAAGUCAAACCUCCAGAUGGAGGGCCUGCAUUACCUAAGGAUGAUGGAAGAGCAGGCAGAAUACGAUGGAGAUGCCCUGGAUAAAGCCAAUGAUCUUCUGGCAGAAAGGGAGAAAGAACUACAAGAUCUGGAAGCAGAGCUUGAAUUUUACAGAUUAAACUUCACAGAUGAAACACAGAUAGAGAAUUUAACUGGGGCAAGCAUCAACUUAAGCAACGGGCAUGUUUCUACCAAGACUACGAGCACAUUUUCCGUAAAAGAUGAUCUGAAAUUUCCCUCGAACACAAUGUUUCCCGACAGUGAUAAUCCUGUAGCCAAAUCUGCAUGGUCAGAAUUCGAGGAUGAGAAGUUGUACAUUUCUGAACGUCUGCGAGAUUUGGAGAGGAAAGCUAGCAAGUUUGCUCGUCAUGGUACUUUGCCACACAUUUCCGAUAGGGAAAGCUUGGAUGAAGCAGCAAAUGGAGGCCAACAUCAGCAAGAGUCCCUUGAUGAAAGUGCUCCUUCGCAAGAAUUGUCAAAUACUUCAGUAAGUGAAGAUCGAGUGGUUAGUAAGGGAAACAGUCAUAUGGUUUCCAAUGGGCAGAAGGGUUCUGAGAAUUGUAAUGAAACUGGUUUGGCCAGUGUUGAAAAUGAAAUUUCUGACCUUAACGAGAAGCUGGAAGCACUUGUGGCUGACUAUAAAUUUCUUGAGAAUUCUCUAAAAUCUCUUCAAAUUGGAAAUGAAGGUUUACUUCUUAUUCAAGAGAUACUUCAUGAGUUACGAGAAUUGAGGAAACUGGGGAUAAGGAGGAGGAACAUGUCUGCGUCAUGAGCAUUAUGUUUAUCAUUUCAUGGUAAGCAUUCUUUUAUAAAUGUCUCUCCGAAGAAAAUAGUCUCUUCUUGGUGUAGAUCUUGCACAUUCAGUAUAAACUUUUUGCAUGCCUUGACUGACUGUUGCGGAAAUUGCUUUAUGCCUCUCGUUGAUUAACACUGCCUCAUGUUUGUUUUGUUUCAAGUAAAUUGCUACCAUCUCAAGCUGAUCAUUUCUUUUUGGUUUUGUAACAAUGAAUGCUGUAUGGUCAUGGAUCUGCAAGAUAUAAUUAGAUUAACUAUGAAUGGUGCCACAUGUGAAAUGUGAGUUUUGUAGGAUUAAGAAUAGAAAAUAGGAAGCAAUGAAGAUAGGUAUUUGAGAGAUAACUGGAAGUGACUGUACCUGCAUCCUAUUUACCAUCCAUAAGAAACCCGGGUUUUGCAUCAUCAUGCUCGAACGUGCAUCAGAUGUUCAUAAUAUAUGCCAUAUUUAUUCUGAGGUUCUUAUGUAACAGAAUGAACUUCUACCAUUGAUCAUGUUAUCAAACUCAAUUUCAAUUUAGUGCUAUGCUGCUUCAACUCUUAAUUUUUCUUGAAAUACCUAUGAUUGACAUUCACGUCCGACAAAUAUCUAGAUAUUGAUAUGGGAAUAUUGACUGUAUCCAACAUGCACUUAAACUCGAGUAAUGCAAACUUAAUGCCUUGCUCUGUUUAGUUAAUCAGUUUUUCUUUGUUUGACAUCCUAAACCUUUGGUUGUAUAAUCAUGAUCGACUACAUGACAUUUAUAUUUCAGGUGCAGUCAGAUUGAGGGUAAACUGAGAACCAUGAAGUUUGAUUCAAGAGUUGCAGGAUCUCAGCUUACCACGAAAUUGUGAAUAACCAAGAUCGGUUUUACAUGCUAGCCACCUAUGUUAUCCCCACUCUUUAUUUAUUUUAAAGUAUCCGUAUCCGACAUUUGUAUUUGAUAUAUAUUCGGGCAUGGAUAUGAGGUUUGUUCCUACAAUGAAAAAAAAAUUUAGAAAGUUGAGCUUACUCCCAUGUCCGACUAAGAGUAAUAUUGGUAGGUGGGAGUAAAAGUGUAAAAGUAAUUUUUUUUUAUUGCUUCGGCAAGGGUUACAUUUGUGGUAUUUUUUUGAAGCAGUGUGAAUAGGUUUCAAAGCGGGUGAUUUUUUGGUCUCAUUUACUUCCAUUGAUUUUUUUUUUUUUGAGGUUUGUUCACAUUUCAUAGUAAGCCAAUCCUACUUCAAUUGGAAAUUCAGAACUUCUCAAUAUAAAUAGUUUAUUAUUUUCACAACUUCUUGAUAUCUUGUGCUGUUUUGAUUCUUGAUUCUAUUCCUUUUGCUUGAUAUCUUUAGUACAUAGAUGUAAGGAGAAUAGAUUGUAUGAAAUUGUGAUUCCACGUCAUCUCAAUCCCUUUCUAUAGGAGAAUGAAAAAUAAAAUUUUUACUCCUGAUUUUAAGUUUUUUCCUCUUGGAAAAAAAAUUCAAAUCAACUAAAAAUGCCAAAAAUCAGAAGAAGAAAAUUUGAUUUGUUAUUCUUCUAUUGGAAAGGAAUAGCGAUGAUGUGGAAUCACAGUUUCAUGCAAUCCUUUCUCAAAUGUAAGAUGCUCUAUGUAUAUAAAAAUUGUUUAGAAAAGAUCCAACAUAUUUAUUUCCGGAGUGAGCAUAAUCCGAAUCGAUAUUAUUAUAAAUAAAUUUUCAACUACAACCAUUGUGCAAUGGUUUCAAAGAGAGAAGUCCUUGAAAUUGGUCACAUAGGUGGCUAAUCUCAGUCAAAACAAUCUCAAAGUAAACAAAACAGCAAAAGAGAAGUAGAAGAAACACAAGAAUUAGAACCACCAAAUGCUCAUUAAAAUGUAGGUUAAAUGAGUCAAAUAAAUCCCAACUUAAAGCACAUAAUUUGGCAUGAUUUUGGAAUUUAAUUAUAAUAAUAUUAGUAAAUUUUGUUUAUUUUAUGUCGUGAAGAUACUAAAAUUUAAGCUCAGUUUGUGCAAUUGCGCCGGAAAUAUUCAACUUGGCGUAGAGCACGGCGCCCUUGAGGAAAUUUGAGCAGCAAAAAAGAGACUUUCUUGAUCAAGUUAUCUACCAUGAUAUUUUUAAUAAUUAUUUGUUAAUUACGAAAUAAUAUUUGAUAUAUUGUUAGUAAAAUUUAAAAAUUUCACAAACAAGAUGAGUUAGACAAGUAUAAUAAAAAAAUUAAAAAUAAAUGUAUUAAAGAAAUGAAAAAAGUGGCAAUUUAUAAAUAUACUCGUGGAAUUAAAAAAUGCAUUAUCAGUGUAUCAAAUACUCACCAUUGAAUGAGGUGUUCUAGUUCAUUUAAAAUUAUUAUCUUUAUCUUUUAUUUUACGUUAAGAUUUUUUUAUUAUUUUAAUUAUUAUAUUUUUUUGGGUAAAUUAAAUAACUUUACGCACACUAUUAAGAUAACGUAUUAGCCCGUGUAACGCUAAUAUAGUCUGCUUGUACUAAAUCUUGUACAGAAUAAGAUUGAUCUUCAAAUACUUGGUAAAUUAUUAUAUUUUUUUAUUAUCUUUAUAGAAUGAAGUUGGAAUAAAACUCCUCUAUAAGAGAUAACUUUUGGCAAUAGUUAAAAAAGAACUGAAUAUGAAUUUUUCUUUUUUCUGUGUAAUAUUCUGAAGAAAUGAUUCGUUGAAAUAAUGAGUCACCAUUGAUAUCAACACAUCUGGGAUCGCCAAAUGUACAGGAGUUCCUCUAUUCAAUCCCUUUCCUUCUUGUUGCUGGAUAUCUCGUUCGUACACAUCUUCUCUUUGUUUCCCGAGCCUUAGUGAGUUACAGACAGAGUUCGAAAAGGUCAAAUCUUUGAUGAUUCCAUCAUACAUGAUUGAGUUGCGAAAACUUCUGGAUAAGUAUCUAGAAGAAAUACGGGGUUUUGCUUUUGACGACAACAUGCCAUGGGGUGGUGGUCUCGCUUAUGGGGUCAAAUCAAUACGUUUUAAAAAAGAAAUAUUUGAAUAUCAAUCUCAUCGAUGUCAUCAAUCUCAUAAGUAUCAUACCAAAUCUGAUCAAUCGAAUCAUUUUUUUAAGAAAUACGAGACAUCUAAGUCAUACAAGUAAAUAUAUCUAUUCAUUGAUAAGGAAAAGAAAAAACGUGAGCGGUGAUUAGAUUGAUGAGAAAAGAGAACAAUAAUCAUAGGUACUUCAAGUUUGUUGUAGAACAAUUUUAUUUAUGUUUUAUUAUUAUAUUUUAUAGCAGCAAUGAUCAUAAAGUAUGAGAUGCAUUUUUUAUUAAAUUACUUCUCUAUAACAGUUUACUAAAUUACUUUUGCAUUGUAGUCACUUGUCUUAAGUUUUAAUAAAAUUAAUUUUAUUCCUAAGUGAAAUAAAAAUAAUAAAUUUUGGUUAAUAUAUUAUUUCAAUAAAAUGUUUAAAUUUUAUAUAAAAAUGUAUUAAUCAUAUGUUAUUAAAUGAAGGCUAUCUUUAAUAAAUGGAAAUUAUUAUUGUAAAAUUUAUUAAAAAUAUAAUUUAAAUCUCAUCAAUUAUUAUAAAUUAUAUUUUUUAAAUUUGAGAAUUAAAAAAAAUUAAAUAUGAUCUAAAUCUCGAAUGUUAUUAUAGAUGUCUCGAAUGAAAUUAUAAGUGUAUAACAACUAUCACUCGAUAAUAUUCAAAAUUUUAAUAGGCAAAUAUUACUAUUAUAAAGAGAGUUAACUAUAAUUUUUUUCGAGAUUCUCUUAAUUAUGAAUUUUUUUUAGCGAAGAGUAGAUAGAAGCUCAUUCUUACUAGAAUUGUGAGGUUCAAAGUGUUCUUCAUUCUUUUCUUACAUAUAUGCUCAUUCUCUGUUUUAUAAGAAAGGUGCUCUUAGUAUCAUUUCAAGUAUGAUCUCUUAUUCGAUAUUUAAGAUAAUAAUCCGUUAAUUAGAGUAAUUAGAUCCGUAAUUAUCUCUUUAUUCUAAUAAAUAGAACAAGUUAGCAUAAUUCGAUUGAGAGAGUAACUGGGUUAUGUUAUGGGAGUGAGUUAUCUAAUUUAAAUAAACCGCACGGUUAGAUUUAUUAAUUAGAGUCAAAUCUUUCUAAUUAGUAAGGUGAUUAGUGAAUAAAUCAUCAUAAGGUCUCUUAUGCUUAUCCAUCUAUUUUGAUGGUACAAUAUAUCUCAUGGUAUAAUGUUAUAAUAUGUGGCACAUUUGAGCUUUAUAAUAUUGGAAUAAAUAUUAAAAUUAUACAUGAAUUUUAUUUUAAUGUGCAAUUUGAUAUAAGAACUUUCAUAUGAUGUAAUCAUAUACAUGAAAGUUUGUUAUCAAUAUGUAUGGUCUUGGACCAUCAAAAAUGAUUUUUCUUUUGAGUUUGGCUACUUUAUUAAUUCACUUACCUCUAUCACGUCAAUAUUAAUCACCACUGUCGGAAGUUUUGUUCUUAUUUAUAGUGACAAUUAUAUGUCUCAUGAUCAAGAAUAUUUGAGAUUUUUUUGCUUAUAUGAGUCUGUUCAACACUUCAAUGUUGGGAUUAGUUACUAGUUUGAAUUUGAUACAAAUUUAUGUUUUUGGGGAAUUAGUUGGAAUGUGUUCUUAUUUAUUAAUAGGUUUUUGGUUCACACGAUCUGUUGUGGCAAACGCUUGUAAAAAAAAGUUUGUAACUAAUAGAUAGGCGAUUUUGGUUUAUUAUUAGGAAUCUUAGGUUUUUAUUGGAUAAUGGGAAAGUCUCGAAUUUCAAGAUUUGUUCGAAAUAUUUAAUAACUUGAUUUAUAAUAAUGAGGUUCAUUUUUUAUUUGUUAAUUUAUGUGCCUCUUUAUUAUUUUCCGGCACAAUUUCCUCUUCAUGUAUGGUUAUAUUACCUGAGGCCAUGGAGGGGCUUACUCCUGUUUCGGCUCUUAUACAUGCUGCCACUAUGGUAGUUGCGGGAAUUUUUCUUGUAGCCUAUCUUCUUCCUUUUUUUUAUAGAUAUACAUAUACAUAUACUCAUUAAACUUUGAUUUUAAUCUAAUUGCGCACAUUUAAAAGGAGAUAAAUAUAUUUGUUUAUUUUUAUAUUUGAUUAAUAUAAUUGUUUGUGCUUACAAUAUAUAAACGUAAAGUGGUACUACGUCGAUAAUGUUGCUAGUAGUUUAUAAAAUUUGAAUCAAAUUAAAAUAUCAUAUAUAAAAUUGUAUAAAAUCAAAAUUCAUAUAUAACAUUGCAUAUUAAACUAAAAUUCAUGUGUAGUUUUAAUAUUCACCCACAUAAUAUUCAACAUAGAUCCAAUGCUUUCAUAAGCUUAAAAUUAGCAAUCGGCCUCGAAAAUUCCAUAUAAAAUCAGGUUUUCAAUAAUUUUGCAUUUCAUAUUCCAUUUCAAAAAUAAGAAUUUUAUGAAAAUUCAAAAACAAAAUCCGAAAUUAGAAAUGUCAAAUGGAUCCUAAAAGCAAACUUGAGUUACUUGAGUUGACGAAUCUUAUUUUAACAACUGAACUCAAUUUGAUUUUUUUUUAAUCGAAUCGAAUCGAGUUAAAAAAUUUUGAGUCGAGUUAAUGAAUCCUAUUAUUUAUACUCAAUGUGGUAUUUACGUGGACUGAUUAUUUAACUACAUAAACAAUAUAAUGAUUUUGUCUUUUAACUUAAUGGGUAAACAUUUAUCGAAACGACGAAGUUUUGCCUUUUUCUUAUUCAGAUUUUCAGAUAACUCGAAUUGUGUAAUUCAUAUUCGAGUUAAACUAAAAAUUUUAAUUUUUAUUCGAAUCACUCGAACUAUUUAAUUCAAUAUUUAAAUUUUUAUCAAAAUUUUCGAAUCGAAACAGAUUUUACUCACCUAACUAGAAAUUCAUAAAUAUGGCGACAAGUAGAUGGACAAAACGUCGCUAAAACAAAUAAUCUGGGUGUUUGUUUUACAAACACAAUUAAAUAUAAUUUUCAAUCAAAGUAAUUUUUUGUGACGGAAGGAAACAAAUGUAUAAAUUUAGGGAUAAAAAAAUUUCGAUUCGAUUUGAAAAAAAUUAAAUUUUGAGUUAAUCGAAUCGAGUUAUUUGAGUUUCAAGUUCGAGUCAAGUUGAAUUUUACAAUUCAAAUAACUUGAAUAAUUCGAAUAACAGAUUAGUGUAAAUACCUCUUUGAUCCCUGUCAAAUUUGAAAAUGAGCAAAUUGAUCUCUCUCAACAAAAAACAAAAAAGAAAUUCAAAAUACUUAUAAAAAUUAUAAAAAUAUAUAUAUUUUUUAAAAAUUUAAAGAUUCUAAAGAAUGUAUAAACAAAGUUAAAAUUUUAAAAAUUUUCUAAAAUAAUAAUUUUUAGACCUAAAUAAGUUAAUUAAUUAUUUAAGUUUAUCAUACUAAAAUAAUUUUAUUUUAUUAUCAUUUUGCUUUGAAAAAGCUUUCAAUUUCAUGUGUUCUAACAUGAAAUUAGUUACACUGUAACAAGAUUUUAAUUUGACAUGUUUAAUUUUUUAAUUUAACUCCAACAAUUUCACUCGAUUCGACUCAACUCGAAUUUCAUUUCACUUGACUCGAUUCGAAAAUAUUUCAAAUCAAAUUAGGAUGAUAAAAUGGAACUCGAUAACUCAAUUUAUUCAAAAUAUUUUCACUUGAUUCGAUCGAAUGCUAAUCCCUAUAUAAAUUAAUAGCAUAUUAUAACGUCGCUAAAGCUAAAAAAAGCGUCGUUAACUUGUUGCGUUUCUUGUAACAAACUCUCCAAUCUCUUGAAUUGCGAUGCUUUUUAAGGCGAUUUUGCUAGGGCGACUAUUUUUUAGUAGUCGUUUUAAGAACAGCAAUAGGUAAUAAAAAAGGGGGACGUCUAGAUGCAGCUUUUGUUGUAAUGUUCAGUUUGUAUAGUACAACAACAAACACAUGUUCAAAAUUUUCAAUUAUUUGGCAUGAUUAGCCAAGUCAUCUUAAUCUUGAGAAAAAUACGAGCACCCGUUAAAGAAUCUGAAGAUUUUUCAAUUUAAAUAAUUUUCAUUUGUUGCUUGUUUUCAAAGAAAAAUUACUUAUUAGAAUUUUACCAGCUAAAUCUGACUUUAAAUCUCUCAUAUUUUUAGAAUAAAUAUGGGCUCAUCUCAUCCAUCCACCAUGUGGAAUGUUAUGAAAUUAUAUGAUUUUGAUAGAUGUGAGUUAUUAACCCACAACAUGUCAUUUGUGAGAUUAUUUGCUUAAAAAAUUAAAAAGGAAAAUUACAACGGACGUAAUUGAGACAAUUUUGCUAAUGUUGAUUAGUUUAUAUCUUAAGCUUUUAAUGAUAUUGUAUGUAAGUUGAAACAAUAUUCUGUUGCAAAGCCUAUUGCUUAUACGCAAAAUUUAGUGAAAGUAUUAAUUAAACGCCUCUAAUUAAUAGUUAAAUCAUUACUUGUGAGAACACGGAUUCUCAUACAUAUAUGGAGAUAUAAUAUUUUAUAUGCAGCAACACUUAUAUGCAUUAAGCUAAUAAACUAACCCCGUUACAAUUCCCUUAUGGCUAGGAAUCACAUGUUUGUAAUUUUUAGAUGUGUGAUAUAUAUUUCGAUUGCUUCACGAUAAUGCAUAAAAUGGGUUUUAGAAAAUAUUUGGAAUAAUAUUAACUAUGAAUCUUUUUAUAAUUAUCAAAUAUUCUGAAUUGUUAAUUAGAGGUUUAGUUAUGAUGUGACUUGUCAAUUAUUUUAGUGAGAUAAUUUUUUCAACAUUAAAUAACUAGAUCAAUAAACUCUUGGGAUUAAUUAUCUAAAUGCUUUAAAGUAAUGUGAACCAUAAUUCAAAAGCAUUGAUAGAGUAUUGAUCCAAACUGAUGACCUAAAGGUGGUUAAAUUCAUUCAAGAAAGUCAGCCGGCAAGUGUGAAUUCAACCUUGGUAAAGAGGAUUCUACAACUGUUAAAGCGGAUUGAAUAUUGAAGAUAAGGUAUGUUCCAAGAGAGGAGAACAGAAUUGCGGAUUUAAUAGCUAAAAUGACCUCCAACAAGAAGGAAGAUGUUUAAGUUUUUGAGGAACUUCCCGAGGAGAUUCUUGAGGAGGAAUACAGUGAAAAAUCAUUGUAUUUUUACUAUUUUUCCUUAAUAACAAGAGCACAAGUCCCCCAUCAUUUGAUGUUGAAAUUUUAUUUGUUAGUUUAUAGUUUAGAGAGAAAAAGUUGGGAAAGUGUUUGAAUUCCAAAGUUUUGAAAAAAAUGUAGGAUUUAUAUAGUAAAUAUACCAAGUCAAAGUUCUCCUUAUAACUGGUAGACUUUUUUUGUCGGCCAAAAUACUAAAUAAAUUUUAAUUCCAAAUAAAUUGCAAGUUGAUAUAAUAAUAAUUAAACCAAUAGGAGUCUUACGUAAUGAAUUUCCUUUCUUUUUCUUUUUACUUUUCUUUUGAGUUAAGCUUAAUUUUUUAAAAAAUAUAUAUAUUGUUGAGUAAUUUUUCAUUGUACCUCAUUAGAGGGGAUAAUCAAAUAUUUAUAUAUAUGGUUAUUGUUCAUAAAAUUGACGUUCUCAGUAGACUCUAUGCAUGCAGGACAUGUGUACUGUUCUGGGUUGCGUGUUAGACUUCAUGGCCCCCACGUGCAAACUCCUUGAGUAUAUGCGAGCCGUGGCAGUGAGCUCUCGUUGUUGACUUCUCACUGUAAAGCUUGUGCAUAUCCAUCCAGUAGAGGCCUCCACAUGCGAACUUCUUGAUUAUAUGCGAACUGAGACCGCGAGCACCUCGUGGCAUGUGCGAGCUGAGGCAACGAGCUCCCGUUGCUGACUUCUCAUUGUAAAACUUGCAUGUAUCCAUCCAGUAGGGCUUAGCCAGGUCGCAGAUAGGCGACCUAGACCUUAUCUGAUUCUCGAGUUGAUGAUCAUAAGUACAUAAUAUAUAUAUUCAAUUUCAUCCAAAUCCAAACAAAAACAUGGAUCAAUUUGCCACAAAAGUACCAAGGAGAUAUAGAAAUUAUAGUUACCUUCCUCGAAUUCCUAUUAAAAAUUUUUGCCAAAAUUUUUAAAUGAAAAUAUUAAUUUAAAAAAUUGGAUUUUGAUUUUAUUUGUCAGAAAUUAAAAUGCAUACGUUUUAUAUAAAUUAACUAAUAUUUUUUAUAUAUCAAAAGGUGUUAAUGUCAAUUACACGUCUCAAAUGCAACGCUACCGUUCUACAACUUAUUUUAUCUAUUGACAUUUUUUGAUUUACGCAUUUUGAUUAUUUAUUUUAAUGCUUUUUUAUUAUUUUGAGCAAUAAAUCUCGAUAUUAUAAUUGGAGAAGAGAUUGAAUCAAGAAUAUUUUUCAAGGGUUCUAGUACGAUUAUUUGUGUAAUUUAACUGAUUGUGGAUAAGUUAAAAUCAAGAAUAUCUCAUUUAUUUUAUUCCAUAAUAACUUAUUUGAUUAGGGAGAAAUUUCAUAUAUUCAUUCAAAUCAAACUACGAUGCUUAUAUAAAGACUUGUGUUUCAACUUUUGGCGGAGAAGGUGAGAUCGCUUAUAUGUUCAAUGCUAGGAACCUGUUUUUAGGCAAUUACUUUGUAAACAUUGUUCUUCAUAUUCAAUUUGUCGUUUAAGUUUUUAAGAGAAAAGUCUUAGUGAGGAAUUGAUGUAUAGGAAUGAGAUUGCAACUUGACAAGUAAGUUGAAUUUAAAUAACGUCUUAUGCUUUUAAUUCAUAGCAGAUUACUUUCUAGAUAAAACCACACAGAAGUAGGAAAUUUUCUUAACUGUGUAAUUAACUUUUGUGUACAUCUCCAAUUGUUGUUCUUUUAAUUAGUAUAACCAGUUGCAAUUGAAUGUGCAACCGAAAGACAAUUUCACUGAAAUUUCAAAAAAAGAUAUAUGGAUUUCAAAUCAACCGCCAAAUAAGCAAAAACAAACUCAUGAGCUUGAAAACAAGUAUGAAAAAAAUUAAAUUUACUCGCAUUUUUAAAGAUAAAUUUUAAAAUUACACAUGAAUUUUUAUUUGUUACAAUUAUAUAUAUAAUUUUGAUUUUGAUUUUUAUUCUUCACAUUUUUUUAAAAAUAAAUCAAUUUGAUUAUUUUCAUAUCGAAUAAAUAUAAUUAUUGAUACAUGCAAUAAGUAAACUUAAAUGAUGUCAUGUGUCAUAGUGUUAAACUUUGUGAAAACCAAAUCGAAAUAAAAAUUUUAUGUAUACAAUUUAAAAAACAAAAUUCAUAUAUUAUAUUGCAGAAAAAUAAGCUAUGAUAAGCCCUUAAAUUUCAACCUUUGCAAAGCACUCAAUUAAUCCAAGAAUUUUGUCACUUGAGGGAUGAUUGGUUCAUAGAAUGUAAAAUUAUUUUCAGUAAUAGGAUUAUUUAAUACAUUACUAAGUAUGUUAUUUACUUUAUUUAGCUAAAAUUUAAUAUUUUAUUAUUUAAUUGAUUUAUUGGAAUUGCAUUUUACUAAACUAUUUUUAUUAUAAAAUUUGUUUUUUUUAACAAAUUUAUUCCCCCCCAAAAAAACCCCUUAAAAUGCCAAAUUAGACUAUGCUAGGAAUCCGAUUUUUAACAUAAGAAAAAAAAAUAAAAGAAUAAUUUUUAUUUUUAUUUUUAUAAUUAAAAUAAAAAAUUUUCUUAUCCAAAAUAUGAUAUUUGAAAAAAUUUACUUGACGGCGGCACAUUAUUAUGUUUUUUUUUAACAAUCACAUGAUAAGUUCUUUUUUUUUUUUUUUGACAUAAUACCUAGAACUAUCCAUAAUCUCUCCCCAACCUAUAAACAAGAAGAUAAUGCACUUCAACGCAUUCAAACAAACGUCUUCCUACAUUAACAAUAAUGCACAUACCGGUCGAAUUAAGACUCAAUCAACUAUUAUAUUUUGAAAGCUACUUCCUAGCAAAGAGGAAAUUCCUAGCCACAUAAUAUAGUCAAAUAUGGCUGCCAUUUAGUUUUCCUUUAAACGAAAACAUGCUGAAGAAAAGGAAAUAAUUCAGGGUUGAUAAAAGAUAUAUAUGGUGAUUUGAAUAUCAUACGAAUUUUUCUUAAAUUUUCUUUAGUUUUUUCUAUAGAAAGCUUGACUUAUGUUUGAGUAAAUAAUUUUUUUUAAAUGAAGAUUAAAGAAAAAAAUAUUAUGUGAAUCUUAAUAUUAUGUGCUUUUUUCCCAAAAUUAUUGUUUAAUUUUGAAUAUCAUAUGCUUUACCUAUGAAUUAUUGUUUAAUUAAUUAAUGAGAGUAACUAAAAGAGACUAAUAGAAAGAGGAGAUAUUGUAGAAUGGUCACUAUUGUCAUCUCUUCCUCUAUGUUCUAUUGUUUGUAAACUAAAUUAACUUUCAAUUUUUAAAUCUCAAAUUUUUUUUUUUGUUAUGAGUUUAAUUUAUUUUAUCAAAAAUAUUACUAACAAUUAUUUAAUUAAUUUAAUAUUACUGUUUUGAAGCUUAUUUGCUUUGUUAUUUGCGAUUUAAAUUGUCAUUUCGGUAGAAAAUUUCACUGAGGUCAUUUAACUUUCAAUCAAAUUCUUUUUUUUUCCUUUACAUGAUUUUAGGUUUUAUUUCCAGCUAUGACGAUUAUAUCAAUUUGGUGGACUAACUUACCCUUUAGCGUUCUUUUAGUAGCUGACUUAAUUAUUUGGUUAAUGGAUUCAUAUUUUAUAACAAGGACAAUAUAGUAAAAUUUAUUUUUAGGUUAUCUUACAUUUCAGCUAAAUGAACCAAAUAAGGUAAUCUCACAUUCCACCCGUAAUUUUACACCCCAUAAUCAUAUUAUAGAACGUAAUUUACGAUUCGACAAACCAAACACCCUCUUAGGGUUAAUGUUUUGUUAGGUUUUCUCAUAGGAACCUUACACUCAUGGAUAGUGAGGUAAAUUUAAAUUUUCAUUUCCCUCUUCAAAUAAUCAAAAAUAGAUUACGAUGUACAUUGAUGCAAAUUACAAUUUACAUUUUUUAAAAUUUUUACGAAGAUCUCAACCGCCAUGAAUGCCAAGUUCUCUUUAAAUAUUAUCCACACCUGUUACAAAAUAAAUUAAAUUAAAUUAUCAUAAUUAAAAUUUUAAUGUUUAACAAAGAACUCAAUAUUAAUUUACUAAUUGAGUCUUAGUGCAGUUGAUAUCAGCAUUAUUGUCUAGAGCAGGAAGACGUGAGUUCGGACGUACUAAAGCAUAUUUAUUCUCUUAUUUAAAGGUGGGUAGAAAUUAUAGAAAAUUUUAAGUAUGAUGUUAAAAUACAAUAACUCAUAUCAAUUGAACUUUUUUUUUUGGUAACAAGAAAUUGAAUUAUUAAACUAACAGGAUGUAGCAGGAGUCGAAAGCACAGACAUGUUAUCCAUCCUUAACUGGUGACGGACUAAAGAGGGAGCCCUAUGGAACAUAUGGACACCAAACAGGAAAUCCUUCAUUAUUCCGGCCAACAAGUGAGUGACAAAAUUCACUACCUUUAGGAUCUGCUCAAAGACAACACUCCAAUCUCGACUGCAUAACUCAUGAAUUCUUAGAACCAAAUCUCUAUGUAAAUACCCUCUUAAGUCACCAUUGAUCUUUCUAAUAGCAAGUGCACAAUUCAUUUCAACAACGAUAUCUCUUCAUUUAGCACCCCACACCAUAAUAAGACCUCAUAAAUUAUCCAAAGCUCCGCUUUCUCUGCACACACUUACCAGUAUUUUUACCUACCACAUACACCCAAUUGUCAUAUUCACCUCUCAUCACUGCUGUUGAUGCGGCUAAACCUGAAACUGAAUUACUAAUACCGUCAAUAAUGAAACCUGAAAGAGGUGGGCUCUCCUAUUCCGUCUUCUGGUACCUUAAUAAUUCUAUAAUCAUUGCCUCCAUCUCAAUGGUGUGCAAAAAACUCGCCACUCUCCCAAAAGAAUUUUUUUUUUUUAGAAAUUAAUUUCCAGAAAAACCUAUUUUAAGUUUUAAUUAUUUUUUUCUACAAUAUUGAUGUAAAAAAAAAUCUAGAACUUACUACAUAUACAUGAGAAAUUAUGUACAUUUGGGUCUAACCCAGCCGCCGUACGUCAUCUCUAAUUCUCGCCUUAAUUUCCUUUUUUAUUAUUAAAAAAAUCCUUUUCCCCAUAAUUUUAAUUCUUUUAAGAUAUUUUGUCCUUUAGUUCUUGCCUAUAUAAUUAUAAAGCGUAGGGUUCCUCAAACCUUUAUUGGAUCAAAUCAUAGGUUUAUCAAGAUCACUUGUCAGUUUAAAGCAUUUACAAACAGAACGGCCUUCAAUGGAGGAGUUCUUUCAAUAUCAUUCAAGCUCUCAAUCACUGUUUCGAUUGCCGUCGCCGUCGACGGAGACUUUGCCAGGCUUCUGGGAUGAGCUUCUUCUCAACUUCAAUGACUUCGAAGAAAUGGUUUGGGAUGAUAUGGCUGCGGCGGCCCUGGAUAAGUCCAAGAACUCCGUUAAUGGCGUAAAGGAAGAACGUGUCACAUCGGAUAUUCCUAAAAUGGAAGAGUUACCCAAGGAAGAGAAAGCUUACAGAGGUGUAAGGAAGCGACCGUGGGGGAAAUACGCGGCUGAGAUUAGGGAUUCAACGAGAAAUGGAGUUAGGGUUUGGCUUGGAACAUUCGACAGUCCCGAAGCCGCCGCUUUAGCUUACGACCAAGCGGCGUUUUCGACGAGAGGACCAUCGGCGACGCUCAAUUUCCCGGUGGAAGUCGUCAGGGAAUCGCUUCGGAGCAUUAAGUACCGAUGCGACGAAGGGUGCUCGCCGGUGUUGGCGCUGAAGAAAAGACACUGUUUAAGGAAAAGAUCGAAGAAGAAUAAGAUGGUGAGCCCACAAAAGGAGGUAAUUUCAAGAGAGACACGACAACAAAAGAACUUGGUCGUGUUGGAAGAUUUAGGAUCUGAUUACUUGGAACAACUUCUAACUUGUUCAUCUUGAAACCUCACUCAGGUUCUUUUGUUUCAUAUAUAUAUCUAUACCCGUUUCUUCACUUUCAAACAAUAUUGUUCUUAGUUCUUCUUGGUUUCAUUGAAUCUUUGGAGGGGAUGAUUUUCCAUGGCUGUUAACUGCUUCUUCCAUGGAUAAAAUGUACUCUUUUUUUUCUUUUUUUUUUUUUUUCUCAAUUUUAAGUUUUUGUAAUGUUAAAAUAUGGAAAUAUAUGAGUUUUACACUAAGGUAAAUAGAUCUCUUUAUAGUGAUAAUAUUAUAUACUAAAUAUAAUAAUUUAUCUUUUAAUUAAUUUCAAAGUAUUGAAUAAAAUUAUGGUAUAAACUAGGAAUCCACUUAAAUUAAUAUUUUAACAAUAUAAAAAUAAUAUAAUUUUUAAUGUAAAACAACAAUAUAACUAUUGGGUUUAGCAAUAUUUGAAAAGAAGGCUCUAAUGCUAAUCUUAACAAGAAAAAGCUUUUUUAUUCUCCCUAACUCUUUCAUUUUGUUUUCUUUUAUGCAUAAUUGCAUCGGAGUUCAUUGUCAAGUUAAUCUAGUAAUGAGUAGUUAGGAUGUAAUUUUCAUAUUAAGUGUAUAAGGUUUUUAUAGGCAUAUUCAUAUAUAACAAAUAAUUAAAUAUUUUUUAUUUUCUUAUCAUACUUAAAUCGUGACAAAUUCAAUUAUCAACGGUUAACGUGCUAUGAUGUUUUAUUAAUAUUUUUUUAAUUUUUUUAAAUCAAAUGAUACCAUUCCUAUAAUAGAUUUCCUUUUAAAAACUACUAAUAAUCAUUGUAAAUAAUAAUCUUGAAAGAAAUUCAUUGGUUAUUGACCAUUGACCAGGCUUGUGGAAUUCAAGCAAGACCAUUGAGUCAUAAGGUUGAACCUAAGCUACCAGAUUUGUCUGAAUCUAACUUUGACAUUUACUAGUUACAACAAAUAUUUAACUUCAAAACCCAAAGUUAGAAUUAAUUGAUUCACGAAUCAGCAUAAAUAGAUUUUUUCUAAUUUUUAACAUGUUUUUAAUUUUAUAAUAAUUAUUUUUAUUUAAAAAUCCAUCUAUCUAAAGAUGGGAUAGUGAAAAGGAGGCGAAAGUGACCAUCUGUCCCUUUACAGGUAGUGAUGUUCAAAUCAUCUAAACUUAACCCUAACUUUUGCAUUUUUUUAAAAAUAGAAUUGAUGGGAAAAUAUUAAAUAAAUAUUGCUACGUCUGCAAAAUCAUCUAGUUUGAAUAGGUUGUUCAUUAGCUAAGCUCCAUGCGAUCUGAUCUGUAUUCUUCAAACAAAUUAAUCAUUUACACUGGUUCAUGCAUCUUACCCCAGAAUAUUUCAAACAAAUUUGUAUAUCAAUGGCCUCAUCCAUGAUGAUGAAAGAUCAGAUUGGAUUAUUCAGUUUAAUAAAAAGUAAUUAUAACAUUAAUCAUUUACUAAGUUAAUUUUAUCUGUGGUUAGGUUGAUGCCACGUAAUUUUUUAGGCAUUUAUUAGUUUUCCAUAUGCUUUCAAACUUUUUUUUUAAAUGUGUAUUUAAAUUGAACUUCAACCCUAAAUGCUAUUCGUUUUUCAGAAGAAUGUUGGUCAAACGAAGAACAGAAGUAGAAGGGAGAGAUCAGUGUCAGAAAACAACAAAAUAGACGGACUCAGUAAGAUUCAAGUUUGCUAUCAUGUAAACCCAGAGAAUCAAGAAACACCUAAAACCCCAAAUCCACUCAAAAUCAUCCCAGAAAAUUAAAAAAAAAUCUAAUAACAAAAGGAUAUUUUACACAUACUGUAUGCCAUGCUUCUUGUCCCUGCCUUUCCAUUGUUUCCUCUCCAUAAACAAACAUUACAUAGUUUCUUUGAUUUUUUCUCUCUCAAUCAAUCCUAACCCUAAGAUAGGGCGUAGAUUGGCCCAAAAAUGGUAAAAUUGCUUUAUAGCUUUGGCUUCCAAAAUAUUAUCAUUCAUCUCUAGUCUCUACCUCUCUAAAUUAAUUUUUCUGGUUUCCUCCCUGCAUAAAACCUAGACUUUGAAAUUAAUGUUUUCAAUCCUAACCCUUACACUAUUGGUCUCAAUCCUUCUCUUUUUCAAAAGUUUUCAAGAACCCUAAAACUCUGAACAAUAUUCACCCUUUCUUUCCCUAAAUUAACUUAGGCACUUGACACUUGAGUAACCCAGAGUAUAACCCUAAGGUCAAAAGUCAAAACCUGGGCUUAAUAUAUUAAAACAACACCAACAAAAAUUUUACUUACCCACAUGGAAAAUGGAAAAUUACGUGGAAAUUACAAAAUUCUAGUUGGGUCAGUUCAAUUAAAAAAUAUUAAAAAUUCUAUAUUUGGGCACAAUAGUGUGGGAUGAAUCAUAAUGAGGUUAAGCUAAAUGUUCAUGCCUCUGGUACUCGAGUUUUCUUGCCAGCUAAUUGGGUGCACUUAUUCACUAAUGGUGCGGUGGAUAGAGGGUCUGGAGCUACAUUUGCUGGUGGACUGUUGCGAGAUCAGAAUAGAGAUUGGGUCUUGGGUUAUAACUAUUAUCUUGGAAAAUGUGCAGUCUUUGAGGUUAAACUAUGGGGCAUUUUAGAUGGCAUGCUUAUUUUACUCAGUAAAGGUUAUAAUGGAGUUAUGAUUCAUACAGAUAAUUUGGAGGUAGUUCACGUCCUACAGGAUAAUUUGUUGGUGACGUCGGGCAUUAUAGUCCUCAAGAGAGUCCAACGGAUCAUGAGAACUGAAAAGCAAUGGUUGAUUCGGUAUGUUCCCAUAAAAGAUAAUCAAGUUGCUGACUAUUUGGCCAAGUUGAAUUUAGGUGUGAGGACAUGCUUACAAGUUUAUGAUGAAGUUCCUCAUGUUACCUUAGAAGCUCUAAAUCAAGAUAAAGCUAAGAGUGCUUUUGAUCAAUUUAAUUUGAUGUAAUCUUUGUUUUUUUUUAUCACCAAAAAAAUAUAUAUUAAAAAUCAGUCAAAAAAAAACUAAAAAUCAACUCAAUUGAUUUUUUAAUCGGUUCAACAAGUUAGCGGUUCUAUUGGUCUAAUAUCAUUUUUCAAAUAAAUAUUUUAACUAAUUCUUGAUACAACUGGUUCGAUCGGCUCAAUUGAUUUGAUGAAUUGAUCUGGUUCAAUUCAAAUAUCACUGAUUUUUGUUGCUAAACUAAUGGCACUUUUAAGAUGAAGUACAUAAAAUAUUUUAAUUUCGAAAAGUUAAAUGAUUAAAUUAAAAUAAUAAUAAUUGAGAAGAUAAAAUAAAUCUAAUUGCAUAGGACAACAUUCUUACAAGUUACCCAUUAAUAAAAAUGGGUGGUUCAUUCAGUCAAUACAUUCAAUCGAUAAAAAGAUAAGUAAGAAAUAUGUAAAAAUCGAUUUUUGGUAUGUUUUAUUAAAUUUACUUUUCAAUUCAUAAAGUUUCAACUUUUAGCCUUCUGCGGGUAUUAAACACAAAUACAAAAUUAUAUUAAUUAAUUAAUUAAUUAUUAUAUUUUAUAUUUAAAUUAAUUUAUAUUCGAGUUAUCCAAUUUAAUUGAUUCUACCAGGAAACUAAAUGAAUUGGUAUCUUGUUGAUCACACUAGUUUGACAUUAAGUACGGUUUUUUGUCAAUGCAAUUUUUGUAUUAUAUAAGCAAAACUCAAAAGUUGUCAUGUGUCUUAUUUAUUUAUUACGUCUUAAAGGGUACAUGUCAUCCUUUUAAGUCUUAUUUGUGGAGACUAAAAUUUCAAUUUACAGUCUAACUAUUAGAGAAUGUAGUAAGUGAUUCUUUAAGAUUUUAAGAUCAAUUUAUUGUGUCGGAGCACUGUUUGUUACAUCCUAUAAGUCAUCAUCUUAAGGAUCAGGAUGCUACUAGUUCGAUUUGGUUCAGUCAAGUUUUUUUUUGGAAAUUUUAAACUAUCUAUCAUUUUAGUUCGAUUCAAUUUUUUUAUAUUAAUUUUUUGAUUUUUGAUUUUUAGACUUAUUUUAAUAAAAUGUGCUUUUGUUUUAUGGUUUUUGAAUAUUAUUCGACAAAAUGUAAAACUCUUUUCAUAAAUGUUUCUAAAAUAUAAUAAUUUUUAAAAAAAUAUUAUAAAAUUUUAUAUCAAUAACUGUGUUAAUAAUUUGUGAAAAUUGAAUUAAAUUAAAAUUUUACGUAUAAAAUUACAUAAAAUCAAAAUUCCUGUUUAAAAUUACAUAUUAAACCAAAAUUCAUUGAUAAAAAUUUAUCCCAAAAUAAAAACAUUCAAAGUUAAAAUAAUAAACGUAUUUUAAUUUUAAAGCAAUUAUAUAAAUUCUAAUUAGAAAAUUACAAAAAUUAUCGUUAUAAAAUUUACAAUACAAUGUAUUUAACUUUUUAUUUUAUCAGUAUCUUAUAUAGUAAAAACACUUUCUAUCCAACCCAUUCUACGAACAAAAAUUAUGUAAAAUUUGGGUCAAACCCCGCCGCCGUACGUCAUCUCUGAUUCUCAAGUUAGUAUUAUUAUUAUUAUUUCAGAAAAAUACUUUUCCCAUUAUUUAAAUCUAUGUUCUUUUUAGAUGUUUUGUCCUUCUAAUUCUGGUAUAUAAAGCGUAGAGUAUCUCAAACCUUGUCGGAUCAAAUCAUAGGUUAUCAGUACCAGUUUUCAGUUUAAAUCAUUUAUAAAGAGAACAGCUUCAAUGAAGGAGUUGUUUCAGUAUCAUUCAAGCUCUGAAUCAUUGUUUAUAUCGCCGUCGCCGUCGUCGGAGACCUUUUCAGGUGGCUGGGAUGAGCUUCUUCUUAACUUCAAUGACUUGGAAGAAAUGGUUUGGGUGGAUAUGGUGGCGGCGGCCUUGGAUUUGUCCAACAACUCCAUUGGACAUUCCUAAACUGAAAGAGUUACCCAAGGAAGAGAAAGCUUACAGAGGUGUAAGGAAGCGGCCGUGGGGGAAAUACUCGGCUGGGAUUAGAGAUUCAACGAGAAAUGGGGUUAGGGUUUGGCUUGGAACAUUUGACAGUCCCGAAGCCGCGGCUUUAGCUUACGACCAAGAGGCGUUUUCGACGAGAGGAUCAUCGGCAACACUCAAUUUCCCGUUGGAAGUAGUCAGAGAAUCGCUUCCGAGCAUUAAAUACCGAUGCGACGAAGGCUGCUCGCCAGCGUUGGCACUGAAGAGGAGACACUGUUUAAGGAAAAGAUUGAAGUGAGCACACAAAAGGAGGUAAUUUCAAGAGAGACACGACAACAAAAGAACUUGGUCCUGUGGGGACAUUUAGGAUCUGAUUACUUGGAACAGCUUCUAAACUUGUUCAUCUUGAAACUGACGGACUUCCGACAAGAAUGGUCAUAUGUUAGAGACAGACCACUUUUGUCUCCACUUCCCAAGUAUCUAACGAGAUAGCCCGACCCUUCCUUCGGUUUCAAACAUUGUUUUCGGUUUCAUUGAAUGUUCGAGGGUUGAUUUUUCAUGGCUGUUAAUUGAUACUUGUAUGGAUAAAAUGUUUCUUUUCAAUUUUGUAAAGUUGAAACAUAUAUUUAUAUAAUGAUAAUAUUAUAUUAAACACAAUACAUUAAUAAGUGGUAGAGGAUUCGAUUCUUAUUUUGGUAUGGAGUAAUUUUUUUGAUGUUAACCUUGGAUAAAUGAAUAAAUUUAAAAUUCGUGUCCAGCAUCUAUCUCUUAAUGAGUUUACAGAAUACGAAAGAUUAAUUAUUGAACUCGCUCCGAUAAAUACAUUGAGAAAUUAAAAAAAUCUACUUAUAUUAAUUGUAAAAUUAAAUUUGUUUAAUAUGCUUCUUUUUUUUUAAUAAUAUUUUAACAAUAUAGCUUAAUAGUAUGUAAAUGCACUCAUCACAAAGGUAAAGCUUUGAAUCAAAAAUAAUAUUUGUAUUGAUCAUGAAUGUUACUUUAUCAAUAGUUUUUUUUACAUUAGGAAAACAGUUGGCUUUUAAUUUCUCAAAAUUCAACUAUGUUAAUAAAAUAUAAAACAUGACCAUCGUAUUAUUAAAAUAUCAUAAAAUAUAUAUAAAAUUACUUUAAAAAUUUUAUACUAAAAUAUAACUGCACCACUUCUUGUUAUUAUUACAAUAAUCAAUUAAAUAUAAUAAUCUUAAAAAAGAUCAUCUACGACAGCAAAAUCCAUUGUUUAUAGGCCAUUGAUGAGAUUUAUAAAAACCCAAACGAGUUCUUUUGGGAUUCAAAACUAAAAGGUCAAAGUGUCAAGCAGAUUGUGUUUUGAUCUCUUUACAUUGAAAAAUUGAGUAAAUUAAUUUUUAUACAUUUUGAAAGGUGUAAAUUAGUUCAUCUAUUAAAUUUUAUUUGUUAAAUGAUGACGUAAAACAUUAAUUUAAAUUGUUAAUUACGAAUUUAGUCUCUGAACUAUAACUAAAAUAUUAUUUUGAUUUUUUUAAAAAAUUUUAACUAUAAUUUUUAAAAAAUUAAAAAUAAUCUUAAAAAUAAAUUUUUUUGCAUGGAAAAGACGUGACAUUGCCUCUUGCCAUGUGCUGGUCAAACUUCAAAUAUCCUUCACCCUAGACCAGUUCAUGAGUUGAACUAUCCGUCUAAGAUCAAAGGCUCACCUAAAAUUUGAGAGAGUUUGGAUAAAAAUAUUAGGGCCGUUUAACCUAAGGGUUGGACUCAGGCUUGAACAUUCAAUGAUCGAGCCUGGCCCGAGCCCGACCCAUUUUUAAGUUUAUAAUACUUUAUAUUAUGUUAUAUUUAUUUAUUAAGUAAUUUAUAAAACAUUAAAAAAAUAAACCUAUAUUAAAUAUAUAAUACUACUCUAAUGUAAACAUUAAAAUAAUGUGAAGAUUAUUAUAUAAAAAAUUUCAAUAAAUAAAAUUAUUAAAUUAUUAAAUAUUAAAUUAAAAUAAUAUGGGUGGGCCUAAAAUGGGGUUGGGUUAGUCUUUUGCAAAUAUGGACGAGUUUGGGCAAACAUAAAAUAUAUAAAUAUCAUGCAUAGGCACGACCUGAACACAACCCAGUCCGGCCCAUGAACACCUCUACUUCACCCACUGAGUUGGAAAUUUUACCUUGAAACGAUAGUUGGCCACCACCAUCAUUGUUUCUUCAUUAAAGGCCUUCCAAAGAGGGCAUUAUAAGCAGGGGAGAAAUUAGAAAAAAAAUUUAGGAGGCCAAAAUUAAAUUGUAAUUUUUACAAUAGUAAAAAUGCAAUUUCACCGUUUUAAUAGCCUCUAUCUUUAUAAUUUUUAAAGAAUUAAAUCAAAAUUUUAUCAUUUCAGGGGGGCCAAAGUACAAUUUUACCUUUACUAAUUUAAAAUUUUAAAAAUUUCAAAGGGCCUAAAUAAAAAAUUUUCCAUUUUAAGGGGACAAGGCCCCUGCCAGCCUCACUGGUUUCGCCCCUGAUUAUAAGAUGUUGGAUGGUCCACAAUUAGAAACUCAACCAUAUUUGUGAUUGUUCAAUCAUCAUCACCUAUUAUAACUGGUAACGUAAUUGAUCCUCUGACUUCAAUCAGCUGAUUAAAUGCCUGCUAACUCAACUCUUCCAUCACACGUCCAGUAUCAAUCAAAAUCCUCUUAACUUCAAAUCCUACAAUCAUUGCUGAAACUACCAAAGGAUCAUUGCCUUCUAGAUCACUCAAUUAGCUUCAUCUUGAUCAAAAAAUCCAACUUUAUGGGGUAUUGAUAAAUUAAAUAAAGUGUAAAACAUUAGAGGUAUCGAAAAAGGGAAUUAUUUAAGUUCAUACAUGUCAUGACCUAUUUUUAUAAAUGUUUGGUAUUGAUAAAUUGAAUGGAAUAAUUGUAUAGAUUAAGAAUUGGAUCAAACCGAAGAUAAUCGAGGAAAAGCCAAAAUUGUCAAUUAGUCAUUGAAGAUUCAAUUUGUGUGCUAUUUUGAUCAGGCAAGUACAUAUGGAACUUACCACUCAAUUUUUACUUUAUGUAUGAACGGUAUUUGAAUUUACACUUGUAUAUAUAUGAACUAAGUAGAAUUAAUGAAUUUGGCACUUAUAGCUCGAAAUGGACUGAAUUGUAAGUUCAUGUCAGUAUUGGUAUAGAAAUAGAACAAGAUGUAAAUGUGAUUGUUGACUGAUUAUUUGUGUUAAAAAUGAGAAUUAAAGUUAUGUACAGGAAUUGGUUUUGACAUUUAUACGAAAAUGAUGCACGAGUAUGACAUGCUAUUAGGAUUAUACACGUAAUUAAUCAGGGAUUUAUAUGUUAUUACGAGAUCUAGUAUUUGUUGCAGAUUCUCGGGUUAUACAUAUCGUUGGUUUAGCCCGGACAGGUAACCUUGAUACAAUGCCAGCUUGUCUGAGAAAUUUUGUUAAAAUGGUAGCUUAUGUAAGCAACCCUAAUAUAUGUCAACUUAUGUAAGCAAAAUAUUCUCGUGUAUCUGAGUCUGCUUUACUGUAGUUCCAUCGAGUGAUGUUCAAUUGAUUGGAAAUAAAAUUUAAAUCAUGAAAUGAAAAUAAAAUAGUGUUAAUGAUACCUGACAUAUGAAUUGUUAUAUGAUUAUGUUUUAAAUGUUGGCAAUACUUACGAUCCGAGAAUGUAACUAACACAUUCGAUUUGUGGUGAUAUUAUACAUAGAGAUAUGUCUUAAUGUGACAAGGAAAGUUAAAUCGGUAGCCAAAUGAAUAAUUGUUUAUGCUUUAAUGAUCAAAGGUUCAUUUUUAUAUUUUUUCGCUAAUAUUAGGGAUUCAGCUUUCUAAAAACCCUAUAAAGGUUUUUCUAACCUUUCUAUUUUUUGUUCUAAGGUUUUCUGGCUAGAGUAGUUGUAACUAUCAUAAUAAUAUUCAUCAUAGCUAUCAUUCAUAUCAAUAUCAUCUACCACAUUUUCAUUACCUUGAUUUGCAUGUUGAUGAUUGAGAUUUGAAUGGGUAGAUUUAUCCCCUCCAUGCCUUGGUUUUUUUAUCAUAAUUCAUCCUACCUACUUUUAACUCCCCAAUAAGCUUUACGUUUCUUUCAUUUCUUUUGUCUACUUGCCUUUAUCUAUCUAUUUUCUCUUGGAUAAACUUUUCCUACUCUUCAUAUCUCUUUUACUGGGAGGACAUUUGUUUCUACUUAGCUGUUAUUCUCUCUUGCAUGUCCAGAUUUUGUUGACCACCUAACUGGUGAUGCUGAGAUCCUUGGUCGGUUGGUGAUGCUCUAGCAUGAUGUUGAUUCUGGGGAUUGUAAUACCAUGGGGUAUUGGUAGAAUUGUUGAUAUGGAUUUUGUUUAUUUGGUUUUGAGGAUUGGUUUGAUUUUGCGGGUUGGUCUUCUGGUUGUCAAGCAAGGGGUUUGGGUUGUUCUCUUUUGAUCGAUGUUUUCUCCUAUGUUAUGAUCAGUAGAAUCUAUAACUUGGUUACAGGUGGGAUCAAACUUAGUGCUUGGAGGAUUACUUACACCUAGGUUCGUCAUGGCUGUCCACAUUCACUGCACUAAUUGUUAACUAAUGGGGUAAAUAAUGGAAGAAGAUGGUGAUUGGAAGAAGGGAUGAUCGAUGAAAGUGGAGAGAGAGGUUUUUGUUUUUAGAAAUGUAAAAACAAAAUGUCGAUAAUGGCAAUAUAGAACGAUCGCAAAGGAAAAAAAAGAAAAAUAAUAAGAACACAUAGAUUUUACGUAGAAACCCUUUUGGGAAAAAAACAUGGGCAGAGGAGAAAAAAGUUCACUAAUGUUGAAAUUCGAAUAAUACAAGAGGAGUUUCAACUACUUCUAUUUAUAGGUUGAAAAACCUUAUUCUAAUCAAUGCCAAAUAGAAUGAGAGAAGUACUAUACGGAUCUACUUGUACAAUCAAUAUCAAAUAGAAAUAGAAAUAGAGUAGUUCUAUAUGAAUUUUACUUGUAUUUUAUAUUAUUUUAUUUUUUAACAGGAAUUUGGGUCACACAACUUUAAUAAUCUCCACCUUGACACGAAUUCUCAACAAAAAAGUUCUUCACCGUGAACUCUCAACGAAUAAGUUCUCCACCUCUUCCACAAAAACCCUUAAGGGGUAAUCUUCAACAAUAUACACUAACCAAGUCCAAGCAAUACUCAAACUUGGUUAUAAGAAGUGACUUAGCCAUAAUAUCUACAGGAUUAUCAUGAGUACUAACUUUUCUCACAACAAUAUCACCACGAGCAAUAAUAUCACACACAAAAUGAUAUUGAACAUCAAUGUGCUUUAUUCUCUCAUAAAACAUUUGAUCCUUCGUAAGGAAGAUGACACUCUAGCUGUCACAAAACACUGUACUAAUCUAAAAGUCUUUAUUGAGUUCACCAAAGAGUCCCUUUAACCAAAUAGCUUCUUUACAAGCCUCAGUAAUUGCCAUGGUCUUAGCUUCAAUAGUAGACAAGGCAACUGUAGUUUGCAAAGUGGCUUUCCAACUAACUGCGCAACCUUCAAUUAUAAAAACAUACCCUGUGAGAGAUCUUCUUUUAUCAAGGUCUCCAACAAAAUCAGAAUCAACAUAUCCAAUGACUCCAUCUCUAGUUCUUCCAAACUGCAAAAAAACAUCAGUAGUACCUCAUAAGUAUUUAAAAAUCCACUGAACUGCUUUUAGUGUUCUUUACUGGGAUUUACCUUGUAUCUACUAACUGCACUAACUGAAUAUGACAAAUCUAGACGUAAGCAAACCAUAGCAUACAUGAAAGAUCCCACUGCACUAGAAUAUAGAACACGUGACAUGUAGUCAAUCUUAUCAUUUAAUUGUGGAGAAAAAGUCAAUAAAAGUCUGAAGUGGGCUGCUAAUAGAGUACUAACAAACUUGGCAUUCUGCAUAUUGAAUCUGCAACUAACUUUCUCAAUGUACCAUUUCUGACUUAGGUACAAUUUACAUGAUUUUCUAUCUCUGAGAAUCUUCAUCCCAAGUACCUUCCUUGCUACUCACAAAUCUUUCAUCUCAAAUAAUCAAACCUCUUGUAUCAUUGUCUUGGUGACUGUUUCAAGUUAUAAAGGGAUUUUUUCAGCAAGCAAACAUAGUUCUCCUUAUUUGAGACUUGAAAACCCUCUAGUUGUUGUAUAUAAAUAUUUUUGUCAAGUUUUCAUUGCAAGAACGUUAUUUUUACAUCUAAUUGUUCAAGCUCCAUAUCAUACAUAGCUAAAGCAAGGCUCGAAUCAAAAUAUGCUUCACAACUAGAGAAAACACAUCUGUGAAGUCUACAACUGGAGUCUGAUUGUAACAUUUUACAAUAGUCUUGCUUUAUAUUUGGGUUCUUCAACUUUUAAAGUCCCCAUUUCUUUUUGAACACCCAUUUACAAUAAAUAACCUUUUUACCUUUAGGAAGCUUUACUAGAUCUCAUGUUCUAUUCUUAUAAAGUAAUUCCAUCUCUUUUUGCAUAGCAAUCAUCCACUUUCUUGAAUCUUCGCAGCUAAUUGCCUUAGAAUAAGUAGAUGACUCUUAAUUUACAUUUAUAUCUUCAGCCACAUUUAAAGCAUAAGCAACAAGAUCAACCUCAGUGUUCCUCUUUGGAGGUUUAAUUUUUCUUAUAUGUAUAUUCUUGGCAAUAGCAUAUUGUAUACUCUAUUGUAGAUCUUGGAUCAAUCUGAAGCUCCACCUACUUUUAUUGGUCUUUAUUGGAAGAGUCUUUAAAAGAUAAGUUAUGUAACAUACCAAUUUCAUAAAAAAAAUAACAUCUUUGCUAAUCACAACUUUUUUUUUAUUUUCAGGACACCAUAACUUAUACCCUUUAACACCAGCCUUAUAACCAAGAAAAACAAAUUUAAUGGAUCUAGGUUUCAAUUUCCCAUUAUCAACAUGAGCAUACGUAGGACACCCAAAAAUCUUCAAAUUAGAAUAAUCAACAGGAUUACUAGACCAUACCUCUUAUGGAGUCUUUUUCUCAAUGGCAAUAGACGGAGACUAAUUAAUCAAAAAGCAUGCAGUAGAGGUCGCUUUAGGCCAAAACGACUUCGAUAAACAAGAAUUCAACAACAUACAUUGAACCUUUUUCAAUAUUGUUCUAUUCAUCUGUUUUACAACGCCAUUUUGCUAUGGAGCAUGACGAACUGUCAAGUGUCUCACGAUCCUUUCUGAUUUGCACAAUUCAUUAAACUCAUCAUAACAGAAUUCCAAGUCAUUAUAUGUACGGAGGUGUUUUAUCUGUUCUCCUGCCUGUUUCUUGAUCAUAUUUUUCGAAGCCUUAAAAGAGGAAAACACAUCACUUUUCUGCUUAAAAAAGAAUACCCAAAAUUUUCUAGAAAAAUCAUUAAUGACCGUCAGCAUAUAAUUAGCGUCACACCUUGAAGGCACUCUUAAUGGUCCCCAAAGAUCAAAAUGAAUGUAAUCCAACAUUCCUUUUGUGUUAUGGAUUCCUCUAGUGAAUUGAACUUUCUUUUACUUCCUAAAAAUGCAGUGUUCACAAAAAUUCAGUUUGCAAAUGCCUUGUCCAUCAAGAAGUCCUAUUUUGCUUAAUUUUGUUAUGUUGUUCUCACUCAUAUGCCCUAAACGCAUAUGCUAAAGUCUAGUAAUAUCAUCAUCUGAUAAGGAAGAGGAAGCAACGGUUGCAUCACCAGUAACAAUAGAACAUUGCAAAACAUAAAACUUGAUAGUCUUUCUCUGCUCUUUCAUCGCAAUGAGGGAACCCUUGCUAAUCUUUAGAACCCCACUUUCAUUUGUGUACUUGUGCCCUUUUGAAUCAAGAAUACUCAAAUAAAUCAAAUGCAUCUUCAAUUCUAGUACUUGUCGUACACCACUAAGUGUUCUGACGAUUCCAUCGAACAUCUUAAUUUUGAUCAUGUCAAUACCUGUGAUUUUACAUGAAGUAUUAUUUCCCAUCAAAAUAACACCUUUAGACACUGUUUCAUAUAUUGUAAACCAAUCCCAAUUAGGACUCAUACGAAAGGUGUAACCAAAAUCGAAGAUCCACUCCUCGCUCGCUUUCGAGUUGUCGGUAGAAGCAACUAGGAGUUCACCAUCGCUAUAGUCUUCUACAACAUCAGCUUCACUGGAUUGUUCUGGUUGUUUUCCUUAUUGAUUCACAACCUCCCUUUUGAUCUUGUCUAUAACUUAUAGCACUAAGAUUUAAUGCGUCUUUUCUUCUUACAGAAGUUACAAGUUUUACAUCUGUUUGAAAAUAUCAAUCUACCUUUAGAUUUACUACGAGGAUUUCAUUCUUGUGUCCUUUCAUGAUUAUCAUCAAUAUUUCGUUCUUAUCUCCCAGAACAAUGAGACCCUCUCCUUGAGAGUAGGAUCCAACCACAAGGUGUUUCAUCUUGUCAUACGAGGUUAAAAAAGUAUAGACUUCAUCAACUGUGAGAGAUUCGUGACCAUACAAAAUUGUAUCUCUAAAGGUUGAAUAAGACAGGGGCAAUGAACAAAGUAGAAUUAACCCUAAAUCUUCUUUAUCAUACUGAACCUCUAUGGCCUCUAGGUCUACGAGAAUUUCUUUAAACAUAAUUAAGUGUUCGUAUACAUAUGCACCUUCCUCCAAACGAUGAGCAUAAAGACAUUAUUUCAUAUGCAACUUGCUAGUUUGGGUUUUCGACAUGAAAAGUUGCUGCAACUUUGCCCAUAUUGUAGUGGCGGUCUUCUCCUCAUCAUGUCCUAUAGAAUUGCAUUCAGUAAAUGCAAAUGUAAUUGCGUUAAAGCCUUUCGAUCUUUAUGCUUCUUCUCUUCCUCCGUCAAUGUCGAAAGCAUCUUACUCAUCCCUAUCAGGGCAUCCUCUAAAUCUAUCAACGCAAGAAUUGUCUGCAUCUUUAUCUGUCACAACGGGAAUCUAGUAUUGUGAUCCAACAACGGAAUAUCAUACUUCAGUGUUGCCAUUACCAUGAUCGAGAUAAGCAACCUGAAAAGCUUGAUACCAGUUUGUAAAAACUGAACGUCGAUAAUGGCAAUAUAGAACGAUCGUAAAGCAAAAAAAAUAUAAGAACGCACAGAUUUUACGCGAAAACCCUUUCAGAAAAAAAACCACGGGCAGAAGAGAAGAAAAUUCACUAAUGUUGAAAUUCGAGUGAUACAAGAAGAGUUUCAACUACUUCUAUUUAUAGGUUGAAAAGCAUUAUUCUAAUCAAUGUCAAAUAGAAGGAGAGAAGUUCUAUAUGGAUUCUACUUGUACAAUCAAUAUCAAAUAAAAGAAGAGUAGUUAUAUACGAAUUCUACUUGUAUUUUAUUUUUUAAUAGGAAUUUUGGUAACACAACUCUAACAGGCAAAGUAAGGGAUUUCAAGAGGAAGAAAUGUUUAGAUGAGUCUUUGUGAGUUGUUUGUAUGGCCUUUUUAUAAGAGGGGACAAAUUUGGAUACAUGUCCUAAGGUCACUGACAUAGAAGUCUGAUUUGAUACUCUUGGCAGUGACAGUGAUUCUACGUCCUAGGAUGAGACAUUUUAGGCUUACUAACAAUCAAUUACCUUGGGCCUCCACGUGGUUCUCAUAUAGUCUUAGUGAAGAUGUCCUUUUUUAAAGUUCGCCGAGUUGAGGCUCGCAAACUAAUAUGGAUGAACUGUGAGGUCCACAAGGUAUUUUGGGAGGUCCGCAAGAUUCGCUACAUAAGCUAUACUAAAAAAAAUUAUAUAUCAAAAUAUGAAACAAAAAAUUAUUGCCGACCUUCUUUAAGAAUUGCGUAAUUAUUUACAAAAGAAUAAAAAUAAUUAAUUUUUUUCUCAAAAAAAGAAUUUUUAGGAUUUGUUUGGUAAGGUUUGUUUCACAAAAUUCUGAAAAUUGUGUAAAAACAGAAAUUUCUAAGAUAAUGGAAAUAUAUUUUGUUGUUUAAUUAUUUUCUUAAAGAUCUAUAUUAAUUCUUUUCAGAUAAUACUAUUAACGUAAAUAUUAAAUGUUAAUUAUUAAAGUGUUUAUUGACAAAAAAAAUUGAUAUUUUAAUAUUAUCAUCAGGGGCGACGCGGGAGCUGACUAGCAAGUGAUUUGAUCUCUUUAAAGUGAAAAAUUGUAGGUUUGACCUUUUAAAUUUUAUAAAAUUAUAAGUUAAUACACGUUAAAAUUUUAUUUUGACCUUUUAAAAUGAUAAAUUUUUAAUUUAAUCUUUUAAAAAUUAUAAGGCUAAGAACUAAUAAAAUAAUAAAAUAAUAUUUUAAUUGUCAUAAAAAUUUAUAACUUAACUUAAUUUUAUCUCAUAUUUUAUGCAUUUUCUAUAAAUUUAAAGAGAUGAUGUAUGAAUAAAACAAUUUCAAGGUUAUUAUCAUCUUUCAAAGAAUACGGUAGGACUAAUAAAGAAAUUAUUAUUAUUAGUAGUAGUAGUAGUAGUAAAGGAAGAAUCUAAGUCUUCUUUACAUCAUGGCCGUAAUGGAAGCUUAAGAGUCAUAAAGAAAUGUUAGGUGAAGUUGCAUGUUGAUGUUGGCACAUAAAAAGUAAAAGUAGAUAAUAGAAAGUUACAUAUAUUGAAGUUGUAACAUUUCAGCCGAUUACAUGAAAUGAAAGGGCCGCCUUGUAAGACCCUUUCUUUUUAUUAUUCAUCCUCUAAACCCUAAUCUUUCAGUACCUCAACGAUCAACAACAAAAUCCAUGGCGGACAUAGCUCUGCAACUCUUUUUAUUACUUCCUACUUACGUUACCCUACAAAGAUCCCCCUGAUUUUGAUUGCAUUGGCUUCGGCUGGAGUUUAAGCAUCGGCCCUCCUCUCGGACUGUGAAGGAGUGAAGAAAAAGGUGUUUUUGUUGUUGAACUUAAUCCGCCUUGCAUCUUCUCUUGACACCUGAUACGACGCUGCCACCACUUCCUCCGGCAGUGCUCGCAUGAAGGAGACACUUCCAGCCAUUGGGGUGUUGGUGGCUUCGCUAUUGGUGAAGAAGGAAAUCCAUUCGGCUCCUUCGUUUCCUGCUUGUUUCAUGAACGCAAAGUUCUGUGGCACCGUCAGGAGCUGACCUUGCUCCACGUUAUCGUCGAACACUGCGUCGCCGUUGUGGUUCACCACUUGGACUCUGGCACAGCCUCUUAACAUGUAGAGUAUUUUGUGAGCGUUGACGUUCCAUUGUGGAAUCAAACCAGCUCUCUGCAAAAACAAAUGUUACAUACAGUGUUAUAUAUGAUUCAAUAUUUUAUUGAAUAUUGUUAAGAAAUAAAUGUCUCGAGCUUACGUUGUAGAGGACACCCCUCUCGGCGCUGAGCUCAAGUCGUUGGAGGAUGGGGAGGUUAAACCUGUUGAGGGUGGAAAUACGACCGGCUUGUGGGUUGAAAAUGUCGGCACGUUCAGGGUCAGCAAGGUUCUCCUUGAUCCUCAUGGAGCAGAAAGUUUCCUCGAGGCCAUUAUCUUGAGACCCUCCUCUCGUAUGGCGGUAUCGCUGCUCCUGCUGGCGCUCCUCACGUUCUUCUUCCUCCAUUCUGGGUGGUGUUACGACUUGGAGUCUGUCCCUGACUCUGAUGAUGGUGCCUCUAUUUCCUCGUACACGUUGGAUUUUCCUAAUGAUGUCGUGGUCAACGUUGAAAGCUUGAGCGAGGAAGUUUCUGUCGAAGGCACAGAGAAGGUUGUUGCAUGAUGAGCUUUCCCGCCCCUGCUCCUCCUCCUCCUGGUGGCGGCUGCGGCGGCUGGGGUUGUCUUCUUCUUCUUCUUCUCCUUCUCCUUCUUCUUCCUCAGACUCCUCCCCCCUCUCACUUCUUCCCUGCAUCUGCUGUGCUAGCCUCCUCAGUUGCCUCUGUUCCUCUUCUGGGUUACCAGCAAGAUGGAAUCUCUAUAACAUUACAAGAGAGAGAUCAUCAAAAACAAAAACAAAAAGUUAUGUAUAGAAAGGGAUUGUCAAAAUUAUAAAAAAUUAUAUACUCUAGGGAUGUUGUCGAGCUGAUUAGCACUGUUGCCAGUGUCAAGUAGAUUGAUAGUAACAACACGCUCAUUGCCAUCAUUGUAGCUCCAGUGAACCACACCCUGCGGCAAAGCAAUGAUGUCACCCUGGCGGAACCGUCGGACUUUCUGGUGCUGGUCCUGGAACCUGCCACGGCUUUGAUGCUGCCAUUGCUGUGAAUCCUGGAAUGUUUCGGCACAUCCAGGCAUCACAAUACCUUGAAUACCUCUUCCUGAAAAAACAAAUUUAAACAUCAUUUUGUAUUUUAUACCAACGAUAAUAACACCAUUAGUGACGCACUAUUAUACCUUGGACAAUGUAGAGAAGCUGAGGAGCAUUGGUGAAGGAAGGCAAAACAAGGCCAUUAGGUUCAAUAGUCUGCCUCAUUACAGAUACACCAGCACACCUGAGCUGUUGACAGUUGGGGUUCCACCACUCGGUGGUGCCGGCUUCGGAGCGAAUUCGGGUCUGGGGUGCAGAGGCGCGGAGCCUAUUGAUUUGACACUCAUUUUGGGACUGCUGUGACGAAAAGGUCUGGCGAGCUAGGCAGCCAUUGAAGAGAAAAAGAAGGGAAAGAAAGAGCAAAGAAGGGUUAAUCGCCAUAUCUACGUGUUGAAAUGGUUAUUUGGUGAAGAAGGGAGUGGAGGGAUAGUGGUAUUUAUAGGGGAGAAAGAGUGGAAAAGGAGGUCAGGGUUGUGUCGACACACAGCAGUUUGCAUGGGGGAGUUGAGGUUAAUGGCUUACACAUCAUAGACUGGGGGAGGGCAGGUGGCUCAAAGCUUCGAUGAAUACUUACAAAUAACAAUACCAGGAAAUGAAGAAGAAUCCGAAACCACGAUAUGUCGCCAGAUGAGAUUGGUUAAGGAGAGAGUCUUGAAUUUUGGUUACACUAAUCAAACCAAAAUGAUUCAUCAAUUUAUUAAUUAAGCGUUCAAGAGUUCUUUAAAACAUGAUUCAUUAUAUUAUGAUUUUAUUUAAAUUUCCAUUUUCGUUUAAAAAACAUUAAUUGAUUUUAUUGUUAAAAAUAUAUAUUUCUCCUCGUUAACUUGUACUUACUACAUAUAUUAAGAGUUUAAAUGAGAUCAUUUUAGUCUCACCAAAAAUCCAUUCAUUUCACAAAACAAUAAAUUUUAUUUUUACAGUAUUUAUAUAUUUUUAUAUUUUAAUUUGACCCUAAAUAUCAUUAAAUUAUAUUUAAUUUUUAACUUUUUACUAAUCUACAAUAAUAUAAAAAAGUGUCAAAAUUAUUUUAAUAACAACUAAAAAGGGUAAGGAGAGUGAAAAUGUGGUGUGGAGGCAGGACGUGAAGAACCUACGCAGGGAAUUACUUGUUUGUUUGUGAACUGUGAUGGUGUUGCGACAACUGGGCCGUAGCAUGUUAUACCUCUUGCCAUCUGUUUAAGCCAAGUUGUACUACAUUCUAUACGGUCGUACAUUAUUCCGAUAAUUGCAAUUUUUACGAUAUAAAAUAUAACUGAUGAGAACAAAAAUAAGUCAAACAACUAUAGUAGUGGUGGAAAGGGUAAUUUUAGAAUUCUAUUUUUUUGAUAUUCAAGUCCGUAAAUAUUAUUGUUUAAUAUAUAUGAGGUUAAUAUAAAAGUUAAUUAAAUUUUGGUAUCUUAAUUUUAUCAAAUUAAUAGUUAAUUAGGAUACAAAAAUUAAAUUGUAAAAAUUCAUUGUUAUAAAUUUUUAAUUAAUCAAAACACCAAUUGAGCAAUUGAACUACUAUUAUAUGACCAAACGGUGGUAGAUUCUAAGUGUUAUCCACUAAGAAAUGUUAAUUAUGCUUAAGGUUCAUUAAUUUAAAGUUAAUUUUAAUUAAUUAAUUAAUUAAGUGCACAAAAUGAAUGCAUUGAAGUGUAAGCUUAAAAUAGGUAUCAAAUGGCCUAAAAUGUACCAAAAAUAGAGUCCACAUUGCGACUUCAGCAAUGGAGCUCUGGAUUUCAGACCACGACGUGAUGAGGAACAUCGUCGUCACAACGAUGCCAAGUUAGUAUGUAACGUCGCGACGAGGAACCCCCUCAUGUCGCGACGUCAAUCCAAAAUUUUUAAAACUUUUACAAAUCGUUUCUUGUUUGAUUCCAGGCUAAUUUUAGAGCAUACGUAAGCUUGUACAAGACCCGAGAAAAGUUGUAUAUCAUGUUUAUGGCUUGAAAAUGUUAUGUUUGUAUGCAUUAAGCUGUGAAUUGAAAGUUAAAUGUUUGUAGUUGCUUCGACAAUGAAUGUGACAUCCUAUAGCUCGGAUCCAGUGAUCAGGUCGGAUGAGGUGUGUUACAAUUUGUUACUAUUUUUUAACUCUAUCAUUGUUCAUAUUCUUCUUCCUUAACCCAUUUUUUUCUCCACAUCACCCUGCUUCCCAAAUUGAGUAACUCUACUUAAAUGAAUUGAGGAAUAGAUUUAGCGAAUAUUUUGUGAAGCAGGAGUGUGGGAGGGUGGCGUGGAGAAGAAAAAAGAUUAAAUGCUAAAUUGGGAUCUAACUUUUUAAGGGUUGCUUAAAUAAAUGCCAAACCUUUUAACUAUUCAUAUAAGGCAUAAUCAUUAAAAAGUGCUCAAAUAAAGGUUUUCCAUGCACUUCAGUCUUGUUUGUAGUAAAAAUUAGGUGAAUGCUGACAUGUUUAAAAUAAAACACAUUACAACUGAAUUUGAUAUUGCUUGAAAAGAAAAUAAAAUAAUAAAAACAUCAACUGAAACCUAAUAUACGACAUUUGAGAAGUCCUUAUUUAAGCACUUUCGAAAAAAUUUGGCCUUUAUUUGAUUGUUUUGAAAGGUUUAACCUUCAUUUGGACGCUUUUUGUAAAUGUUAGGUCCUUAUAUAAGCAAUGUCUAAAAGGUUGGGCCCCAAUUUUAGCAAAAAAAAAAGGGUUAAGGAAGAGCAGGAUGAACAGUGGCAGGGUUAGAAUAGUAAAAAAUGAUGGCAUGGGCACAAUCAAUCGUUUUUAGAGGUUUCUUGGGUGAUUAAAAUGAAAGUACUCUCUAAUGGUGGUGAUUAAAUUGCAAGAAUUUUUAUUUAGGUGACAAAAAUAAAAGUGGCCUAAAAGUUGAGUUAUCAGCUAAGUAGUUUACCCUAAAUUUUAAAAAAAAAUUAACUUUUUGAAUAAUUUAUGUAUUAUAUAUGUUUUCUUUAUUUUCCAAUCAAUAUAAUAUACAUAAUAUUAAAAUUAAAAAAAAAACUGAUGCGGGGCAUUUUGAUAGUGUCACAUGUCAUCUUCUUUUUUCUUUCUAAUGUUGUAGGCCAAUUUAAGUAAUAGAUGAUGGUUUGAGUAUUAAAGAAAGCCCAAAAAAAAUUUAAAUAUUAAAAUGAGAAAAUAAAUAUAAUAGACGAAAGGAUGCAUUAAACAUUUUAAUAUAUUUUAUUAUGUUAUUUCCUCACGUUUUAAAUUAUUUUUAUUAUCCCCGUGAAUAGUUAGUUUUACCUAUCUAACCUUUUUUUUAGAUUUAAAAAUAAUAAUAAUUUAUUUAUUUUAAAUAUUAUUAUUUUUUAAAAAGUUUACAACUAAAAAUAAAAUUAAUCAUAAUUCAAUCACAAAUAUAUGCAAAAUCAAACAAUAAAAAACAUAAAAAGACUAGGAAUCAAAAUAAUUCGAACUAAAAUUAACCCUCUAAAUUAAAACUUACACAUAUUAAAAUUAAAGACCUACAAAUAAUAUUACUUGAAUUUAGAUACUCAAAUAUCUAAAACCUAGUCUUUGCGAAUGGUACUAAAGCUUCACAAUUAUUAUUAUUUAAAAUAAAAAUUGUAAAUAUGUUUUAAUAUAUAUAUAUAUAAUUAAUUAAUUAAUGUUUGAUGUAAAGUACAGAAAUCUAAGUUAUUUAUUAUUAUUGAAAGUGAAAAGGUCAAAUUACACUGGAAUCAAAAUUUAACUUUUGGAAUUUAAAUUAAAAUAGAUACCGUCCACGGUGGGACUCGAACCCACAAUCUCCCGCUCCGGAGGCGAGCGCCUUAUCCAUUAGGCCACGCGAAACCUUGUUCUAUGAGGGUUGAAUUUAUUAUUUAAAAUAAUAAACAUUGCGUAUACGUAUAUUUGUCAAGGUAAUCAGGUUUAGAUUCCAUAUUAGCCCUAUUAAGAUACGAGGUUGAAAUAUAACUAAAAAAUAUAUUUUUAUUAAAGAGUCACUUUCGAACAAUGUGCAUGUAUCUCAAUAACUACUAUUUAUGAAAUUUAAAAACUCAUUAUCAAUACUUUAUGAUUUUAAAGGGAUAGAAUUAUAAUGUAAAAGGGGAGAAUCUCAAUUAUUAAUGCACUUCCAAGAGGAAAAUCAUUGAAUUAUAAUGUACUUGGGACUUUUAUUUUUUGUUUGGUUGUCAUCAUUGCAGUGUUAGUUGAUUUCUAGUUAAAUAUCCAAUUAAACUAUACAACUUGACAGUACAAAGCAAUGAGGACUGCAAACAAAUACAUGUAAUUAUGUUAUCCAGAUUUACCAUCUUCUUUAAAAUAUAUAUAUAUAUAUAUAUAAACCCUCUAAAAAGGAAUUUUAAGGACUUGAUUGUUAAAAUAUUCAAUAACUUUUCAUGUAUAAUCCCAAAAUUGUUUAAAUCUCUAAGACAAAAGGGUUUACACCAUUUCUUUCCCAUAGAAGAGAGGUUGAUGCUAAUGUAUAAAGAUCAAUGUAGCAUCUUUUACAAGAUAUAUUUCAAAUUCUGAAUACAUGUCUACCCAUGUUUGAUUUAAUACUCCAUGAACAAAUCUGAAGCUGAACUGGUGGAUGAAUACCAUCUGUAAGUUCUAUAGGAAUUCAUAGUCUUCUGUUGUCUACACCGAUAUAAUGGUUUGUUUAUUGUUCUCCAGCCUCUGGGAUUAAAAAGUUUAACAGAAAAGAAUUGGCUAAAAAUGUGUUGUAUGAAUUGCAAAGGUGAGACUAUUUGGUAUUGAUGUUACCCUGUAAAGCUAAGAAGGACCCAAGGAAGAACUCUGCAUGAUAUAUGAAAGAAUGUCAGGACACCAACCGAAAAAAUAAAUUUGUUGGAGAUGCAGCUCCUUGAUUUGUUUGUAAUGCCCGCUAAUGUCAGAACAAGCUUAUGGGGUUACAGAUGAACACCUGGGGCAACAAAAAUUAAAAGAUAAGAUUCAACAGCAGAAUCGAUAACUAAUAAAGAUCACCACCCAUUUCCCAAAUUGCUAUGUAAUUUAAUACUCGAGUUUUCAAUGAGCGUAACAGAAGAACUGAAGAUAUUUAGAUACAGAAUUUUCACAAAAAAUGAGGCAGAAUGAUGUCAUGUGAUAACACAAGGGAAUAUGCAAAUUUAUGUUACGUUGAUUCGGGUGUUUGUGUCAAAUACAAGCAUGUGCUUGGUAUGUGUAUGUUUUAAUUCUUUCAUUUAUUUGGAAGGUCCUAAGAUCAUAUUCCUAUAUUUAUGUUUGAAUAUGUGUUAGGCACAAAUACUUUAAAAGAAUGAAGAACCAGAGUAUGAUAUACAGUGCAAAAAGACAGAUACGAUAGUCACUGCAUCUGGGGAUUCCAUGACUCUGUAUGUUUACUUCUUUAUGUGGCUUUUGGAAUAAGAAACUACACUAAUAAAGUUAUCAACAAUUUGAAACAAAAAAUGUAUAUAUGAGAACAUUGAAUAACCAGCAUGUUUCAACCUUUCAUUUGAACUUAUAUGAUAAUGAUAAAGCAAAUCACUUUUGUAUGCCAACUCUAAAUCAAGUGCACAGUAGAGUAAUAUUAACAAAGUUAUCAAACUGUGGAUCCAAAUUUUCCUCAACAGGAAGCAUGUGAACUUGAGCUGAAGGCAAAAAUAUAGCAAUAAAGGUGACCGAGUCAAAGCACAUCAUAAAGAAUUAGUACUGUCAAAGAGGGAACUAUAGCAAUAUAGGAGAGCAUCAGUUAGUAGUAAAAAUAGUAGAACUGAAGCGGUGAAUCUGUUUGUAUUUCCUGAUUCUGCCAUUUGCAAUUUAUUAUCAAGCCUAGAGACCAAUUUACGUUUUAGUUAGAUGGAGAAGAAACAAGAGAUUAGCCUACCUUUAUUCUAUACAUAAUGCAGGAGUGCAUCGGCUGAAGAAUUCCUUAACCUACAGCUCUGUCCCAAAUGAACAUCACCAAAGACAUACCUACAUCACCAUAUAUCAGUGGAAAUCGUAAUAUAACUUGGGAACAGGAGGAAGAGCCAAAAAUAAAAUAAAAAACGGAACCUGUAUUCACAGUAUUCAGGCCAUGCACAUCGAGCUUUUCCGUAGUCCCAGUAACAGUCAUCAUCCCUCAAGGGCCCUCGCUUUGCUAUCAGCAUUGUUAUAAUGAGUAAAACUCAAAUUAAUCUUUGAGAAAAGUAAAACAGUAAACCAUGUUUUACCUUUUGUAACAAAUUUGGAUGGUGAAUCAGCAUGAAUAUCAUGCCAAAUCUGGAGCCAUAACUCUCGCAUUAGAGCUGGUGAUCUAACGAUGUUCCUGUGAUUUGCUACAUGAAGAUGAUAUCAGUUUUACCCACUUGUAAUGAUAAGAAGGCUGAUGUCAAAGAACAUUAGUUAGCAUUGUUAACUCAAUUUUCUUGUAAAAGAAAAUAAGGAAAAAUUGAAAGAGUGCAACUUAAUAUGGAGAACACAUUAGUUAGAAAUGGUUUAAAUAACGCUCCUCAACAUAGAGAUACGGAGAAUGCAAAGUAAACAAGCUAAGCAGCUAAACCAUGAAUGAUAGACAAGCUUUUGAAUUAUUUGAUUGUCCUUUAGCAAGAAUCUGAAAGAGGAGCUCCCCAAUUAACAUCACUCUGAUUUUUAUAGAUUAUGCUGGAAGUAAAUCAGCUGAAAGAAAUUUAUCCAAAACCAUAGAGAACCACUUUCAUUAAAAUCCCUAACUGGAUAACAGCACAUAAUCACAACAACCAUAAUGCCGGGCUAUUUAAGAUUCUUAAAAAGCAUAGUAGCAAUGCAAUUAAGUUCAACAUGAUUUGAAAUCGUACUACUAUAUAAGCCAUUUACUGAGAAAAGAAUUAAAAGGUAUUGUCACCCACCUUUAUCAAGCUCCCAAACUGCUGUCCUCUUUCCUGGAAUGCUUUCCGAGUCUUCAUAGUAAGUUAUGUAUUUGACUCUAGGUGACCUUGUCAUGUUGGGGACUACAUCUUCAUUAUGAUGCUCAACAUUCAACUCCACUUGUACAUCUGACCCAUCAUGCUCCGACUACAAUAUACAUGAGAAAGUUUUACUAUUUCAAACUCCCAAUAGUUAUGUCAUAUUUCAGAUAUGGAUUACAAAACCAUAGCAGACAUACUCCUUUUUAUUAUAUCAGAUGGAUAGUGUUCAUAUGUUUUACCUAUUUGCUGCACGAAUGAAAUACUCUAUUUUAUUAUAUAAAGGGAUUGAGAGAAACAUGCAACAAACUAUGUUAUACAGCUCAUAAAUCAAAUAGCUCAUCAAACUAACCACAAAAAAGAAAAAAAAGCAAUCUGAUAUAUGUGAUGUGUUAAAUAUCCAGAAGAUUGAAAGCUUUUCAAUAUCAUCAUCAUAAUAAACAUAUCAAGGCACUUGCAUUUGACCAAGAAUACCUGUGGAGCUCUUGUUAUGUUCACUCUGGGCCCAAGCCAGUUCUUGCACCAAGAUAGGGAAUGAUAUGGUACCUGUCACAAUUAUGUAAGUGUUAGACCAGUAACUAUAAAACUCAGAUCAGUGAUUGUAAUCCAGUAACAAAGAUUCUUGAUGCAUUUGAAGAAUGAAAUAGAAUGAUAUAAGGGUCACUGAGCUCACUGUCUCAUCACCACUUGCAGGUCCUGGAUUUCCUUCAACCUGAUUCCCUGACCUACAAGAACAAGUGCUACGCUAUUUAAAAGUAGAAUCUAAUGAGAUCAAAUCAUCUUUCAAUAUUUAUUACUGCAGCCACUGCUUUACCUCGUUUACAACAAAUAAUAGUUACUGUUAGAGCUGUUUUAGUUCUAAACAUAGGGAAGAGAUAUGAUUUAGGCAUAAAUGCAGUUAAACAGAUUAACUGAUCCAGUGUGGAUGAUGCUUACCGCGAGACCAGUGAUCCUUCAAUUUCAUAGAUGACAUCAGUAAUUAUCCAAUUAUCAGGGUAAGGUUUGCCGCUUGGUGCAAAAUAAUAACCAACCUGCUCGCAUUAUCAUUCAACACGAUAUCAUCAUAAAAAUUAACCACAAUGAGUAAUAGAAAAGCAAUAACGAUGUGUAACAACUAUAGUGCUAUUCCCAUUUUGUCAGUUAUUCAAACAGCUCUUAAGGGGUUCCUAAUGCAUGACAAUAGUCUCAAACAUGAACAAGAUAAUUAGAAUUUAUAUUCAAAAUUUAACCAUACCUCAGUCCUAGAAUCUACUCCAUAGAUACAGAAAACAUUCUUAAUAGGUGGUCUAUCCCAUGGUGUAAGAGGAUUCAGAACAGGAUCAUCAUGAUAUGACCUGAAAAAUACAACAUAGAAAUAAAGCCAAGUCAAAAUAAAGAAGUCUAAGUUACAUGGUUUGUAUUAAUUAAACUUCCAGGAAAAUCAUUAUUCAAACCAAUAGAAGAAAGUACUAUGAUAAAUUACAAUUAAAAAUAGAAAUUUCAGUUUGUCAAGUAUCAGCCAACAAUGAGAAACAACCACAGACUCUGAAAGAAAACAUGUUGAAAGCAUCUUGACUGGUCUUCAGUGCAAGCAGAUGGGAAUUGAUGAAAGUCCAUUUAACAUUAAUAACUUAUGACAACUGUCAAGCCUGCUUAUGUGAUAGUUCCAUGAAAAAACCACAAUCAUCGCAUCUCCAUAUAAUUUUAAUUAGUACACGUGAUUCAUGUUCAAGAUGAAAUCACUUAGUAUUAGUAUGUCAACAAUCGACAAACAUUAAGAAGAUAUCAGAGUCAGAGAUUGUUAAAUUAUUUGAAAGUAUCAUAGCUAGUAUAAAAUACAUUUAAACCAUGCCUAAACACUUCUUCUGUAGCUCCACAUGAUCUUUUAAAGCAAAAAUGCAGCUCAAGACUCUCAAUAACGAGAUUUGGGAUGAAAAGCCACUUCAUAUAUCAAAACUAGCACCUACAACAUGGGACUGCAUGCAUGAUACACUAGGUGCCAUUUAAGUAAAAUUUAUGCUGAAAGAAGAUUUAAGACCCGACAACUAGAGUUAUAAGGCUUCUAUUAUGAAAUGUUCACCACAGGCAAUAAAGUUGACAGACAUCAUUCUUAUAAUCAAUUACGUCUAUAUCACCAAAUAAUGACCUAGAAAAAGGUAAAUCAUAAUUUUCUCAAAUGGCAUAAAGUUGUGAGAAUACCCACUUCUUCAGUUGGUGCAAGGUCCUCUUGCUAUCUGAAUCAUAGUCCUCUAUUGCUUUGAAAAAGGUCCCAUCUGAUAUUUCACGAGCUGAAAAUGACAACUGUGUUGGGAGUCCACAUUCCAUGCUAGAGUAGUUGGUCUGGGAAAACUCUGAAACUGAUGGAUAGGCGUCAAUCCCUGUUAAUAAAAGAGAUUGCUGUGAGCUUUAUAGCAAUUAACUACAUGUCAUAAAAACAAAUAAAUAAAUAAAAGAAUAAUUUAUUCCAAAGCCUUACCACGGGUUGAAGGUAUUUCAAUGUUGAUUAUAUUAGUUGAAAAACCAGAGUAAUUUGACUGAAAUUCCUUUUGCUCACAUUGAUAGGCAUUAGGCCCCUUCCUGAUUCCCCCAGAAAAAUGCUUCAAAUACAUGGCGUCUGCCCUACAAUACUUUGAAAAUGGCAUCAUCCAUAAUGAAGAACCAAAUGAAUUGAACAUCAACCGAGCAGUUCCCUGAUACCUUGCCAAAAUAUAAAGUAAAUAUAUGUUAAAAAUGCACCAUUAUAUAACAAAUAUUUUUAAUUCCUACAUUUUAGGGAGCAAUGGCAGUCAGUAACAGCAGUAAAUUGAUAUAGAUUCCAUCCCAGUAGUGCAACUUAAUGUGAUUCAAUCGAGUUGAGUUAUACAAAAUUGAGGACAUCAGGGCUUACAAAGAAAUUAAGGAAUUCUGUUGCCAAUUUGCUAUUCCUACAUGUGCUGUAAGGAACAUCAAUAACUUAACUGUUCAGCAUAAAUGUUUUUAACAUCUUGAAUUUUCUCUGGUACUAUUGAAUCAAAGUUUUUCAUAUUGCAUUACUAGACCUGUUUCAUGGAAUCAUGGGAAAUCUUCGGGUAGUUUUAAGACUUCAACAGCAUGUAUCCCAUUGGAAAUCUAUUAUGUUUUCUACAAAAGCUGCCUACAAUUACCUAUCAUUGAAUGUGACAGCAGAUUAAUUUGUUACAAGGUUCUACCAUAAGUUUAAUCUUCAUAUGCUAUUUCCAUAAAGGGGACUAGUUUCAAAAAGCUGUAUGAUAUACUCCAGAGCCAAAAAUCAAGACUAGAUGGAAGAGAAUAACAGCUUGGAGUAUUAUGUUCUAUGAUAUUCUCCAGGGCACAAAUAUCUAUAGUUCUAUAUUGAAUAUCCAUUACUGUUACAUAUGCAUGCUCAUAUAUUAGCUGUUUAAUUGAAAAGGAACCAUAACAAAGGUAAGCUGCUUUCCACUUGAACAUUUAAACAAAAGCUGUUAAAGAAGUUCAUGCAGGAACUUAGUUUUAAGAUUGAGAAAAAGUAGAAUGCAACCUCAGAAACAGGAAGGCCAAAUGUGUUUCCAGAAAGCAUUCCUUUGACUGUCUCAGUUGAACCAAGAAGAGGAGCUCCUAGAAGGAAAAAGAAUAAAAAGUGAAACCCAAGAAAGGGCAAACAUUACUAUUCCAGGAAAAUAAAGGAUUUUAUGCAGAGGAUCAUACCGACAGCAAAAAAAGCAUAAAUAUGAUCAUCCAACCAUUGGAUGUACUGUUUUGGUGCAAUUUCUAGCUUUAACCACUCCAAAAAGUAACGGAAGACAUUAUUACCCAAUGAAUGAGCAAACACAAUUGAUGGCCCCCCUCGAAGUUUAAGAGCAGUUUCGAAUGUCUGCCUACAACCAGAACUAGCACACUGAUUAAAAUAGCCUAACUCCACUGUCACAAUAUUGCAAUAAAGCAUAAUAAUCAGUUGGAAAUCUGUAACUAUUAUGUUAAUUUAGUUUAACAUCAAUAAGAAAUCAUGAAAAUUCAACUUAUGAAAAUCUACAACAAUGCACAUUCGAUGUAUCCUAUAGUUAAAAGUGGCAGAGUAGCACCCAGCCCAAUAUACGGCUCUAGGGUUCUAGUCUUGAGAAAUCUGGACUUGGAUUCUUAUGUUGGGUGCAUAGAAAAUAAACAAUUGCAAAGCACAACCCAAUAUAUAUUUUAUGCCUCACAUAUAAGCAUCUAUAGACGCAACAAUUUUCUCUGACUUGGAUUUAAACGAAAAGCAACUAUAACUAAAUUAUACACUAUCAACAAAAUAAAAGAAAUGCUACAUCAAAAUCAACUUUCAGACCAAUGACCAGAAAAGUAGUGUGUCUUUGGAAGUUACUAAAAAAGAGGCAUCACAAUUCAGAUUUGCAGAAAUCAUGUAAUUUAGGUCUCUUUUGGUUAUCAGAAAAUAGCACUGGAUCCAAGCAUUUAAACAAACAAAUACAAUUCCACUUAUACAAUUUCAGAAUCAUAAAUUCAGUCUCCAAGAUGACGAAAAUACUCUUAUUAGAUUUAAGAAUCUUAAGGUCCUUCAUGGUGCCCAAUCAUUCAUAUCAGUGAAGUUCUACAUUCAUUGAAAAUAUAUAUUCAGCAAAAUCUUGUCAGAAAUAGAUGUUUCAAUAGGAAUAAACAUAUUUACUUUCAGUUAUGAAGAAUGCAUCCAUGAUGUACCAAAAGAUUAGUUACUGCAAAUAAAAAGAAAUUUAUUUGGCUACAUGCAUCAGAGGUAGUAAAAAUAGAAUGAACCAGGAAAUAUGCAUACUUUAACUUGUAAAAGUAAAGGUCUCGCUCCUCAAGCAUUGAUGGUGACAAUCUCCAAUCGUAUGGGGCAGCUAUAAUUGCAUUAGCCUCAAUACCAAAUUCAAUGCACCACUUAACCCAUUCUUUCCACACCGAAGAAAGAGGGCCUGUGGCCACAGAGAAAUUUUAGUUAAACAUGAAGCAUUUUGCAGCCACUUGAAAUACGUUUUAGAAUCACAGAAAGUGUGUAUUAGAAAGAAAAAAAAAGGAAAAAAAAAAAAGAGAGAAGAAUACCUGUAAUGUAACCUGGAUCAAGUUCAGUAAUAGCAGAAAGACCACUAUCAGGACGUGACUUACAUUCUGGAUUAUCAGUUUGGUUGUACGGAUCAAGUAACAUACACUUAAGCCAACAAUUUACAGCUGAGAGGAGCUGCAGAUCAAAGAAGCGUAACAACCUUAGUAUAUUAAAAACAAUCAACUAGUCACCACACGAUACAACCUAUGUUACUCCCAACUCUUCAUUUUUCCUGAAGUAACCAUGUCCAAAACUUAUUCGGAUAUGGAUAUAGGAGCAUGAUAUAUGCAAAAGAAGUCAGAUAAAAUUGAGUGUAUCCAGGUCGGGCACAUACCCGCAUCCCACACUUAGCAUUUAUCUACUAAAUUCCUAGUCGAUAACAUCCUUCACUGUUAACCAAGGCCAAGACGUACAUAAGCUUUAUCGGAAAACACUCAAAUUCAACUUCUUAGAACCUAUAAUACAUCCUAAAAUCCCAUGCACGAGCAAAUAAAAACAAGAUACGAGAAAUAGAAAAAAGGUUAAACAGGAAUAUAUGUGCAUAUAAUAUUCAAAAAGAAAGUUAAAAGACAAUUUUAUUCUGCUAUCUCUAUUAAUCAACUAAACUUUUACUUUUUUCUAACUAUUUUGUUUGUUUAAUCCAAGAACCAGACAGAAUAUAAGCAUAACAGAAACACGAGGAAACCAACUGUAGAUUAAAACGACAAAGAAGAUUGAAUAAAACGGCGAUAAGAAGACCAAAAGUAGGGGGAAUCCUUACUUUAGUAGUGUCGAGCCAAACCAAGUCGAGGGGAUUGAAAUCGAGAGGAGAGUAAGGGCAGUCGAGAAUGGACCAAGCUCUCAACUGAGUUGAAGCGAAUCCAGGGAUUAUUAUCCCCGAUAGCUUUGAAUAAUCUCCUUUCAACUCUCCUUCACCGAGUUGAAAUGUUCCCAAGAAUAGAACUGCCGCAAGUGUCAUCGCUAAACGGCGGUGCUCUCGUUCGUCUCCGCCCAUGGUUGAUUUCUUUGUUUCUCUGUCAUUAGUCAUUGCCUGGGCCUAGCAGCCAUUAAAAUGUUUACAGAGUGUGUGAUGGCUGACUUUUCAACUUCCAUUGGGGGAAUUAAAAAAUAAUAAUAAACACGUUGAAAUCAAAUUGGUUUUUAAAUAUUUUGUAAAAAUAUAUAUAUUGAAAAAUAAACAGUGAAACGGCGACGUCUCGCUUUUAACUAACAACAUUCCGUGGCGCCAAAAGGAAGGAGCUGAAGUUUUUCGAAGCAACGAAGAAUCCGAAGCUGAGAUCCGUCCAUCAACACCGGCAACGGCGGAAAACGACGUCUCAAAGAUCAAAGCAGCAGUCUUCCAUUUCCUCGAAUCUUUGAGUCGGCUUUCAUUUUCUUCGCAAGAUUUGUAUGGCACAAGCUAAAAGAAAACCAAGUAAGAUCUCAAAUACAUUAAGAAAAAUCUGAUUGGAGUCUAAAUUUAAUUGAAUCUAUCGCGCUUUCAAGAAAUUAGGAUUUCACAUCACUUGUCUUCUAACUCAAAAUUUAAAUGGAUUCUAAAAUUUAAAACAUUUUAUUUAAAUCCUCAAAAUAUUAAUAUUGUAUUAAUUAAGCCUUUUCAUUAAUUUGAUUACCAAUUUAAAUGUUAAAUGUCAAUUUAAAUCUAUAGUAGCAAAUUUAAAACACAUCAAUAAAGCUACAAAUACGUGUGUACUUAUGACAUUAAAAAUAUGUUAGAUCCAAACAUAUGUUUACAAUCCGAUCCAUAUAUUUUAAAUAUACUACAAAUCAAUUUACUUUAAAUUUUAAAGACUCAAUUAAAAUAUUUUGAAAAUUAGAUACUAUUUUAAAACUCGAAUAAUAGUUUGAGGAUAUUUAAUGAAAUUAACUACAUAUAUUAAUCAAUUCCAACCGUCCAUUUGUGCCAUCGGCCUUAACGUCAAGACUGUGCUCCACAAGUUAUAACAUUGUCGAAUUGAGUCAAGGAAUUCAGACCAUCAAAUAACUGAAUUUGAACAUUUUAAUACUUGAUUCGAGUAGCUCGAGAUCCUAGUUGAGCUUUAAUAUUUUAAUACAUAUUUUGAUUAUUCAACUAUCAAAUUAUAAAAUUUAUUUGAAGAGUAUAUCUGGCUCACAAAAUAUAAAAUUAUCAGAAUGUAAGAUUACUUAAGAUAUAUUAUUACAGUGUCCUAUUUAAUUCAUUUGCUUAAAACGUGAAAUCUAUUAUUUGAUUCACGGAAUAUAAAAUUAUCUAAAAGCAUAUUUUAGUAAUUAUAUAAUAUUGUUUGAAGAAUAUUGAUACGAAAGUUUAAACAGUAUGCUUAUAUUAUAUUAAUAUAUCAAUUUUCCUUUUUAAGUACAAACAUUAUCUCAUUAUUUGAAUGCAUCAACGUCCUUUGCUUUUUUAUUUUAUCACUAAGUAUAUUUUUUUUAUAAAAAUUAUUUUAAAUAAUUUCUAAAUUUGAUUAAUAUACUAUUUUAUAUUAAAUAUGAUAAGCUAUAACUUUAUAUAUUUUUAUUAAUUUUAAAAUAUUAUGCUAUAAUAAAUUUAAAAACUACAUACAGAACUCGUAAAAUUAAGACUUAAUAUAUUAUUUGAUACUUAAAUUUGACAUUUUUUUAAUGUGGUGUCCGUGUUUUUUCUUUUGUCAAAUGUGAUACAUGUAUUUGGUAAAAUUUAUGAUUUUGCUGCUUGAAAGUAAUUGUGUUAACUAGUGUUUAAUUACGUUUUGGGAGUGAUUUAAUGAAAAUUUAUAAUUAACUAAUAAUUCUUUUAUCAAAUCGAUCUUAAUAUGAAACUUUAUUUAACAAAUAAAAUACAAAAUUAAACAAAUUCACAAUUAACACUAAACUUUUUCCAUUAACAAAAUCAUGAAAAUUCAAACUUAAUAAUGUUAGCAAUUAACUUUUAUCAAAUCCACAAUAAAACUCAAACUAAAUACUAAUAAGUUAACAUCGUUAUAUUUGAGUAUCAAAAUGUAUAACUUUUGACAAAUUCAAACACAGGUACCAAAUUAAAUUUUUAUUAUUUAUUUUACAUUUUUACAAAAAAAAAAUAAACCUUAAAAAAAGUUAUUUUCUCCAUCUUUGUUCUUCAAUUGAUCGGAAAUUUUAAAGCUUCAUCGGAAAAGUUAAAAAUUCCCAUACUUUGGUGAGCUUUUCUAGAUUUCGGCCAACUCUUUUUUCUUUUUUAAAUUUCAAUUUUUGUAAAUAAUUUUUUUAUUUACUUACUUUCAUACGAGAGUAGCAUCACAAUUCUAAAUUUUUAUUUUUUGAUACAAUGUCUAGAAUUACCCAUAGCCCUCCCCAACUAUUAAAUAAGAGGAUAAUGCACUUUAGUGCAUUUGAACUUACGUCAUCUUACACUAGCAAUUUUAUUUUAUUUUCCUUGAAUAGAGCUACUCGUAGACAAAGCACAUUGCAAUUUUAAGUUUUUUUUUUUUUGGUAAUCCAUUAUGAAUAUAUUAUCUAUCUCUUUAAUCAUAUGAUUCUUUUAAAGAUUAAAAACUAACCACAAAUUUUCAAUAUUAGGCAAGAAUAACUAAAACUAUAGUUUAUUCAUAACAAAAAAACAUAAUAUGAUACAAUUAUUUUAAAAAUAUGCUAAUUUCAUUUCUUACUAUGUUCAAAAUUUGCUCUUACAUAAAAAGAAAAGUUGUAAAAAUAAUAGUUAAUAUAUAUGAAUUCAAAAUAAAGAAAAUGACAUAAUUGUAAAAGUUAAGAAAAAAAAUGGGUAACACAUGGUUUGAGUGUGUAAGUGUCUCGGGCCGCAGAUCGAAGCCUGUGACCAAUGCACACAUAACGUUCCAUGGAGGUCGACUAAUUAAAUGAGACUUAUUUGACCCACUUGAACUGACCUGAUUCGUGGAACACAUGGAGAUUAAAGCCUUGGUGGCUCAGUGGAACGCUCCAGUAAAACUAGAGUUAUCAUGGUGAAUAUUGUAAAUCCUAAGGGAUAAGAUUGUAUAGAGUUUAAAUCUCUUUGGACUCUAAUCUUGUAGAUAGGCACUAAUCUCAGCCAUUGAUGUAACUCAAUCUGUACCGCUGGAUCUAAGAAAUUUAACUAUAAAUAGAGCCCCCUCUUUAUUUGUAAUCAUUUCACUUCAUUAUUGAUUUAAAGAAUAUAUUUGAGAGCAUUUACUUAAACACUUUGCGUGCAUUGCUUUCUUGUGGCUUUUCUAUUCAAUUUAAGUUCAUUUCUCUUUUGAAUUGCUUCAACUUUAUUUUUGGUGCCUUAGAGAAUUUCUAAGAGAAGUCUCACUUAAAGAGAAUUAAGUUGACUUAGAUGGAUUUGAAGUAGAGAAAUCGCCUAAGGCUGCACGGUUUGUAAGACUAAAAUUUUAGCCCUAUGACAGUUGGUAUCAGAGUCAAGGUUCAAAGGUACUGAUUGAUAUGAAGAAAGGACUAGAUAAGUAGGUUGACCUUAAAGAAACUGGCGUGAGGGAGGUAAGAAAGAUAUCAGAUUAAGGAAUAUGAUGCCAACUUUAGAUAGUAGGGUUGCCAAACUCGAGGGAUCCGUAGAUGAUGUGAAUGAGACCCUUGAAAAAGUUGAAGGAUGCAUUGUAAAGCUAAAAUUGAGGCAAUAUCAGCUCAAAUGGCAAGUGGCAGAGGCCCUCGAUGUUAAUGUAGAUGUGAUGCAAGGGGUUCUCAAUAUCGUUGUGUGUAAGUUGACUAAGAAGAAUGAUGCUCUCAAGGUAGGCCAUGGCGUCGGCCUUGAAGGAACAGAUUGAGGAGCUCAAUAAGAGCACGUUAUCUGCAAAUUUACUUUGGUUAAUAGGGUGUUAUUUGCGACACCCAAGCCUAAGGUAGAUAUCAAUGAGCUGAAAGAGUUCAAUGGGACGAGGCCUACAAAAGAUGACAACUUCUUGUGGGGAAUAGAUCAAUACUUUCGUGCCAAAGGCAUCGUGGAUAAUGCUACUAAGGUAAAUACUACUAUUAUGUAUUUUACUGAUGUCGCUCUAUUAUGGUGGCGUCGUAGGUCUACAGAUGAAAGAUGAUGUGGUAUCAUUAUUUAGACUUAGGAGGAGUUUCAGAGUGAAUUUAAGGGGUAGUUUUACCUACAGUAUGUCAAGGAUGAUGCUUGAGCUAAGUUGCAUCAACUUACGUAAUAAGGCAUAAUUAGAGAGUAUAUGCAACAGUUUAGUGAAUUAUGCUCCAAAUUUUCAAUUUGGGUGAGAAUAAUGCAUUCUUCUCUUUAUGGAUGGGCUGAAUCUUAGGCAAAGUAAGAGUUGAAACAUCUAGGAGUCAAAGAACUUACCAAAGCCAUGACCAUAGUGGAGUCCUGAAUCAAGCUUGUUCCUAGGAAAGGCAAGUUUGAGUUUUCCAAGCCUAAUGAGAAGGAUAAUGAUGGGGGAGAUGAAGAAAGACAAGUUAAAAAUGGCAAUGGUGGAAAUGGUGGCAAUGAGAAACCUCAUAAUGGGAAGUGAAAGUCCAACAACAAAUCAAAAGAGCUAGUGGGGUGCUUCUUAUGUAGUGGUUUGCAUAGGGUGCAGGACUGCCCAAACAACGAUCCAAGCUAUUCGUAAUCAGUAAAGAAUAUGAAGUGGAGCCUGAUGAGGAAAGGAUAUUAAAGCUUGGGUCAAUGAUACUCAAUUAUGCUAAAGCGGAGAAGGAUCACAAGUAGAAAAAGUUUAUGUUUGUGGACAUCAACAUCACAAGAAAAAGGAGAAAUGUUCUUGUUGAUACGGAGGAUUUUGAUUUGUUUACAUUGGAAAAAGUUGUGGGUAAACUUGUUCUCUUAGUUAGCAAAUUGAAUAAGAAUAUCAAGAAUUUAAUUCUAAAGAGGUCUCAGCUAUGGGAGUAGCACAAGGAGUUGAGCUACAAAUUGGUGAGUGGAAAGACAAGGAAGACUUAAUGAUUACAACCUCAUGUUUGGUUUGAAUUUCCUUGAUCAUAUUAAUACUCUUUUGGUUCCUUUUGCUAAUUGUAUUUAUAUCUUAGAUACUCAUCAAUGACAAUGCAUCGUGUCGGUGAGUCAUGAUAAGAAAGGUGGAACCAAUGUAUUGUAGGUAAUUCAACUAGCCAAGAAUGUUCAUUGUGGCAAGAACAUUGACUUAGUAGAUCGGAGUCUACGAAGGCCUUUUAGAAAUGCUAAAGGCGCGACAAAUCGAAGUGAAACCUAUUGGGUUAUCAGUGGGGCUACCACUUAUGAGAGAGGUGGUUUGUGCAUCAAACUUUGGGGGGAAAUGGUGAUGCAAACUGGACAGCUAGAUUGAGUAAAUGCUACAAGUAAGGUACAUCUCAAACACUUUCCUUGAGGUAAGGUGAAUGGCUUACAAACCAGAAUCAGCAACAAUACUCAAGGUUAACCCUGUGUUGAAGCCUAUUUGUAAGGAUCAAGGGGAUCCGAACGAGGCAAUUCGCAAUGGGGGCAAGUAAAAAACUGUGGGCUCUUGCGAACAAUAUGAAUAAAUAAAGGAAAUAGUUCAAGUUAGACAGUAACAAAGACAUAAGCUGAGGCAAAUGUUUUGCGGGGCGAAACUACCUAAUAAAGAGAAUGGUUCAGAAUCAACUAAGGUGUCGUGGCAGAUCUGAGAUGAGUUAGACCAGUGUCAUUCCGAAGAGGACAAGAGCAUCGCGAGAAUGGGUGAGGGAGAAUGUCACAGGCUGUAAAUCAAAGCCCAUGAAGAAUACACACAGAACGUCCCAUGGAGGUCAACUAAUUAAAUGUGGCUCAUUUGACCCAUUUUAAUUGGCCCGUUUGUGGAACACAUAGAGAAGUCCAUCUACUUAAAGCCUUGGUAGCCUAGUGGAACACUUUAGUAAAACUAGAGUUACCAUAGUGAAUAUUGUAAAUCCUAAGGGAUAAUAUUGUAUAGAGUUUAAAUCCACUAAGACUUUCAUAUUAUAGAUAGACACUAAUUUCAGCCAUUAAUUUAACUCAAUUUGUACCGUUGGAUCUGAGUGAGCUCAACUAUAAAUAAAGCCCUCCCCAUUCAUUUGUAAUCACUUCACUUCAUUCUUGAGUUAAAGGAUAUAUUUGAGAGCAUUUACUCAAACACUUUGUGUGCAUUGCUUUCUUGUGGCUCUUUUGUUCAAUUCAAGUUUCUUUCUUUUCUUUUUUUGAGUUACUUCCACUUUUAUUUUUAAGUGCCUUAGAGAGUUUUAGGGAGAAUUCUCACUUUAUGAGAGUUAGGUUGACCGUGCAGUUUGCAAGACUAAAGUUUUAGCCGUGUGACAUAAGGUGGUAGUUUAAAUGUAAACCUAAUUUUUUAAUCUAUACUAUUAUUUAAACUCUUGACUGAGUUGAUGUCACGAGUCAACUGGACACCAAAAAACAGUAAAAAUAUUAUUCGACAAUAAGUAAUAUUAUGGGAUGCCCUUCCAUGAUUAAAAUAAGUAAUAUUAUUUAACAAUAUUUUAGUCCUUUCACUUAAAAACAAUAAAAAUAUACAUACGAUGGAAUUUGAAUCCACACCAAUUGCAUUAAUAAAAACCUUUAAUUUACCGCUCAAGUAAAUAUUUAUUUUAAUAUUUUUAUACAUUUUAAUUUUAUUGUGCACACUUUAUUACCUAUAUCAGUUGUAUCUAUACUAUUAUUUAAACUCCUAAUUGAAUUGGUGUCACGAAUCAAUUGGACACCAACUAGGUUAGAGAAAUUAUGAAAAUAUUCAUUCGUAAUUAAAAUAAGUUAUAUUAAUCAAUAGUAUUUUAGCCUUGCAUCUAAAAACAAUAAAAAAAAAAUAUACAUAUAGAAAGAGAUUUGAACCCACACCAAUAACAUAAAUAAAACUUUAACUCUAUUUUAAUUUAUUUAUACAUUUUAAUUUCAUUAUACCCACUUUAAAAAUAAUUUUCACAUAAUUUUCACAGGCAUGCAUAAUAAAAUUUAUAAUUUUUAUUUAUUAUUUUAAAUGGAAUCUUCACAUCAAAGUUGCAGACUUGUUUGGCUUUUUAGUUCCCAAGAGGAUUAAUUUCAUUUUAUUUUUUUAGCACUAAUGGCAUUCUCAUAUCGACUGAAUUGAGGCAGCUGGAUAUCGUAGCUUUGUUUUUGUUUUGUAACAUUCACUCAAUGAACACACUAAAGUUGAAAUAUCAAAUUUCAACCUAAAAAAAAUUUUGAAAUAUUAAAACGUGAAAAGUUUAAUUUAAAAAAAGACAAAGCUAUAUACAAUUUAAGAUAUUGAACCAAGCCUUAUAGUUAUCACCAUUUGUUCAUUUCAUAGCCAUAUCAAUAACCAUCAUUUUCUUGUAUUUCAGAUAAAUACAUAUAACCAUAUAUAAACAUGCAAUUCACAAUUUCAAAUGACAGAUUCAUGUAAAUGAGCUCAAUAUCAUUAGCUGUUUAAUUUCUGUCACUUAAAUUCACAUACACAUAAUUUAUUAACAUAACCUGUCAAACACAACCUCUGAAUGGUGAGAUCACAUAAUUGAGCUCAAUUUCACUGUUCAAUAUGUUUUAUCACAUAAAAUUUGCUUAACACUUACCAUAAUUUGUCAAAUUAGAGAACGUCUUACGGAAUUGAGUACUUCGUUUUCACAUUGUCAUAUUAUAACUAUGGUCUUGCACAUCGUCACAUAUCACACACCGAAGCCAUAGCCUAGCUAUGGUCUUACACGGAAAUCACAUAUCACACUGAUGUCAUAUCCCAGAUAUGAUCUGACACGGAAAUCACAUAUCACAUCACACCGAUGCCAUAGCCCAGCUAUGGUCUUAUACAGAAGCACAUAGUCACAUCACACCGAUGCCAUAGCCUAGCUAUGGUCUUAUGCGGAAGCACAUGAUAAUCACAUUUUCACAUGUUGCCAUGGUCAAACCAUGGUCUUUUCUGUCAAUUCAUCACAUAUCAUUGAACGAAAGUAGUCAUUCCUGCGUUCUGCUCAAUUUGACAUUUUAGUUCUUUUUACGUACUUUUACAAUAUUCACACUUUAAAUACGAACAUAUGAAAUGAUUCAUCAUUUCUUUCAUUUACUAACAAAUAAUUAUUAAAUUCAGCUAUAUGAACUUACAAUUCGAUUUUUAUAACAUAACGAUAAUCAUAAUUUCAUAAUAACUAUUUGAAAUAAAACAUUAUAUCAUUUCUAAUUCAACUUUUAUUGAUUAUAAUCGGGCAUAUGACCAAUUUAUACACAAGUCAUUCAUAUAUUUUCCUCCUCCUCCUCUCUAUUCCACAUCCUUAAUGUAUAUAACACGCUUAUAAGUAACAUUAUCUAUAAUUUCACUAUUUACUUAUAUGUAUAUUCAAAGCUGUCCAUUCGUGUCAUAGUCACUAAAUUAUUUUUAUCUUGAGCUACAGAACUCCAAAUUAAGAUCCGCUUGAUGUUUUUGAAACUAGAUUCAUAUAUCUUUCUACCAUAAAAAUUUCAGAAUUUAUAGUUUACCCAAUUAGUACAGUAAAAUCUUCAAAUUUAUCCCUGUUCUGUUGUUUGGCAGCUUUGACCUAUGCUUACUAAAAAUUAAUUAUCUCUUAGCAAAGAACUUGGAUGAUAUUCUCAUUUCUUUCUAUUGAAAAUAGACUCAUUAAGAAUUUAAAAAUAUAAAUUUAAGCCCAUAAUUAUUUUUCUCCAAUUUUUGAUGAUUUUCCAGAGUCAGUACAGGGGAACCCGAAAUCAUUCUGGUAUUGUCUCACAAAAUUUAUUAUAUCUCAUGAUUUACAAUUUCAUUACUUACACUGUUUCUUCUAUGAGAAACUAGACUCAAUAAGGCUUAAUUUCAUAUUUUAUUCAUCUUCUAAUUCGAUUCCCAUAAUUUUUGAUGAUUUUUCAAAGUUAGACUACUGCUGCUGCCCAAAACUAUUUUAGUGCAAAAUGUUGAUUGCCAUUAAUUUUAUUAUAAAGGUUUAAUAUAACUUUUGGUACUUCAACAUGCCAUUUAUUUUUCUAGUACUUAAAUUUGACACUUAUUCCUAAUAGACAUAAUGACUUAUUUGGUCUUCCAAUUUUACAAAAGAUUUUAUUUUAAUCCUCCAUUUAAUUUUUUCUUUCUUUUAAUCCUUAAACUUGCAUUGCUUGUCAAAUCAACUCAAAAUGGAUAGAAAAAUUAACAUUUGUUAAUAUUGUUGAUAUUGCCAAGUAAGCAAUUAAUUUUUUAAAAUUUAAAAAUUCAAUUUUUUUUAUAAAAUUUAUUAAAAUGAUUAAAAAAUUAUAAAAUAUAAAUAAAUAUUAAUUUUUCCAUCCAAUUUAGAUUAAUUUGACAAAAAACGGAAGUUAAGGGCUAAAAGAGACAAAAAAAUUAAAUGACGGCUAAAACAAUUGUUUCUAAAGUUGAAAGGCCAAAUAAAUCGUUAUACCUUCCUAAUUUGGUACUUAAAUUUUUUUUAGGUCCAAUUUAGUACAUAAACUUGACAACUUUUCUUAAUUUGGUACUUAAUAUUUUGUUCUAGUCCAAUUGGGUACUUGAACUUGUCAAAUGUUAUAUCAAUUACUUCAAUGUACUAAUAAUGUUAUUUUUAUUAUGAGGUUACAAAAAUAAUUAAUGUAUAGUAGAUGAUAUGAAUUUUUUUUAUUUUUUUUAUUUUAUUAAUUUAAAAUAAUGAAUUUAUUUUAUUUUGAAUUUUUGAAACUCUUAUUUUCUUAUUCAAUAUUAAUUCGUUAAACAUAACUCAAUGCAUAAUUUUUUAACACAAAUUUCCUCUAGUACAAACAAUAUUUUUGUUAAAUUGAAAGUUUUGUGGUCCUUCUUAAAUUAUUCUUGCCAUUAACAAUCAAAAUAAUCUCAGCCUCAAUAUAAAGUAAUAUUUGAGCAUAUUGUUUACCGUAAUAUAAAGAAACCAAAUAAAAGUAACCAUUCCAUGUCAUUUAUCAUAUGUUAGUCAUACAUUUUCUAUUUUUAUCUACUUAUAAAAAAAUAACACUGUUAGUGUUUUGCAAUAAUCUGUAUAACAUUUGACAAGUUUAAAUAUCAAAUUCAACCUAAAAAAAAAAUUUAGGUAUCAAAUCAGGAAAAAAUGUAAGUUAUUAAAAUCAAUAAAAUUAUAUCUCAAAUUAAUAAAAAAAAUUUCAAAUUCAAGUACCAAAUGUUAUAUUAAGCAUAUUACAAAACCCAAUUUUUUCUCACCUUCCGCAUUUGCCCUAAAAUUUCACGAAAAAUAGGUUUCUUUCUCCCGCUUCUCUUCUUAAACACCUUCUCGAUGUCUAAAAUUGAUACCUUAUUAAACACGCGUUAUCUUAAUUUUUAAAAAUGCAAAUUUAAUUUAAUAUUUAAUUGUGAUCCAAAGAAAUAAAGAAAUUUAUUUAUAUAUUUUUAGAGUAAAUAGCAUUUUAUUUAAAAAUAAAAAUAUCACCAAAUAUUCUUCCAUUAAUCACAAAAAUAUCAGGUUCUAUUUUGAUUUAAUCUAUGUAAUAGGACAUCCCAUUUUUAAUAAAAAUCAAUGACAUUUCACCCAACCUAUCCAUGAAUCCAUGAUUUAUAAUAAAUCUGAAAUUAAAUCAAGACAUUUUUUGAAAAAUUAGGUAUAUAUGUUGGUUUAAAAAAAUUAAGGUUUUAGGCCGUUUUAUUUGAAAAUUAGGGAAAUAAUGUGUCCUACACGGUGAGUUUUCACCCUCUCCUAUCAUGCCACCAGAAAUCACUUUCUGUAAAAAAUAAUAAUAAUAAAUUAACGAUUAGAUUGAGUUUUGAAAACCCGAAAAUCCCGGAAUAAAAUUUACAUCUCAUCUUUUUCAUAGCAAAACAUGAAUAUUAUCUUUAAAAACUUCUCAAAAAAUCGCUUCUUAUUAGAAAGUUUUUUUACUUGUCAUGACCGAUCUUUUCCAACAUUUUGAAAGAUUUCUCUUAUUCGGUGGUAGAGUUUCCUAUAAAAUGAAGAUUGAUAUGGAGAGAUUGUCAUAGUUAAAUUUUGAGCAUAAAAUUUACAUAAGGAGAAAAUUGUUGAUGUUAAAUAUCUGAAGUUUAAAAAUCGACCCAACAAAGUAACUUAGAUCAAGUAAGCGUCGUUUGAAUUUGGUUAAUGAGUAUAUAUAUUUUUGUAUAAUAUUUUUGUUUUAAACAUGUGAAACAGGUUUUUUGGCGAAGAUAAGUAGACGAAUUAAAGUCGUUAUUUAUUAUGACGGUCAAAUUUGUGACACCAAAAUUAUGGUCAUUUUUGUAUCAACCCAAUAUACAGAAUCGGCUUUCAAUUAGAUCAUCAAAUUGAAUGAGAUUCUGACAAGAAUUAGAAGGAAAGUCUCAGUUUCAAGCCAGAGGAGAAUUUCGAACUCGAAAUAUAUAUACCUAACAUCAAUGAUGUAACAACCUGAUUUUCAGUGGUAACAAAAACAGCGAUUCAAGGUCACCAAUUCCGAUGAGUAAGAUCAUAAAUUUUACUAUUUAGUAUUUACGAGUCAAAUGUGGUUUUAGGAAGACUUUUAAAUUAGUAAUUUGUGUUUUAUAAGGAUUUAUUCAGUUAAAUGGUUUAGAAAAUGAGAUAUUGAGACCUCGAUUCUAUAAACCGAGCGAAAAUAUUUUUAUAAAUAUUUACAGAGUGGCAUUAAGGUAGUAUUAAAGUUUCAUUAGAAAAUUUUAAUGUUUUGAUAGCUAAUUAAUUAAAAAGGACUAAAUUAAAAAAAGUGCAAAACUUGCUAAAGUGAUUAAAUAGCAUAAAUGGUAAAUAAGGGAGGACUAAAAGGAAAAAUAUGUCAAGUGGAAUGGCUGAGGCGGCAUAAGUGUGAAAAAUAAUAAUAAAAUCAUGUGAUUUAAGGGCAAAAUUGGAAAUAAAUAAAAUUCAAAUAUUAAAUUGAAAAACCUAAAAGUUUCUAGACAUUUUCUUCAUCAAUUUUCUGUCCAAAAACACCAUUUAAGACCUCUCAAAAUUGGUUUUCAUAUUUUAGCUUCAUGUGAGUUUAAUUCUUGCCUUUUUCUUGUAAUUUUUAUGUUUUUAAGACUUUUACAAUUAGGUCCACUAGCUAUUUCAUCAGUUUUUUUAUUUUAUUGAGAAUUUUAAAAGUUACCAUUGAUGAAUACUCGAUAUUUUUGAUGAAAUAACAUGGAUUUAGAGCUUUAAUUUUGUUGUAUGAUGAUUUUAAUAAGUGAUUUGUUAAAUAUUGAUUUUAGGACUAAAUUGUGAAGAAUUAAAGAAUUAGGGUUUGGUAUUAAAUUUAUACGUAUCAAGGGCUAUAAUAUAGCCUAUAAUAUUUAGAUAAAUCAUCAAUUGAGAAAAAUUAGUUCAUUUGAUAGACUAAUUAGGAAGGGGACUAAAUUGCAAAAGUUGUAAAAAUUAGGGUAAUUGUGUAAUUUCAAAAAUUGAGGGGUAUUAAUUGUGAAGUGAAUUGGAACUGAAAUAUAUGCCAAAGAAUGAGUAAUUUUAUAUUUUAGAUCAAAAGUCCGUAGAUACUCGUGAAAAAGGGGAAAUUAGAAGAAUAGUCUCUGAACUUUUACAAAUUUUACAAUUUAACCCAGGUAAGUUCAUAUGGUUAAAUUUUAUUAAUUAUAUUGAAUUGGUGAAUUAUAUUAUGUAUUUUAUUAUAUUUUUGAAAAAUGAAAUAUUGUUAAAUUAUAAAUUUGAAGUGAAUAUCUGGUUUAAAUGGAACACGGUAUUGAGUACAAUCAUUGUGUGACGAAAGACAACAAAGGAAGAAUUGAUGAAAAAUUACCCAAGUAAACUGAGGUUCAGCAUUUUUUACGAACUUUCGUGUUUACUUUCCGUUUAGCUCUCACGAGCUUCUGUUUAACUUAUAUGAGUUUCCAUUUAACUUUUUUGAGCUUCUGUUUAACCCUUAUGGGUUUCCAUUCAACUCUUAUGAGCUUCCGUUCAACCCUUAUGGGUUUCUGUUUAGCUCUUAUGUGCUUCUGUUCAGCCUUCAGGCUUCUGAAAAUUAUGUACUCAUAUCUGUAAGUCAUUCUCCAAUUUGGUAAGACUUGGUAAGUGACUUAUGUAAUUGAAAUUGAAAAUUUUAUUAUUUAUUAUUGAUAUUGAUUUGAAAUAAGUGAGUUCAUUGAUUAAGGUUGUGAUUGACAAGAAGAUUGCAUGAAUAAUUUUGUAAAUUUGAUUUGUUAUAAUCGGUUCGGUAAGAUUUAUGUUUAACUUAUUAAACUUACUAAACUUCAUUAAGCUUACUUGUGUUGUUUAAUGUCCUUGUAGAUAAAGUGAGGUCGGGAGAUCGAAUCAACACAUCAAGUCACACUAUCCAGCUCAUCCCGAUAGUCUUUGAAACAUAUUAUAUGGUUUAUAUGGUAUGUAUAGGGUUGGAAUGGUUUUAAGUAAAAUUAGUUUGUGCAAAUGUUAAAAAAAAUCACAUUUUGUUAUAUAUUUCCCAUCAACUUAUAUAUGUAUGGUUUAAUCAUGCUUGAUAUAUGUUUGGAGUAGUUAAAUGAUGGAUAGCUUAUAGGCAUAUAGGUGAAUGUGUAAUAUAUUUUAAUUGACAUAAUAAAUCAAAUAUGUGAUUUAAUCAAUACGGUAAAUUAAAAAUGUUAGGAUGUAGGUGGUAAUAACAUAUGUUUUAAGCUUGAUUUAGUUGUACUGAGGGAUUUGUUAUGGCUUAUGAGAGUGUAAUUUGAAGUGUUUAGGUUGGAAUUUAAAUGGGUGAGAAAAGUGCCUUGAAAUGGCCAAUUUUCGUCCACACGGGCGUGUGUCUUAGCCGUGUGUGACACACAGCCAAGCACAUAGGCAUGUGGUCUAGCCAUGUGUCCCCUGCAUCGUUAAAAUUUAGAAACAUAACACUCAAGUUUUUGCACACGACCUAGCACAUGGGCGUGUGGCUUGGCCGUGUGACCCCUACACCUUAAUUUCAUAACACACGGCCUAGCACACGGGCUUGUGACUUGACCGUGUGACUCAAGUCAGAGAGUUACACAGGCAUGGACACGGGCUGGGACACGACCGUGUGCCUCACAUCGAAUGCCCACACGGCCUAAGACACAGGCGUGUCUCUUGGCCUUGUGAGCCACAUGGCCUGGCCACACGGGCGUGUGUCCCCUGCACCUAAGAAAAAGAUUUAAAAUUUCGGGAAAAUUUCUCUGAGUUUUCGGUUUAGUCCUGAUUUAUUUUUGAUGUGUAUUUUAGGCCUCGAGGGCUCAUAUAAGGGACAAUAUGAGUGAUUUAUGAUUGGUUUCUGAUAUGUAUAUUAAAUGUUAUGAAAUUUUUGUAUUCAAAUUUGAAAAGUCCGGUAAUGCUCCGUAGUCCUGUUUCGACGACGAAUAAGGGUUAAGGGUAUUGCAAAUGAACCCUAUUAGAUAUGAUACAUUUGAGCUUGAAAGUGACAUGGAUGUCGAGUUAAUCCUCAAUGCGUAUUACUCUACUAAAAAAUCUAUAAUAGAGUUAAAUGCCCAGUUUGUCGAUAUCGAGAAAGGUGGUCCGAGUUUGACAAUAGUUCCAAUUAAUUUGUUACGAUAAUAGAAAGCAAAAAGUCCAACCACACAGCUAUGUGGUGGUUUCAUGAUGUUGUUACAAAGCUCAUAUUUGAUAACAAAGAGUCCUUACAACCUGCACCGGCGAAGGGAUAUCCAACCCUGAACAUGAAACCACAAUUGGGAUUGAUAACAAAGAGGAAGUUGAAAACAAAAAGGAGAUGAAACCAAUGAUGACCCAAUCCGGGAGUCCCAGUUGAAUGGAUCAUAUUUGUAUUAUUUUUUGAACCAAAGGCUAAACCUAUUAAACCAGAAGGGAAUGGUUUUGACAGUGAAAGUCUGGACAAUGCUAGAGGAACCCAACCAAAUUUUACAGCAUAUAAACCUCCACCCUACAUGCUUAAUUCAACCUUGAUGCUGAAGAUGGGUUAAAAUUUUCAAAACUUCUUCCUAAAAGAUCAAGCCAUGCAAAUUCUCACAAAUUUUGACAAUUUACAAGUUGGAAUGGAGUUUUCCUCCAAAGAUGAUGUUGGUGUAGUGAACCAGUAUAACAUAAAGCAUGGAGUCCACUUUGAUGUUACAAAAUCGCAAGUUAAAAAAUAUAAGACGAAGUGUGCAAUGCAUGAAAGUAGAUGUCUAUGAAAAAUCAUCUGAAAUGAAGGUGAAAGUCUAGAUAAUUAAAAAAUAUGAUGCUCAACAUACUUGUGUUGUUGCAGAUAUGUCACAAGAUCAUCUGAAAUUGGAUUCUGACCUUAUCUCUAACAUUGUCUUAUCCAUAGUGAAAUAUUUGUGUUGUUACAUGUAUGUCACAAGAUCAUCCAAAAUUAAAUUCUUACCUUAUCUCUCACUUUGUCUUACCUAUGGUGAAAGUGAAUCCUAAGUUCCCGUGCCGGUUUUGAUUGAUGAUAUUUGCAAUGAGUAUGAUUGCACCGUGUCGUACUACAAGACAUGAGUUGCAAAACAGAAAACAAUGGAAAAAAUGCAUAAUGGAUGAAAUAAAUCAUAUAACUUGUGACAAUGGUUGAAGGUAUAGAAUCAAGACAUCCCAAGUACUUUCAUCGGUCUGCAAAUGGAGUCUGUGUAGCAUGAAAAUUGAUAUGACAUAAUUUGAUAUGUCAAAUUAGGCUUCCCAUUAUGCUUAAAGAGCUUGUUUUUUAGCAAUUUAUAUGUUUUUUUCGUGUUUUUACUUAGUUUUCGUUCUUUGCUUUAAUAAGUGAUAUAGUGCGUUUUAUGCCACUUUUGAGACUCGAAAUGAUCAAAUGUGCCAUAGGGAACCUAAUGGUUGAUUAAGCGUUGUAGGGAGUCAUAGGAGGCCCGAACAUGAGCGAAAACAUCACCUAGAAGGGGGUAUCGCGAUAUCGAAGUAUGAAAGUCAUGAAACCCCUACAGUGCUAAAUUAAAAAGGAUCGAGGCCAUCCACAUUGGUAUCACAAUACCAACUAUGAGUAUCGUGAUACCCAACUCCCAAGGAUUCCUCCAAGUCAAGACCAACGUGGGUAUCGUGAUACUCCUGACGAGAAGAGACAAAAAAUGAUUGUAGGGGCAGACUUUGUCCAACUUCAGCACCAAUAAAAAAUACACACUAAAGGGCAAUUUGGGCAUAAAUGUUAGGCCAGGAAAAUGCUAAAAUAGGCUAAAUUUGGCUGAAAGAAAUGAGACACUUCACAUUAGCUAGUUUUUACAUUUUUCUCUUCAUUUUUUAGAGUUUAGUUCUUCUUCUCCAUAACUUAAUAUUUAUUUUCAUGUUCAUUUCUAGUUUUUCUUAGUUCCAUUGCUGGUAGUUAAGUUAGUUGUUAUUAUAACUAGGAUUUAUUUACUCGUUUAGCACUUCAAACUUCAAUGUAUUUUCACUUUAAUCCUAGUUUAAUGUCAUUUAGUUUUCCUCAAAUUUCUUUGUUAAAAAUAAUUCCUUUAGUAUUUUCAAUCACUUAUCUUGCCGCCAUUGUUGUCUUCUCCAAGCUUUUGCAAUAAAGCUUGGGUUUUUAUUUAUUUGCUUUUGGUUUAAGCUUAUGUUAGUUUUGUCUGAUUCUUUGUUGUUAAUAGGUUUAAAUAUAAGCAUGAGUAGUUAAAUCCUAAGUGAUCGGUUAAUGAAAAUGAUGGAUAACUGAUUUUUUUAUUUGAAACGAUCCCACACUCGGCAGACGUGAGCUUGAGGAUAGCAGAGAAGACUACUCGGUUGAAGCACUAUCCUAGACGAAUCAAAAAGGUACAAUUUUGACUACUUGGUUGAAGCACUAUCCUAGACGAAUCAAAAAGGUACAAUUUUGAUUAAGUAUUUAUUACUUUAGAUAUCACAAUCAAGAUCUUGUUUUGGAAAUUUUUUAAAACUCUGGUUUUCCCUAAAUUUAUUUUUCGUUGCGUUUUCCAAACCCGUUUUUUCCAACAUUACGAUAUCCAAGUGACAAGGAAACAUCUUAUUUCAAUACUGACGACAAUAUCGCGAUAUCCAACCCUAGGUAUUGCAAUAUCAUUAUCGUAAAGGAACAAAAAAUGACGUCAUGGGUAAUGUUUGUCCAGCUGAAACACCAAUGAGAGAAGGCCCAUUCAAAGGUAUUUUGGUCAACAAAGUGGGUCAAAAUUUGUUGCUAAAUCAACCAAAAUUGGCUGAAGAGAGUGAAAGACUACACUAGUUUAGUUUUUUGCUUUAGUUUUCUCUUAGAUUUUCUUCCCCAUUUUCUAGGGUUUCUUCUUCUCAUCUUCUUCCUUAGUUGUAGUUAUUAUUUUUCCUGCAAUUUCUUGUUGUUCUUAGUGUUAGUUAAGUUAGCUAUUACUGUAGCUAGGGUUUAUUUGCAUUUCCAGCCCAUUUACUUCACUUGUAUUGACACUUUCAUCUUUGUUUAAUGCAUUUUCAGUUUCUUUAUUUUACUGUUAGAUGUUCAUCUUUGUUUUGCUCUAAAGUUUUCUUCAUUAAAAGUCCCAACUUUAUCAGUUUUCUUAAGCUUUCCUUUUAUGGUUGUCAUGGUUGUUAUUUUUAUGUUUGUUAGUUUAGUUUUCAACAUGAGUAACUAAACUCCUAAAGAGGUUGGUUGAUGAAGAUGUGGUUAAGCUGAUUUUAGGUUAAGAGACUAAAUUGUAACAAAUUAGACUAAAUUGAAUGAACGUAAAAACUUAGGAUUGAUGACCCUAAGGAAAGAUUGCAAGUGAGACCAAGCAGUAAUCUUGUUGAGCACUAAUUAAUUAGUUCCGGGUUAGCAGGCAAGAUCAAGAGAUAAACUGAACUAAUUUGUAUAAUUUGGUAAAGUUGAGAUCGAAACGUAAAAUGGAACCACUUUAGGAGUUUAUGCAAUUUAGGACUUAAUUGAAUGAUUAGUGAACCGCAUUGAAGCCAACCAACCACCUCUUGUUAUUUAUUUGUGAAUUUCAUAACUUUACAUCCUUUACUAUUUAGUCCUUUAAGUUGUUAACAGAUAAUUGAUCUGUCGUAAUUCGGUGUAGUAGAUUAAACUAAUUUUCGUACUUUAGGAGCUUGAAAACAAGUAUUCUCAUUAGGUUUUAAUUAUGUUUUAGUAAAUUUAAUUAAAUUCAAUAAAAUAUGCAAAUUGAAUCUUUUAUUAACCUUAGAGGCCGAAUGAGGUCUAAGGGUGACCUAAUGAACUUCGUGAGUGUACAGGAGACCAUUAGAAGGUAUGCUGAACCGAUACUGGUUGCUAUAUCGCAACACAGAGGUUCAAUGUCACAAUACAGGAAGUAGAAUGGAGGAAUUUUGAGACUGCCUUCGAUGUCGCGACAUAGCUUGAGUGUGUUGCGACAUAUCCCUGAAGACAUCUUGAAGAAAAGUAUACUAACUUCUACUUUGCAACACAAAUCCUGAUGUGCCGCGGCAUCGACUCUGGACAAGAAUUAAUACAAGUUAGAGGACGUUUUAGUCUUCACAAUCAAAUUUAAAGCUCGGGAAUAUCAACUAACCAGGGUUAAGGACGACGGUUACCUCAAAUCUAUAAAUAAGCUCAUUUGCCACAUGUUAUGGAUAUCAAUUACUUAGCUUAGAAUCUCUCUUUUAAUUCCAGUUUAGCUUUUCUCUUUUCUCAGGUUUUAGAUUUAUUUUCAGUUUGUUCUUUAUUUUAUUUCAAGAGAUCUGAUUUGAGGAUACAAUCAACUCUUGUGGAUUCGCUUUUACUAACAAUACAAAUUAGUCUUUUUCUUAAACUCUAUACUUUUGAUUCACUUAUCACGUUUACACUUUAUAUCGACUCUAUACUGUUUAUGAAAACCAUAAGGAACUAAUCCCUCUAUGAGGGAUUAGUAAGUGGAGGUAUGAUAUAUUAACUAUUUUAUAGGGUUACUCAACGAAUCGGCUGUUUGGAAAAGAAAGAACCUAAACCCUAGGCUUGACGACCCUAGGAAGUCAUCAAUGUAGGAAUUAACCCAAAAUUGGUAUAACCUAUUUGUGAACACCUUCACCCUAAGCCAGUCUGGACUAUGAGGUCGGAAGAUAAAUAGUCCUUAUUGACUUGUUAUUCUAGUGGACGUAUCGGAAGAUCAUACUAGGAUAUCGACUAGUUGAUUGACAAGAAACCCAAAAGGACAGUUGAUGAAGAUUACGGAAGAGCUAAUCACCCAUAAUCAGAUCUGAUUAAUUCCACUUUUCAAUUUGUUGAUAUUUAUUUGCUAUAGUUUAUUAUCAUAAAAAUCCCAAAAAUCUCUUUUAUUUAUAUUUGCGUAAUGUAACCUAUUUCAAGUACUAAUUAUAUCUUUUGGUGUCUAGGUUAAAAUUAAUCUAGCACUAGCCUCCCUUGGGUACGAACACAACUAGACCCGUAUACUUGUGGAUACAACUUUAUUAAUAUAUCUUUAGUAGUUUACCCUAAAAUUUAAAAUAAUAUAAAAUUAUUUUUACAUUAAUAUUUAUAUUUUUUAUAGUUAAUUUAAAGAAAAUAUUUUUUUACCAUAUAGAAAUUAAAUUGAAUCAGACCCACCCCGUAAAAUCUAGUUAGGUGAAUCACACAUUUUGCUCUUGCAUUACCAACAAAAUCAUAAGAGAUUUUUUACAAACAAGAUAAAUCCCUUUUAGAAUCACAGCAAAUCAACAAUAGUGGCAAAAAGGAAAAAUAAAAUAAUAACAAAGGUUUGUAAAACACCAUUUAGCACUCCACGCCACAUUGUUUAAGAACUGGACCUGUUUGUUUGGGCAAGAAGGGAUCGAUCCGUACCCAAACAAGUGAGAAAAUCGAUGCCAAAAGUAUGGACCAAAGCACAACAAUGGUGGGCGUCCUGUUUUGUCUCCCCAUCAAACCUUUGAGGAAUGGGUAAAGAUGAAGAAUGACCCAGAAUGCGAAGAACAGUUUGCCGAACAAUGGACCCCAUGAACCAUAGCCGUUGUUGAUUGCGUCUGAAACUCCGGCCACAACUCCGACCAUGUUCAGUAUUAUCAGAGUUGUGGGAGGGAUUAAGAGAGUUGUCCAUUUGAAGAGAUAAAGUUCACCGAAUUCUGUAUCCUCUGCUGCUUUUGCUGUUACGGUGAAGUUGGUGUCUACUCCAGCUAGGACUUUGAGGAGGCCUUGGAAGACGGCGAAAAGAUGGGCGGAGACACCUCCGAUCACCCAGAAUUGUUCAUUGCGCCACCAGUCUUGGAUGCUAACCCCGCUCCAUCGAAGUUCAAGCACUCCAGUUGCAAUGAUGGAGAGGAAAAGUGCCAAGAACCACACACUUGUAAGGUUGCUUAGCUGCAAGAAAACCACUACUUGUCAAGCUUACAGAAUCAAGCAAAAAAAAACCCGCCCCAUUGCAUUGCCAUCCUUAGCCAAUUUCGUAAAAUAAUGACAGUAAAUACUUACAGUUGGGAUGAUGAAUUUGCCAGUGAGGAGACAAACAGCUGGAAUAGUACAAUAGGCGAGUAAAGGGAUCGAGGUGAAAGGGUAAACAAUGGUGUUGAUAUAAGCAAGCCUCUCGAGCCAUUUCAGUUUUCCGCCAUAACCAUACCAAAGUGGACAGUGACGACUAAGGAAAAUUUCUACAGAGCCAAGUGCCCAUCUCAAAACUUGGUGCAACCGAUCUGAGAGAUUGAUUGGAGCGGACCCUUUGAAUGCCGGUCUUUUCGGUACACAAUAAACCGAUUUCCACCCUCUACAAUGCAUCUUGAAACCUGUUAAAAUAUCCUCCGUCACCGACCCAUAAAUCCAUCCGAUCUGCAAUGCCAAUAAUACAGGCUCGUUAAUGCAUAAAUUGACUCCUGACCUAUAUGAAAUGUAUUGAAACAUAACAGUUGCAAAUGGCAUUAGUCCAUUGAAGUAAUCCGUUGAAAUAUAUAAUAUUACUCGCCUCUUUGCCCCACUCAGUUUUUUCUUCAUAACCACAGCUAAUUACGUGAAUGGCUUCUUUAAUCAGUGAUGUGGAAUUAGUUCCUUCAGGAAGGCCACCAUUUUCCAUCAAAGUUGAGGCAAUGAAAACCGGUGAUUGCCCGAAUCGUUUCUCGAAAUUCUUCUGCGACAUUAACGACGAUUUCUCCAGUUCUUCGUAUCCUUCAAGCCCUUCUUCGAUUUCUUCGAGAUCAAAGACUGGCGCAGACCCUUUUUUCACAUAGUUUUUGCCCAUCAUCUUCUUCUUCUUUUUUCCGUAUAAAAGACCUCCGAGUAAGCCCUUCUUUUCGCCUUUCUUCUUUGAUUUCUUCCUAGAACCUCUGCAACAACAGCAACACCAAGAAGGCCAGCAAUCACAUGUCAUCUUCGGUCGUUUCUCAGAGACUGGUGGAUCGUAGCCAUACAAUGCCUGCCUGUUGAAAACACACCCUGUGCCUACAUAUACAGGGCCUUGAAGUCCAUCUAAUCCCAACAUGUUGAUCUAUAUAAAUCGAAAAUGAUGUUUUAGGCACUAAUUUUUUUUAAACCAAAAUUUUAAAAAAUGAUGAAUGAAAGUAAGUCGUACAUCGAAGAAGACGACGUUUCGAUUAGCAUAUCGAUCAUGAUGAUCAAUACCAUCAAAUCUCUGUGGAAAUUGAACAUAACAAAGCUUCUUUCCAAACUGAGGAUCCAUUAAAAAGCACAUCGCUUCCCUCAUGGCCUUGCUAUUGUUGAUGUAAUGAUCACAAUCCAGAUUCAAUAUGAAGGGUGCAUUAGUAAGCACUGCAGAAACUCGAACCUGCCGAUGGCAUACAUGACCCAAACAAGAUCAACAAUGAAUAUGAUAAAAUGGUAAACAGUUACGAUUCAUAUUCAGUAGUUUCACUUUUCAAAAACCAAACGAAAAUUAGACCAGAAAAUGAGUAAAUCACCAGAGCAUUCUCAGCACCGGCUUUCUUAUGGUGCUGAUAACCAGGUCGUUUCUCACGAGAAACAUAGACAAGUCGAGGCAGCUCUUUGCCAUCCACAUCAAGUGCACCGGCACUUCCUAGAUAGACCUGUGAAAAUAAAGAAUUACGUGGUUCAGUACGGAUGUCUAUGGGAAAAGAUCCAAAAGGUUUACAUUGUAGAUAUUAUGAAUCCUAUCGUAAUCUCUAUAUUACCUGAAUCAUUCCAGGAUGAUCACGAGUGUUAUUUCCGGGCCACGGGGUGCCAUCUUGCAUCACCCAUCCUUCUUCUGGUUUCUUCUGAGCUUUUGCUACUAAUGCAUUGAUCCUUACUUUAAAUUCUUCAUAUUCCCUCUGCAGUAACAUAAGAAAUAUAUAUUAAACCCUUGUUAACUUGUGAACAAGAACUAUGAAGUUACAAGUUACUCGAGCUCGAUAACAAAAUUAGAAUUCUGUUAUCAAGUUGAGCUCAAGCUCAAGCAGCUCAAGCUAUCAAAUAAGUCAAAUUUGAAUUCAAUAUUCUAAUGCUUGGCUCUAGCAACUAGCAAGCUUCUAAUUAGUAUUAAAACUGAACUCAGGCUCAAACACAAAUAAUCGAAUUUAAAGUUGAGCAUAAGAAUAAGCUCAAAUUUCACUAGGUGAACGAGUCUAAUCAAGUGAACUCGAACGAGUCCAACCAUUCAAUUUAUAGCUCGAAUUUAGCUCAAACUUUAAAAUUAAAACUUGAUAUAAAUAAGCCUAAUCGAUCAAUUCGAUCUUUUUUAUACUUUACCAAACUCAAAUCUAAUUUCAAUUCGAGACGUAAGCUCUAACUCCUUGAGUUCGAUUCAGCUGUACUCGAGCACACACAGAAACACAGCGAGAUAGGCAACUUACUUUCAUGGCUCUCCGUUCUUUAACAAAGCUAGGAUGGACCUUGUCCUUCAAAUAAUCAAUCUUCUCAUUGAAAUAAAACUCCGGCGCCCUGGGCUCAACAUUAUGCUUCUUACAAAACGGAACCCAUCUCCUCGCGAACUCAGCCGUUUCAGACAACGAAUCGAAAAGAAGCAUGGAAGCACCAUCGUCCGACACAUAACAACACACUUUCUCGACCGGGUAAUCGACGGCCAAGAUCGAUAGAACCGUGUUGGCCGUUAUGAUGGGGGGUUCCUUGAGAGGGUCGACGGUACUGACGAAGACGUCGACGGCGCCAAGUUGAUUGGGCUCUCCUUCACGCUCGAACCUCAAGGAGAGGCGAUCGAGGUAAGUUUCGCGAGUAAUAGGGAACCAUUUGGGGAACUGAUCGAGAAUCCAGGAGAAGGCGAACCAAACUUCGCAGAUGACAGAGAUUAGCCAUAACGGGUAAGCGUCGUAGGCGGGUGUUAGAAUACGGAACCGGAGGAAAAAUGCGAGGAUGAAGAAUCGGAGGACGAUGACUAUCCGGUAAGGGCUUAUCAGACUUGACGAAAUUGGCACUUUUCGCCAUAGAGGCUGGCGAGCUUCAGCCAAGCUGCAAGAAGUGAUUAUAUUACCAUAAUUAUUCGAAAUAAAUUAUCUUUGUCUAAUAUUUUAGUAAGGUUGAGUUUUUAUAAUUAGCAAUUUAAAAAAUUUUAAAAUUAAGAGAUUAAAUUUUUAAAAAUAAAAAUAAAGAGGAAUUUUUUAAAAAAUUAAAUAUGCUUUUUUUUAUUUUAAAAAAUAAAAUAUUGACUUACAGAUAAUCAUCUUCUUCAGGAGGAUCAUUUCCGCCAUUAUCGUUGCUUACCAAACCUCUUUUUUCUUGCCUGACUUUCCAUUUCUCAACUCUUUCUUUCCAUUCUUCGCUUCCGUAAAUCUCUUUAUCCCCUUCCAAAUCCUUCCCCGCCGCUGCCCACAUCAAUUUAAACACUCAUACUUCGCAAUCUUAUUCAAAUCCAAUUUAAAAAUUAUUCAAAUCGAGAUUGCUUGAAUUGCGCUACUUACUGCUUCCGGCAACUGAGAAAGCUUGACCAUUGGGAUGCCAUUGAUGAUUAUUAUUAUUAUACUCCUCAUUUUCCUGCAAAUAUUAACCAUUGUUUUUUUUUAGAAAACUAUCUGAUCGAUCGUAUUGUUCUUUUUUCACCUUAAUUUUUUUUUUCAAAUACGUACAUGUUGUGGAUGCGAGUCAUCCUUGCGGUUCUUAAUCUGAAAUUCAUCAUCAAAAUCAUCUUGAUCUGAAUCAUCUUCUUCAUCUCCUGAAAUUCUUGGACUACCUGCGGAACAACAAAACACGAAGCAAUAUUAUAUAUAUGUACGCAAGUACAUGUGAGAAGGGUUAAAACAAAUUAGGGUUAAUUGUACUAUAGUCCUCUGACUAUUUCCUAGAUUCUAGAUUGGUCUCUGAAUUUUAAAAUGUCUUAAUUGAAUCUUCAAAAUAUAUCAUUUUAUCAACCUAACUUACACAUCAACUUAAAUUUGAGGUGGAACAUAUUUAAAACACGUGUAUCAAAUUGGAAACAUGUAUACACUUACCGUAUAGACAACUUAGAUCUAGCAUGUAAUGUUUUAAAUCAAAUCACUAGUUUUCGGUUCAAUCAAUUUGACCAUUGAUAUAGAAAUAAUUAAUAAAAAAUUAAAAAAUAUAUUUAAGAAAUUAUAAAUUAUUUCAAUUGCUGAUUUUUUUAUCUCGAUUUUUAGUUUUUUUACCAGUUCCGAGUGACUCACUCAAGUGCCAGUUCAAUCCCUUUGUUCGAGAAGGAAUAACUCUCUUAAAUUUUAUUGCCUUGCCUCUUUCUUUUUUUUUCUUUUUUUUAACAAGUAAGAUCUAAGUUAUUUAUGUAAUAGAUAUACACUUAUUUACAAUUUAAUUCAUGUAGAUCCAAACUUUCAUCUAAUAUCUAAAUUAAUGGUUAACUAAAGGACCUAAAAUUAAAAAUAAUCCAAAAAGUUUAGAAAUCAACAAUAAUUUGGAGACGUCUAUGAAUUAAAAUAUAAAACCUUUGUGACGCUUAUAGCGAGUAUUGCACUGAGGACAGCACUGGUUUCCUUCACUCCUUUCAUAUUCAUAACAAGGGCGGCAAACCGGGAAAGCACAGACAUGACAAGCCACGAACGGUUGUCCGUUUUCCUUUUGCCCGAUCUUAUCCCCACACACUCUGCAUAUCUUCGUUGAUGAUUGAUGUGUCGAUGAUCCCCGAUUCUGCCAUCAUCAUAAUCAACAAAUACAUAAUUCCACACACUAAUAAUUAUAAAACAGAGAAAGAAGAAGAAGAAAAUACCUCGUCGACAGCAAGUGAACCAAAGCCAGCAGCCAUGGUGGUUGAAGCCAUGGCAAAACCAAAAGAACGAAAGAGAAAGAGAAGGUGAAGAUUGAAGGGAGAGAAAGGGAGAAGAAGGGUAUUAUAAGGUGGCAGUGUGUACCAAACUGUAAGUUGGGAAGUCGUAGGUUUGAGUCUAAGAGACGUUACCGGUGAGAGCGGUAGGGUGUUUUUUUUUUUUUUUUUUCUUUUGUUGAAUAGCUAGCUUCGAUUCAAAGGGAGGGACAUCGUCUCACCUCGCCAUGCCUAACAACGAUUUUUAAAAUUUGGGAUAAAGCAAUAUUUACUCCCUGACAUUGUUAAUAGUUUUCAAUUUGAUCCCUAAACUUUUUCUUGGUCCACAUUUUUUUCCGAUUUGAUCCCUGAACUUGGAUUUCAUUAAAGUAUGAUGGUGUGAUCUUCAGCUAUUUUUUUUAAAUUACAUAAAUUAAAAAUACGAAAAAAAUUAAAAGAUGACAUGAUACAAUCUUAAAGCGCGACUAACAUGGAUAAAAAAAUUAACCAUGUUUAGAGAUUAAUUUUUACUUUAUCCGUUUAAAUUUCGAUGGUUGAAUUGUGAUUCUAGUCUCACUAUUUAAAUAUAUAUAAUGUGUUAGUUCAAAUAGAUAAUAUCAUUAAUUACUAUAUUAAUAUGGAUUUUUUUUUUAAAACACAUUCUUGUGGACUUUUUUAUGAUGGAAGUUGUGUUUUUGAAAAAAAAAAUCCACAUAAUUAAAAUUUUAAUGAAAAUAGUUAAUGGUGUUAUUUAUUUGGACUAACUACUAACAAUAUAAAAAUUAAAGGACUAAAUUAUAAUAAAUUAAAAUAUAUAGAUUAUAUCUCAAUUUUGAAUAAGGACCAAAAUCAUAAUUUAACCAAAAUUUUAUAUAUAUAUAUAUAUAUAUAUAUAUAUAUAUAUUCAUGUCGUGUAUUCAAUGCUGCUAGGUAUAACAAAAGGGUAUACAUUUAUCUUGCAUGUGCUAUGUACCCUAACACACCAAUAAACCAAGCAUUGAUUUUUUAUUUAUUUUAAAUUAUUGUUUUGAUAAAGGAAGAAAAUGUUCAACAAUAUAAAUAAAUAUUGUCGAUUGAGCCUUAAUUCAAUUAGCAUUGAUAUUGUUAUUAAUGUAGAAGGAUGUGGGUUUGAGUGCGCUGAAAUGUAUUAUCCUCCUAUUUAAGAAUCGGGGAGAAGCUAUAAAAAUAGGCUUAACAGUGUAAAAAGCCCUCAAAGUUUUUCAAGAAAAGCAAUUAAGCCCCUGUUUUAUUUUUUGCACUCAAUUGCGUACUUAAACUUUCAAAAUGUAUUAAAAAGACCUUCAAAUUUUUUAAAAAAAAAGCAAUUAAGCCCCUUUUUUUUUGCACUCAAUUGGGUACUUGAACUGUCAAAAUAUACCAAAAAAGCCGUCAAAUUUUUUUUUAAAAGCAAUUAAGCCCCUACUUUUUUUUUACACUCAAUUUCCAAAAUGCAUCAAAAGGCCCUUUGACCGUUAACUUUAAUGGUUGAUCGUUAAAGCUAACCGCCCCUAAUAUUUUUUAGUUAAAACCGCCACAUGCCACAACCACGGCGUGACUUGCAAAAAAUGAUAAAAAUAAAAAACAAUUAAAGUUAUAAAAAUUAUUAAAUUUUAAUAAAAAUAAAAAAUAUUUAUUUUUUAUUAAAAAUUAGAAAAAAUUAUAAAAAAAUUAUAAAAAUCAUAAAAUAUUAUAAAAUAUAUAUAAAUAUAUAAAAAAUUAUAAAAUUUUAUAAAGUCGUAAGAAAAUUACAAAAAAUGUAAAGAAAAACAAAAUUUGUAAAAAAAUUAUAAAAGUUAUCGUACCGAAAGAAGCAUUUUACAACUUUUCUAUAACUUUUAUUGAUUUUUAGUUUUUUUAUCAUUUUAUGUCACAUGUCACAUUAUGUUGCGGCACGUGAUGGUUUUAAUUGAAAAAACUGGGGUCGUUAACUUUAACAGUCAACGGUUAAAGGGCCUUUUUUAUGCAUUUUAUAAUCUUUUUUAUGUUUUUUAUAAAAUUUUAUAAUUUUUUUCUAAUAUUUAAUAAAAAAUAAAUAUUUUUUAUUUUUUAUUUUUUGGCACAUGUCACAUCAUAGUUGUGAAACGUGGAGACUUUAAUUGAAAAAAAUUAGGGGUGAUUAGCUUUAAGGUCAAAUGACCUUUUGAUUUAUUUUAGAAAUUGAGUGCAAAAAAAAAAGUAGGGACUUAAUUGCUUUUUUUGAAAAAGUUUGAGGGCAUUUUUGAUGUAUUUUGGUAAUUCAAGUACUUAAUUGAAUGGAAAAAAAACAGGGGCUUAAUUGUUUUAUUUUUUUGAAAAAGUUUGAGAGCCUUUUUUUAUGUAUUUUGAAAGUUCAAGUACCCAAUUGAGUAAAAAAAGCAGCAACUUAAUUGUCUUUUUUUUUUUUGAAAUGAUGCAAAAUGUUUAAGUAAUUAGUAUAACACGUUUAAUAGAUACGGGCAUAUUUUAUAAUUAGAAUUAUUUAUAUUGUAUUUAUAUUUAUACAAUUUAUCAAAAAAAACACAAAUUAUUCUCUUUUUUAUUAAACCAAUACGUCCCUUUCCCAUUCUUAAAAUUCCAAAAAUUUAGCUGCCUUUAUAUGAAUUUUGGGUUGGAAUGUAUUUUGGUAAUGUAUAGCACAUAAGGUUUGGUGGAUGUGUUGUCAUUUUUCUUACAAGGCUGAGCUAGUUAUUCAGUCAUAAUUAAAGCAAAACAUUAGGUCAAAUAUCCUAUUCCUACUUGAAUUUGAAAGAGAUGAUACCAUCCCUUCCUGUUAAAGAUUUAGCCUUGGUCGCAAUAUCUCAAGAUUUUGGUUUCGUCUUUCAUGGACACACUUUGUAAUCGCUUAGUUAAGUUACAUUACCGCAAUAUUUUCUCUUGGUCAUUCUAGAUUUUGUUACAUAAUCAUCUCUGUAUGAUACGUGAUAAGUUGUUGAGUAGUUCAUAAAUGACUCUUCAUUAGGAGCAGUUCGUAUACAAUCCUCCGCAAAUAACAAUUCGUGUCAACCCUUCGUGUGGUAUGAUUCGUAAGCGACCCUCCACAAUCCUACGCAUCUUUGUGAGAACCACCAAUGCAUAAUCGCCUCAUAUGGCCCUAAAGGGGAGUGUCAAAGCAGAACCACACAGUACACUCCAUGUUGACAGCUGACUUGCACAACUAUGCAAGUACAAGCUUGACUGCACGAGUGACCAAAGAUCUACUCUCUCCCUUAGCAAACUCUUUUUCUUCUUCUCCCCUUCCUUCUCCUACUUCUCUCUCUUCUCGCCACUGACUCUCCACCUGUCAUAGGUGAACCGACACUUCCCUCCAUCAUCCUCUCCUCUCUGUUGGUAACCUAUGUCAACAAAUUUUGAUAGGAAGAAGAAAAAAAUCAUGUUAAAUCCGUUUCAAUUUCAAAUUUAAGCAAAUUGAUCCUUUAAAAAAAUAUCUAUCACUAAUAAAAGUUAGGGUCUGUUUGAUUGACGGAAUUGAUUUUCCGGAAAAUCAUUUCCAACUUGUCUAGCGUUUGAUUGGCGGAAAACAUUUUCCAUUUGGAAAAUGAACUCCAAAACAAGGGAAAAUAGGUUACAUUUUAGGGAAAAUGUCUUACCCUUUCAAUUUCCGUAAGACAUUUUCUAUGCUCUCCUCUCUAUCGCCUCCUUCAUUCCUUCCUUCAUUUCCGGUAGAAAACUACUUCUGUUUAUCGAUUUUCCAGUAACUUGUUUUUUUAAUUAUUCAAUACUUGUUUUUUUUAACACAAUUACAAAUAAUUUAUUUGAUAUUAGUUUUUUUAAUUUAUAACGAUUAAUAUUGUAGCUUAAUAAUUGAGUAUUAUCAUAAAUAAAUCAUUGCAAUAUAUGUAAAAAUAAUUUAAAAUAUAAAAAUUUAUUAAUAUCUAUUAAUAUAUGUAAAAACAACUUUUCCGAAAAAUAUUUUCAAAAAAUCUGCCAAGCAGCAGAAAAUAUUUUACACAGAUUCAAUCAAACACCAGAAAAUAUUUUCCAGUAAAUCAUUUUACAGAAAAGUAAAACAUUUUCCAGAAAUCCUUUUACAGAAAAUAUUUUACUGGCAAUCAAACAGACCCUUAAUUUAAUCUUUGUCAAGUAUAAUAUACAAUAAAAAAAUAUUCAAAAGGGUGAGGCUUGAAAUUGAGAUUAUGAUUAAGCAAGUAGAAAAACCAUCCUACUCUAUCUCUACCAACAACAAAACCAAACUAGCAUUUUUAAAUUGCCAUCAGAAUUUUUAUCAUUCCGACGUCUUUAAUCUCUCGAAUCUUUGUUAAUUUAAACCAGAGACGGAUCCUCAUUAGGAUAGGGCUUAAGGGGCUUUUGCCUUCUAAAAUUUUUGAAAGUUUUAAUUAUGCCUCCUAAAGUUUUUAAAAAUUAUUAUUAAACGUUUGAAUUUUUUAAAAACUUCAAAUAGACUCUUCACUUUCUUUUCUUUUCUUUUUCUUUUUUUUUAAAAUUUUCAUAAAUCUCUAAAAUUUUGGAACUUUUAAUUAGACCUACCAAAAUUUUGGAAAUUUUCACUAAAAUUCUCAAUAUAUAUAUAUUGAAUUGCGUUGUCGUUAGAGUUUUAUCCUCUUCUUGUAAUUCAUCAAUAUAUAUAUUUAAAAUUUUACUUAAGUCAGUUAAAUCUCAUCCAUUUACUUUAAUAUUUCAAAAAGGCAUUUAUAUUAUUUUAAAUUUAAUAUUUAAUAAUUUUUAUAUUUUUAUUUAUUAUUAUUUUUAAAUAAUCAUCUUAAUAUUUUUUAAAUAUUUGCAUUAUACUAUUAUAUAUUACUAUAAAUUUAAAACCCAUGUAUCAUUUUUUAAAGGAUGUUUUAAAAAAUUAAAUUAAAUUCAUCUCUAAUUUUAAAUAUAUGAAAAAGACGUAUUUAUAUGGGCAGUGAAAGAUGGAGAGAGAGGAUAAUUUUAUUUCAAGUAUCUCAGUUUUAUUUUUUCAAUUUAAUCCAUAAUUUUAGGUUUUAAUUUAGUCAAUUUAAUCCCUCACACCAUGUUAUAAUUGAGUCUUACAUGUUUUUUAUUUGUCCAUUUCAUGGAUGCAGUUAUGGGUUUAUGCAAUUUGGUCAUGAAUAUGGUUUUUACCCAUGUCCUUAAAUUCGGUCAAUAAUUAGUUUUAAUUAUUGUUUCAUUUAUUAGUUUUAAUUCUUUUUCAAUAAUCAGUUUGUACUUUUUCUUCUAUGGUCACUCAGAAAAAUUAUAAAAAAAAUAUAUAUUUAAUAUAUUUUAAUUGAAUACAUUAUAAUCAAUUUAUGCAUCGCACGAGUAAAAAAAAAAAUUAUGUAUAUCACAUUGGUAUAAUAAAAAUUACAACAUACUAUCAAUUUUUUUUUGGUAGAAAAAAAUAACAUAAAACGAUUACGAAAAAACAUACAUUCUAAGAAUUAUAAAAACUUAUUUUAUCAGCUAAUAGAAGCCUUUGGAUCGAAAUUGAAAAUUCUUCAAAAACGACUAAACUUAAAGAACCAGAUACCUCAAGCCUUAUCAUAUGACCAACAACUACAUUUUAAGAUCUAACACACAUGAUCAACUUUUUAUUACAAAUAUUAAAGCGAAUGUUGAAUAAUUAUUUGUUAGGUAAUUAUAAAAUUAUUAGAUGGAUGCAAAUAAUGAUGAUUAAUGUAACAUAUUAUUACUUUUAAUAGAAUAAUUGAUAUAUAAUUUAAUUUAUAUGUACAAUAACUUAUAUGUUAAAAAUAAAUCCAAUCCAAAAUCAUAAAUAAUUAAUUAAUUAAAUGGAUGGAGGGGUCUAGAGAAUGUAAGUGGAUUGAAGAAUCUAACAGACAUAUUUUCUACACCAAAAGUCAUUAAAUUAUUAAUAAAUUUAUAUUUUGGUUAUUUAACUUUAAAAAUUAUAAAAAUAUCAUUGAACUAAUUAAAAUUUUUUAUUUAAGUCAUUGCAUUGUUAAGUUAUUUGAAAAAAAAACUGUCUAAUGAGUUUUAAGCGAUAACUCGACAAUUAGUAUAGUGGAUUAGUGCUCAUCAAAGAGUAGAGAACGGAAAAAAAAAGUUGUUUAGAUUUCAAUUUGCAGAUUCGUAAUGUUCAAAAUUGUAUCAUAAAAAAAAUUGAACCAUAGGAGAGAAUGAGAAAGAAAAUUUCUAAUUUAGUGCAAGUGAUGUGGAAAAAUAAUGCCUUUCAAUACUCAUUUUAAUAAUCCGGUAACUUAAACGAAGGCUUUGAACCCCAUGUUAUGGUUGAUGGUCAAGGGUGUUCACCGCCCUAGGUGUGGCUUGGGUUCGAGUUACGCUAAUCGUAUUUAUUGUUCGGGCUUUACCCUACUAUUAUAAUUCACAACAAAAAAAACUUUAAUAGAGACUUUCUUAUAAUUUAGUGAUUAUUUUGUAAUCAAAAUAUAACAUAAUUUUACUAAUAAGCAAUUUAUCCUUCUUUAUGUUUUGUGUAGAACAAAAAGCAUUUUGAUCCAUUUUUUCAAAGAAAUUGGGAAUAUAUCAAAAUAAUGCGGACAGGUUUAAAGAUCAGCAGCAAAGUAGCAUCCAAAUCUUCACUUUACGAGAAAAAAUGUUCGGGUGCGAAUGUUUCUACAGGAAGAAAAUGGAUCUGUUGCCUCUUUCAGACCCUGAACCCUUCUCCCUUCCAGCACCUCUCCCUCAAUGGCCUCAUGGUAUUACAAUUUUGAUUUUUUGGGUUUUCUUCGCAUUGUGUGUUUCUUUAAUGGGUUUGCUUCUUCUUCUUUUUUGAUUGGAUUUUUUAGCCUCGACUUGUCCUUUUCAUUGUUAUUUUCUGAUUGAUGGGGGUGAUUUCAUGAGCUACUGUUUUACUUAUUGUAUGAACUGAUGUUAUUUUUCAACCUUGUUUUGGAAAGUUUGCAACAAUAUGUUUGCCUCUUUGUUAUAUCGAAUUAUGGAUCAGUUGGGUAGCUGCAAAUAUGAGAUGUUGUUUUCACAUCUAUGAUGAAUGCAAAUAUAUAUAUAUAGCUUGUACUUGGGGAUGUUGAGUAUGGUAUCAUGUUUAUUAAACAUAUCAUGUUCGUGUUAUGUUUUCGUCUCGUUUCUAAAUUUUCCGGGUUUAGAUCGGAUUAUUGAUCAGUUGGGGGUAUCUGCAAAUAUGAGUUGUAGUUUCCACUUCUACAAUGAAUGCAAAAAUUUAGUUUGUGGUUGGGAUUUUUUGAGUGCAUUGUAGUGCUCAGUUAUAGUUUUUGUUCUUAAUACAAUAUUGAAAUGAUGAAACAAACGAUAAAAUCUGGGAAAAUUCUUGAAGAAAAAAAAAUUUAGCAGGCGAAGAACAGAGGGGUCUGUUUAAAAACUAAUUUACUGCAUUUGAAUAGACAAUUGAGUUUUGCUUUAAUGAUAUCAGAGAUGUAGUCUUUCCAUAUAGGUAUAUAAGUUCUUAUGCUUCUUCAGUUUUCCUUUCAAAUGAUGUAAGCUUUUGAGACCAACAAAUCUUGAGAAACACAGCUUUGAAAUAUCCCCUUUUUGAAAGAAUUUUAGCCUUCUCAAUCCCCUACAGAUCUUUGUGUUUGAGAGGCCGAAUUGUUAUGUCCUUAGACUUCCUGCAGAGAAAGUAAGCACUUCUACUGAUAGAUGAAAUCCAGAUAUAUGAAACUGAGGUAGUGUGGAAAAUCUAUCUAACAUGGUUAUACAAUUAUCCAAGAAGUAAUGAAAUGUUAUAUGAUUUAGUGCUAAUGCUAGACUAUGUCACACUGGCUCUUCAUUUUUUUUUAAAGUAUUCAUAUUUGACACCCUUGGUUUUUUCACACAUAUUUGGAAAUCGGUGUGGAGACACGAUAUACAUGUAUGUAUGUCCUAUACUUGCUUCUGAGUCCAGAUAAUAUAGGUGCUGGAUACGAAUCCGUUUACUCCAAUUAAUUCUUUGUAGCUUAUGCUGACAGGGCCACUAUGUUCUACUUUGAUUAUUCUUUUAAUUGUGGGUGAACAAGAACAAAUCUUUUUUCCUAGAACUGUUUCAUUUGUUAAUUUUGUAUUCCUUUCAAAAAACAAAUAUGAUACAUCAAAUUGUUUUUUCCAUGAACUCGAGAUGUGGCCCACUGUUGUUGCAUAAAUACCUUGAGUGUGAAUGGUAGACAUGGAUAUUUGUCUGACACGGGUAUACUCAAUUUUUUUUUCAAGAUUUCCAUCUAGUCGGAGGGUCCUUGGAGGAUUGUAUCCUUGUACUUAUAUCCGGAUAUUGUGUAGGACAUAUGUACUUCAAGAAAAUAACAAGUCAGAGCAACAUAAGGCAAAUCCCCCAUUCCCAAAUAAAAGUUUUUCAGCACUUAUUUUUGAGCUUUCUCUUAUGUUUGAGUAUCAUCUCUUUGUUUCAUCAUUCUUCUUCAUCAUAUGUCAGCUAAAACAAUCUAUAGGGUCCAUUAUUGAAUUCUUGAACUGGGAUGUGAGUGUCAGAUAUUUGUAUGUGUCUGACACAGCAAGGUCAGAUUUUUUAAAAUUUUUCUAUGUAUUUGGAGGAUCCUUGUAUGCCAUAUCUCUGUUCCCAUAUUUGGACAUGUCUGUUGGACACUAAUAUUUCAAGAAAAAUGAAUAGUCGGAACAACAUAAGUUUUGAUGUCAUGUGAUGUUUAAAUGCAGCAUAGUCCAUAGCGGAGGCUGGUAAAAUACAAUGCAAGUUCAAGUCAAAAGGUUCACUUGAGCUGAUGUGGUUCAAUCUUUUGUUAUCAUUUUGAAGAUGACUUAUCUUGAAAUUUCUUUUAUUGGCCUGCCUGCAUUUUCAGGUCAGGGAUUUGCUUCUGGAAAAUUAAAUCUCGGAGAACUCGAAGUUGUUAAAAUCUCGAGAUUUAAGUUCAUCUGGAGCAGUAACUUGGAGGACAAGAAAAUAGGUGUCACGUUUUAUAAACCAGUUGGAAUACCUGAUGGAUUUUAUAUCCUUGGUCACUAUUGUCAAUCUAAUGACCAACCUUUAAGAGGUUUUGUUCUUGUUGCUCGAGAGGCACCUUCCAAAUCUGAAGCCGCUGAUUUCUCAACUCGUGUUACUUCACCAGCCCUUAGGGAGCCUCUCGAUUAUACACUAGCUUGGAAAUCGAAUGAUGGGAGUGAGGGAAGUCUUGAAGGUUGCGGUUUCUUCUGGUUGCCACAGCCUCCUGAGGGUUACAAGUCCGUAGGUUAUUUGGUCACAAGUUCUAAAAAACCAAAAUUAGAUAAUGUGAGAUGUGUUCGAGCUGACCUAACUGAUAGAUGCGAAAAGUAUCGAGUUAUGCAUUCGGAAUUUUCGUUUCGAGUUUGGAGCACAAGACCGUAUCAUCGAGGGAUGCUGGGGAGAGGUGUCUCCGUUGGGACUUUUUCUUGCAUUAGUGAUUCGAUACCUGGACUAGAACUGCCUCUCUCAUGCUUGAAGAAUUUAGAUCCUUCACUACAUGGAAUGCCAAACUGUGAUCAGAUUCAUGCACUAAUAAACCACUAUGGACCUACAUUCUUCUUUCAUCCCGAUGAAAUCUACUUGCCUUCUUCAGUUUCAUGGUUUUUCGAGAAUGGAGCACUCCUGUUCAGAAAGGGGGACUCAGUAGGUGAACCAAUUGAUGUCGGUGGCUCGAAUCUACCUAGUGGUGGCUGCAAUGAUGGAGAAUUUUGGAUUGAUUUGCCAAGUGGUGAUCAGAGGAAAACUAUAAAACUAGGAAAUUUGGCAAGUGCUAAACUUUAUCUACAUGUGAAACCAGCACUUGGUGGGACUUUCACUGAUAUUGCUCUGUGGAUUUUCUGCCCCUUCAACGGACCAGCAACGCUUAAAGUCGGUAUUAUGAACAUUGCACUUAACAAGAUCGGACAGCAUGUAUGUGAUUGGGAGCAUGUUACACUCCGUAUAUGCAACUUUACCGGAGAGCUUUGGAGCAUAUACUUCUCUCAGCACAGUGGUGGUGUAUGGGUGAAUGCAUAUGAAUUGGAGUACACACAAGGAAAUAAAGCGAUCAUCUACUCGUCAAGAAAUGGACACGCUAGCUUUUCUCACCCUGGGACUUACAUUCAGGGUUCUGCAAAACUAGGAAUCGGUAUUCGAAACGAUUGCACUAGUAGUAACUUCUACGUAGAUUCAAGUACUCAUUACGAACUCGUUGCAGCUGAGUAUCUCGGAGAUGGGAUCGUAGCUGAGCCUGGUUGGUUGCAGUUUAUGCGAAAAUGGGGUCCAACUAUUGUCUAUGAUUCGAGAACUGAAUUGGAUAAAAUUGUUCAUGUUUUACCGGUGAUGCUUCAAUCGUCGGUGAAGAACAUUUUUGAUAAGCUUCCGGUUGAGCUUUAUGGAGAGGAAGGCCCUACUGGUCCUAAGGAGAAGAAUAAUUGGGUUGGCGAUGAAAGAGGCUAGUUUUGUGGGUUAGCCUCUGAUCUUAAUAGCAUCUUGCUGGUUCUCAUCUGCUGCCUAGCAAGUACCGGAGAUGGACAUGUAAUACGAGUACCGGACAUUGCCCCGGUGGGAGUGUAUGUGCUUCCUAGGCUGCCGUCCUUGUGUUCAUAGUACAACAGUCGGUGAAUUACAUGUUCAUACUUGGUGUAAUGAUUUGUAUAUGUAUCUUCUCAUUUGUUUCGGCUUUUCAUUUUUCUUGAAGUGCCUAUAUCCGAUGCUCGUGUCGAGUGCAUAUUUUGAUACUGUGUAUAGAGAUAUAAUUCUUCAAAAAUUCUCUAAAUAUAUAAAAAAAAUCUUUGAAAAUAUGACAUUUGUACACUCUUUGACAAAAGCCUCAGUGCUCCAUAGACAUUUUUUUAUGGAAUAAUGCUAGGAGUACGUUUAAAUAUAGACAUGAGAUAUGAUCUUUUACGAAUCUUUAAAAUAUAUUUAUAUCAUAUAGUCAUAUAUGAUACAAUCAUGUUCAAAUAACAUGUCAUUUUUGUUGCUAACAUUAAAAAAUCAAUAUAAAUAAUUAACUAUUCACUCAAAUUUACUUUUAUAUUUUAAAUUAGUUUUUUAAUUAAUAAAAAUAGCAAUCUAUUUUAAAAACAACUACUGUCAUGUUAUUUUAAUCCAUAGUUAUACUUAUUUUUACUACCUUAUUAGUAAUAAUUGUGAAAGUUUUUAGGUCACCAGUAAACCUGUUCAUGGCCAGGCUAGGUAGGAUUCAGGCUGAGCUUUAAUCAAUUUCUAGGCCCGUUUGAUAGAUCCAAGCUUGGGCCAGUCUGGAUUAUUGAUGUUAAAUCUAGGCUCGACCCGUAUAAUUUUUUUAUAAAAAAAUAGGCAGCAAAACAAUAACAAAAUUGUAAGAAAACACCAACAAAACAAUGAGAAAAUAACAGUUUUUUUUUUUUUGCAAAUAUGGGUUGGGCCCAGACCAAAAGAACCUUACUCGAGGUCUGGCCUAUUUUCUAAACGGACAUUAUUUUUUUGUCCAAUCUAAUUUUUUGAGUCUAUGUUUUUGUUCAAAUCUUCCCACUUUUCAGGUGAGCCAGGUGACCCAACCCAAGGACAGGUCUAGUCACUGGUUUGUUGGUCCGACCGAUUCGAUCAACCCAUCCACUUCAAUUAAAUAAAAUUAUAACAAUUAAAAUAUUAAAAAUUCGAUUCAAGACCCUCUCCAAAUUGAUAUCUUAGUUGGUUCCUGAUUCAACCGAACGGUCCGGUUCAAACAAUAUUGAUAAUUAUUUUAAGAUAGUUCAAUAAAAUAUUACUCUAUUAAUACACUUAAGUGCACUUGAACCUACAUAUUCAGGAGUUGUUACAAUAACAACUAUACCAACUGAGUUAAGGCUUAAUCAGCUUUUAGUAUCGUGUUUUAAAAUGUUAUAUAUUUUAAAAUAAAUUUUGAUAUAUUAAUAUUUUGUGUUGCGUAAAUUUAAACAUACAUAUUUCCUUUUCAUUUGAAUUAACAAGUUUGCAGCAUUGACAUUUAAAAAUAAAACAAGAAUUUUCCGAUUGAGUCUUAUCUUAAUUGGCAUGGGCAUUGUUGCCAAUGCAAGAGGAUAUAGGUUCGAGUGUGCUGAAGCGCAUUAUCCUUCAAUUUACGGGUUGGAGAGAGGUUAUGGGUAGUUUUAGGCGUUGUAUCAAAAAGAGCAAAUAUGAUCAGAACCUAUUUAUGAGUCGGGAAGAGACUAUAGGUAGUUUUAGACAUUAUGUCAAAAAGAGCAGAUAUAAUCAGAACCUAUAAUGAGAUUACGUGCUAGCAAACAACAAUUAUCAAAUUCCAAUUAUACCUUUCAUUCGUCUCGUUUUCAAUAUGGUUUAGAUACCCUUGUUUUAUUAUUUUAGGAUAAAGCAACAUUUAGACUUAAAUUUGAUAAAAAAUUUCGAUUUAAUCCCUGAAUUUUUUGUACACUUUAAUCUUGGAAUUUGACAAAAUUUCCUAAUUUUGGUAUAUGCGAUGACAUGCCACUCUCGCAUUAUCACCUAAAUAAUUAUAAUAUUCUUAUAAAUAAACUAGAAAUCUUAUCACAUGCAUAUCUAUGUGAAAACCGCAAAUUUAGAACACAGAUGAAGUUAAUUUGUAAGACUAACUCAAUCAAAUAUAUUAUGUGUGUGGAAACCACGUAUUUAGAACACAUGAAUGCAUUUAAAAGUAACAUAUAAUAAAUAAUGAAACAUAAGGUUUGAAACUAAUAAAAAUAACAACACAUGCAAUAUGUACGAAAUUAAAAUAAAAAAAUAGUUUAACGGAAAAAAAUUGUUAUAGAUAAAUACAUUAUAUUAAUAAUAUUACAUGCACUCUAAUUAUUUAUAAUAGUAUUAUCAUUUUAUUAUAGCACGUCAAAAAGAGAUAAAGUUAGUGAAAAGACAAUUUAAUAUUGAAAUUCUAUUCUUUAAAAAUUAAAUAUCGAGUGACUUGUAAUAACAAUGUAAUUAAGUGACAUUGAUUAUAUACAAGUUCGGUGAGAGAAAACAUUUUACGUUAAAAGUUAAUUUUAUUUAAGUUUGCUCAAUAAUUUUUAUUGGUGUUGUGGUAAAAAAUUAUUUAUAAAUCUAUUAAAUAUUAGUUUAAUCUCUUGAUAUGUUAAUUUUAGUUAUUUUAUUUAAUAAAAAGGAAUAUUAGUCAUUUUCUCACCGAGUUAGCACCCGAUUAACCCAUGGCACGAACUCGAGGUUUUAUUAAUUGUAAAUAUAGGUAUACAAAUUUGGUGAGAGAAAACAUUUUAUUUUAAAAGUUAAAAUUUUUAAGUUUAAACAGAAGUUAUUAUUGACGUAGUGGUAAAUAAUUUGUUUAUAAAUUCAUUAAACACUAAUUUUAGUUCUUUUAUUUAAACACUAUGUAAAAGUAUGGAAAGAUAAAAAAAAUCAUCAAAAUAAUAGUAGUAGUCAUUUAAUAAAAGGGUAUAUUAGUUAUUUUCUAACCGAGUUGGUACCUGAUUAACCUGUGACACCAAUCACAGUCAGGGUUAAAUUAAAUGUCUUACUAAUGCAAUUGGGAUGGUUUCAAAUUUCACAAUGUGCAUAUUUUUAUUUGUUUUUUCAAGUAAAAGAUUAAAAUACGCUCGAAUAGUAUAAUUACAAAAAUGUCUUACUAAUGCAAUUGGGGUGGGUUCAAUUUUCACCAUGUGCAUAUAUUUAUUUGUUUUUUCAAGUAAAAAGAUUAAAAUAUACUUGAGUAGUAUAACUUAUUUUAAUUACGAAAGGACAUUUUGAGUAGUACCCGAUUAACCCGUAAUAUCAACUCACAAUCAUGGGCUAAAUUAAAUGUUUUACGGGUAGGUUCAAAUUUCACAAUUUGCAUAUUUUUAUUUUUUUUUAAAGUAAAAAUAUUAAAAUACACUCGAAUAAUAUAAUUUAUUUAGAUUACGAAAAUAUAUUUUCGUAAUUUCUCUAAUCAAUUGAUGUCUGAUUGACUCGUGACACAAAUUCAAUUAGGAGCAUAAAUAAUGAUAUAGAUUUAAGUAAUAAUGUAACACCCCUAACCCAUAUCCGUAACCGGAAUAGAGUUCGAAGCAUUACCGAAAUUUACAGAUCAUUUACAUAUAUUUCAUUUCAUUUGCCAUACAUAUUAUAAACCAAGUAGAAUCAAUCAUAUGGUCCAUUAUAUGAACCCUCGAGGCCCAAAAUACACCUUAGAAACAAGUCAGGACUAAACCGGGUAUUCUGAGAAUUUUUCGCAAAAUAUCAAAAUUUUUCCAAGGUACAGGUAACACACGCCAGUGUGGUCAGGCCAUGUGGCUCACACGGCCAAGAGACACACCUCGUGUCUCAGGCCAUGUGGAUAUUUGAAAUAGGGCACACGGCCGUGUCCUAGCCCGUGUGCAUACCCGUGUAACUCUUUGACUUGGGUCACACGGCCAAGCCACACGCCUGUGUGCUAGGCCGUGUGAACAUGAAAAUUUGCAUUAAAUAGGUGCAUGGGUCACACGACCAAACCACACGCUCGUGUGCCAAACCGUGUGAUCUAUUUUGAGCAUUUUGUUUUGAAAUUUUUAAGAUGCAGGGGACACACGGCCAAACCACACGCCCAUGCGUGAGGCCGUGUGUCCCGUGUGGACGAAAAUAAGGCCAUUUCCUAGUCAUAUUUCUCACCCAAACUUAUCUUCCACCUAUAAUAACAGUUAAAUACAUUCCCAAACCAAUAUAAAACAUUUGAAUUAAGCUAAAACCAAGUCUUAUGCAUAUCAUAUCAUCAUAUAUAACUAAGUAUCCAUAUUUAACAAAUUGAUCACUUACUUAUAUAUAUAUUCAUAUUUGUACCAACUAUACCAACUCAAACCAUGUUACAAUUUGCCUUUUAGUUAACUAUCAAUCAAUUAUACCAAGACACUUAUUAACUAUAAUAAGACCAUAUACUUAUAUGUAUCAAAAUGUAUCAAACAUAAGCCAUUCAAAUGGCUAAUCACAACAAAACAUUUAUUUGCCAUCAAUGGCCAAAUUAACCUAUACCAAAGUUGAUUUAAUAAUUAUACCGAAAAAAGGAGAUUGAUAGUGUGAUGUGGCUCCGACAAGCUUCCAACCUUAAAGAGCUUCCAGGUUACUAUAAAACAAAGGAAGUAAAACAAAGUAAGCAUUUAAUGCUUAAUAAGUUCGUAUAAUAGGAAUUUAACUUACCGAUUAAUUCAAAUUUAAGGUAAGCAAAUAAACAUGCUCAGACCAAUUUGGCCAAUUUCCUAAACACAUAUCCCCAUUAAGCUUGUUAGUCAUGUAAUUCACAUAAAUACCAAGAAACAUGAAUGAGCUCAUUAAUAUUCAAUUUCCACAUACAUGUAUUUAUCACUUCAGGUGUCCAUGAACAUGUACAUAUCAUAUCUUUGUAUUUCAAGUAUUUCUCAUAAUAAUUCAUCUUGAAUUCAUAUCAUCUCAUAUCAGAACUUUACCUGUUAAAUCAUUUAAAAAUAUUGAUGGAUACAAGGGUAUUACACUUGAAGUGUAUAAAGCUGUAAACCGUCAAUUCAUAUUCGGGAAUGCUCAUACAAGCACAUAAAUGAUAAGCUCUCUCUCGAGCCAUAUAACAGGAAGCUCAUGUGAGUUAUGUAAUGGGAAGCUUAUCCGGACUGUAUAACAGGAAGCUCAUAAGAGUCAUAUUCAGUAAGCUCAUGCAAGCCAAUAACGGGUAGCUCUGAAGAGCCAUUAACGGGAAGCUCCGGAUAGCCAUAUAUCAGGAAGUUCAAGCGAGUUAUAUCGGGAAGCUCCGGAGAUCCAUUAAUCAGGAAGCUCACAAAGAGCCUUUAAUUGGGUAGCUCACGAAGAGCCAUAUAUCGGGACGCUUAUAAGAGCUGCGGUGUGUCCACAACACAUGCAGGAUCAUAACCGAUCGGGAUGCUCCGAAGAGCUAUUAACGGGAAGCUCGCAGGAACCAUAUAAUGGGAAGCUCGAGAGGGCUAAUAAUGAGACGCUUUUUCAAGCUAUGGUGUGUCCGCAACAUAUGCAGGACCACAACCAAUUCGGGAACCCUGUAUCCAUCAAAUCUCAUUUAUCCAAACAUGACUUAUUAUUUAUCGGACAUUAUCGGAUAUGUUGCAUACAUAUGACAUUUAUACAAUUCACAUAUACAACAUUAAAUUCAGACAUAUAAAUAUACACAAUUUAGUUACACGAACUUACCUCGACAAUUAUUUGUGUACGCAAAAUCUAAUAAUCUGACACUUUUUUUCUACGAUUUAACUUCGUUUUUGAUCUAUCUGGAUCUAUACGAAUGAAUUUAACAUCAAUUCAAUAUAAUUCAUAUUCAGUUCAAUCCAUUUCAUAUCUUAGGCAAAAAUUACCAUUUUCCCCUAUUCUUUUAAUUAAUUCCAAUUUCAUCCCUAGGCUCGAAAAAUGAAAUUCAUGCAAUUUAAUCCUUAUUCCAAGCCUAACCAAUUUUCAUAUAUCACAAUAGCAGCCCAUGUAUUUCAAAAAAAUCAGAAUUUUUCAUGAAUUUUACAUAUUUUCAAUUUAGUCCCUAAAUUACAAUUUCAUCAAAAUUCCCUUUACAAAAGUUGUUUAUCUAUCAACAACCUUUCUUUUUCUACCAUAAAACUUUAAAAUUUAGGCAUAUUCAUCAAUGGCAAAACCCUAGUACUUUGAUAACUUUACAAAUUAAUCCCCAAAAUAGCUAAAUUAAGCUAUUACGAUCUCAGAAACAUGAAAAUCAUUAAAAACGGGACUUGAAUACUCACCUAAUUGAGCCAAAUAAGCUUGCUACCUUCAAGCUCUUCCAACUAGGGUUUCCAUGUAAAUAAUUUGGGAAAGAUGAUGAAAAAGAUGACAUUUUCAUUAUUUAAUUACUUAUCAUCUUUUGUUAUUUUUACUUUCUAAUUUAGUCCUUUUCUUUAAUUAAUCUUCCAUAGAUGAAUCAUCAUUCUUAUCUACUAACUCCUCUUAAUGGUCUAUUUGCCAUAUAAGGACCUCUAAUUUUGAAUUCUAUAGCUAUUUGAUACUUAUAGAUACUAGAACUCAACUUUUGCAUUUUAUACAAUUUGGUCCUUUCCAUCUAAUUAGACAUGUAACCGAUAAAAUUUCUUUACGAAAUUUUCAUACGAUAUUUCAAUCAUAAUGCAGACCAUAAAAUAAUAUUAAAAUAAUUUUCCUUCCAGGCUUGAAUUUGUGGUCCCGAAACCACUGUUCUAAUUUAACUGAAAACGGGCUGUUACAAAUAAUGUGACACAAUCACGUUUAGGGGUGAGUAUUCGAUUGAUUUGAGUUGAAUCGAGUAGAAAAAUUUUGAGUUAGUCGAGAUGACGAAUCCUAUUUUAGCAAUCAAAUUCAAUUUGAAAAUCUUUCGAAUUGAUUGAGGAAAAAAAUUUCGAGUCAAGUCGAGUUAACAAAUCCUAUUGUUUAUACUCAAUGUUGUGUUUAUAUGGACAGAUUAUUUAACUAGUAGACAAAGUUUGAGAUUAGUUAACUACAUAAACAAUAUAAUUGUUUUGCUUUUUAACUUAAUAGGUAAACAUUUAUAAAAAAAGUAGUUUUGACUUUUAACUUUUAACUUAAUGAUUUUGACUUUUAACUUUAGAAAAGAUAAAUAUUUAUCAAAACGACAAAGUUUUGUAUUUUUUUAUUUGGAUUUUUGGAUUUUACUCGUUCUUAAUGUGUUGAAAAAAGGAUUAAUUUUCCAAUUUUCUUACUAAUAAGAAUUUUUUAACAACUCUCAUUUUCCUAUAUAUAUAUAUAAAUUUCUAACCAUUUACUUAUUCAUUUUUUGUAAUUUUCCUUCCACCCUACUAUAUUUCGCUUUUAUGUUUUAAGUACGUUUCAGCGUUUCACUUUCCCCAAAAUUCUCAGACAGAGGGAAAGAAAAGAAAGAAGAAAACCCUCAAUACGAUCAACAGCCGUAAAAACCCUAGCAUUCUAAAUCGACGGAUCCUAAACCCUGAAUAUUUUCCAAUUUCUUUUUACCGAAAGCCAAAAUUCACAAGUCAUUAUCAAUUCUUCGUGGUUUCCACCAUGUUUUCGCUUUUGAUUUGUACUCUUUUUCUUUUUUAAAUUCAGAUUACAGAAUCCUCAAAUUCCCCCAUAUGAUAACUUACUAUAAUUUACUUCCUUUUAAUAUGUAGAAAUCCUAAAUUAUUGUUACUUUCAUCGGGUUUUUUUUUGUGAUGGAGUCAAAUCCAGUGGUUUUCGAUAUAAGCUCCGACGACGACGAUGAGGUGGCGUCGGGUUUGGAAGAGUCUAAAGGGGAUGACUACGACUGGUUUUCGGAAGUUCUGGAAGCCGUUAAUAAGGGUUUCGACGAUUCCGAUGAGGUGGUGGUGAUCGGGGAGGUCAACCCUAAUAAGAAGUCGAAGACACGGAACUCAUCGGUGAGGAAGGAUGUUACUGAAGAAGACGAUGAUUGUAUCGUUUUGGAAGGUGACCCCGAAAAGGCGGUGUCCGAUGUUAAUGAUUACCAUGAUGAUUCUGAUGAGUUGCUUGUUGUCGGCCACAAAGGGCAGGUAAAAUAUUGAAAUUUUAAUCACUAUUUUGUUGUUUGAACUUUUGUGUUUAGUGGUUUUUGUGAUUAAGUACAUUGAUGGAGUUUCAUUUUUAUAUGUUUGGUUGCUGAGAAAAUUUGAACAAAUCAAUCUCUAUGUGGUUUCCAGUAGUUCCUAGUGAAAUUUGUCUACGAUGUAUGCUAAGGAAGGGAAUAUAGAGGUAUAGAAAUAGUUGAUUGACUUGAUUCUUAAGCAUUAUUGUUGAUAUUACUUCUGUUAUAUCUUUAUGUCCUUGCAAUGAGCAUGGCUUUGCGCAGUGUUGAAUUUUACAAUUGGGAAUAUGGUUUUUCUGAUAUCUGGGUUCUUAAAGGUGAAUGUUAAAAUUCAGUUUUGCUAUUUUUUCAGCAUUUCUUGAAUUUUUUUUUGUGUAUUUUGUUGUGGUUCUAGAUUAUUCUUUUAGUAAUUUGUCUUCUAGCUCCUGCAAUUUUGAAUGUUCAUGGCGUUUAGAGAUGCCCUUUCAACCAGCUGAAGCACCAUCAUUAUUGGAUCAUCAGUAUGUUGUGCCGUAAGUGUCAACUUGGAUGACAUGAAAGGUGAGAAUUAAGCCCUUGAAAAACUGUAAUCAUCUGUUGCAGUGAGAAAUUGCAUCUUAGUCCUUUCUGUUUGCAACUAGAUCAGUAAUUUUUGGAGAAAUAAGCUGAUCACUAGUUUUCCGGCUAAUAUUCAAGGAUUGAACUUGCUGCGAUGGAAACUACUUAGAUGGAGAACCAAAAAGUAUCAAUCUUUGUGCUCAGAUGAUCUUAAGGGUACAAUAAAUAUGUUUCAUUGAUCCUAAAUUUCCAGAUGAGCCCUUGAAAUGUCAAAAGAGUGAAAGUAUGAAUGAAGUCUCAGAGUUUUCUUAUGCGAGAUAUCUAGGAGCUGAUGUGAUAUUAGGGGCAUUUACAUGCUGCUUGCAUUACUUAGUUUUUUUUAUAUUAAUGUUGAACCUACACUUUUUGUUUUGCUUUACACAUAACAUGAAAUUUUGAAUAGCUGUCUCAUUUUUCUAUAUCAUCUGUUUGCAGGUUGCUUGCAGAGAUUUCCCCCAUCCACGACAUGAUUGUGCUAAAUUUCCAUUUAGUUCAACUUCUCAUGAUCAGCACUGUGAACUGGUAACUUUUUGAAUCUUUUAAUUUUGAGAUUCUUGAUUGUACUAUGAUUAUUCUUUUUGAAAUUGCAGUGCCAUUGCUUUGUUUGUGACGUGCGAGCACCAUGUUGUUAUUGGGGCUCAGGUAUCACUAAUACUGAUCAUUGUCAUGCCACUGAUAAAGAGGAAAUUUGGAGUACUUUGCGGAAGAAUUUCAGGCAUGGGAGAAAUGUUUCCGUGCCUCCUGUCACAUCUCAUUCUACAAUAGUGCCCCAACAUAACCAUGUGCUGCAUCGCGACAUUAUUCGGUUGACGACACAAAAUCACGUUUCCAGACCAACUCCAGUUCGAGCUUCUGGGAACUGCAUACCACAAAAUAAUGUCCCAAGGCCAUCCAUAAUUCGUGCUUGUUCGUCCUCCUCUACCAAACAUGGAGUUCCAUAUAACCCAACCGUGGGUAGCCGACAUGUUCUAAAUAGAAGCACGAUUCAGCCGCGCUCGGGUUCACAGGAGUUGCUAGGUGUGCGUAAUUCUGUAAUUCAAAGGGAUCGAGGUACUAAGACUAGGAACAUGAGUUCCCAAUUUGUCUCUUCCAACACAAUGUCCAAAAGACUAGAUACUGAAGUUCCUGCAACGGUGACCCGCAACGCAUUUGUUCCACCAGAGAACAUUGAGAACAUUAUUUCUGCUCGUGCAUCACAGUAUCAACCAGAGAACAUUGAGAACAUUACUUCUGCUCAUGCAUCACAGUAUCAACGAAAUCCUGCUUCAGUUACAACAUCAAACGAAAGGAACCCGAACCUCAUUGUCUGCCCAAACAAUUCUGAUACAAGUCUAGGAACACAUACAUAUCAGAGCUCCUCACAACCGAGAAUGGACCCCAUUUUUGCAAACUCAGCACCCUCCCUAUACCCACCAUACAAUCUGUGUGUUCCUCAGUCUAAUGUAUACAACGAUACCAGUCGUGUUCAGAAUCAAAGUCAUCCUGCAACAUAUAAUGGUUUUUCCGAUUUUGACAUUAAUUGGGUCAAUAACAUCGAUUUAAGCAAUCAACAAUCUUCUGCUGAUUAUUUACAGUUUCAAACCUCAGGGUCCACAAAUGGGGAAGGACCAUUCAAGGUAAAUGGGGGAGAUAAGUCUUAUUACAAUGAGCUUGAGAGCCUCCUUUUGGAUAACCAGUGUGCUCCUGGAGGGUCUCUUACUGCAGGACUUAAUGCACCAUCUCCUCCUGAUCAUAUACCUCUCGAAACUGGUAUGCUUUUCUUUGAUAUCGAAAGCUCUUGGGAUCGUCUAACUCGUGCAUAGAGUAGAUUAGCAUUUGCUUGUGUAUUCUCGUAUGCUUUUCUUUGAUAUUGAGACCUGGCGGGAUCGUCAUUUAGCUUGUGUAUAGCGGAUUAGCAUUUGCUACUGGAUGUUCUAAAAGAAGGUAAAGUAUGUUCCUUGCUCCACAGACCUUGAAGAAGUCAUAGUUAGGAUGCUGUUCCGCAGGGGGGAACUCGGAGCACAGAGCUUAGCUUAAUUGGUUUGUACAGUCAUCUUUAAAAACCGACAUCGGAGUUAAAAUCUUGAAAUAUGCAACUUUUUUUUUAUUUCUCAAGCUACGGUUUCCUUUGUGUGGGAAAAAAACUUAAGAGGCCGAAUGAUGUUGUACAGAAAUAUUUAAGAAUCCAAUGGUUUUAACUUAUUGAACAAUGUCCAGAAUUCAUUCCUUUCUUGAUGUUUUUGCCUUAAAAUAAUGUUUUUGGAAGAUGGACAGGGUUUGUUGAUACUAAAUGUGGUGAGAAUGUUGGUGCGGUGGAGAUUAAGAUGGUUAGAGAAGGCGAAGAAAGGAGGAAGAAGUUUGGAGUAGGGGACGAGAGAGAGGUAUUAACCUGAAUAUGGGUCAAGUGCCUAGUUGAUAACUGAUGAUUGUUUUGUUUUAAGUGGUUUGGUUGUGUGAAGCAGUGUGAGGUAUAGAUGGUGGAACCCGACAAAGUAGAUGGCGAAACCGAAAUGGUUAUAAGAGACCUUGGCUGAAUUGUGUUUCUAUUUAGGACUUGUGAACCAAAUUGCAAUUCAGUGUUUUUUCCUUGGGAGUUAAAUCUAUCAUAUACAAUAGAAUCCUAUAUUUGUUAUUUGUGUUGUAAAUUUUUAAUUAAGUUAAAAAAAAUAUUGCUCAUUACAUAAUUAUUUAUACUCAAAUUCAGAUCCACAAAUUAACCUGAGGAAGGGCUAGUUUAGCAUUGACUCUUAGAAGUAUUUUUGGGGACUAAAAACACUUUUGAGAUUAAAGUAUUGUUAAAUAAGAUAUUUUUAAACUUUUCAAAAUUGUUAGAGACAAAAUAUGUUUUGCAAAAGCAUUUCUUUGGCCAAGAGCAAAAAAUGCAGGUUUUUGUUCGAAGGAGCUUUUUAAUUUUAAAGUAUUUUUUGAGAAGUAUUGUUAAAUUGACUCGAAUUUCCACAAAACAGCAAUACCCAAAAUAUUUAAUUUUUUUAUUAUAAAAAAUCCGAAUAUCAGCCUCUCAGAGAUGAAGGAAAAGAAUUGGUUGGCUCCAAAGUUGCACCUCUUUAUCCAUGUUUCAACGCCCGUAGCUCUUACCAACGAUACUCCACUAUCUAUCCCUAAAGAAAGCUUUAUUACGAGGAAGAAGAAAAAACAAUGGUGUCAUCCUUACUUUCGCCUUUCCCCAACGUCAUUUCACAGCUUAAACUCGUCUCUCGCUCCUCUCCUCCUUUCUUUACCAGGUCUCGUUCCUGUCCUUUAUUAAUUUGAGGAAAUCCAAAUUCAAAUAGACCCCACAAAGAAAUCUUUAUUGUAUCGACAUGGAUUCAAGCACUAUAACCAUAACAAUCCCAUUCUUUUGAUGCAAGAUUGCAAUGGAGAGAGAUGAUGAAUGAGUUUGAUACCAAUUCAUCUAUGAAUUUUACAUUUCAAAAAUUAAGAACUAAUAAAUAUAUAUGUUAAAUUUUUUGUUACUUGCAUGAAAAAUUAUAGUUGUUAAGUAAAUAAAAGUAGGAAUCAAGGGUUUUUAGAAAAGAAGAACCUUUAAGCUAGUGCUUCGGAUUUUGUCAUCAGGUUUAGGAUAAGAAGAGACGGAGGCCAAGAAAUCCACUCCGACAGACCCACACCCUAGCUGUCGAUCAUGUUAACAAAAUUGAAGACAUUCAUCAAUUUUAUGAUAAUGCUUUAACAAAAACAAAGAGGGGGUAUGAAUAUACGAUAGAGACAAUAAUGCAAUUUAAAAAUAAAAAAAGCGUACGACGAUGCGAUGUUCAGGAAGUGGUGGAAGCGAUUCGGUUGACAUUUGGGCCCUGAAAUUUGAAAAAAAAAAUCUCUAGAAAUGAAGCAUUGACCAUUGAGCAAACCACAGUACCACACACAAAAUUAUCUUUGUAAAGCUUUGGGGUAUAGAGUAUGUGUCUGACAUGGGUAUUUUGGUUCGACACGAUUAUCUUAUUCGGACCUUCUUUUAGUGUAUUUUAAGUGAGCAAUGUAGUUCUUAUUUGAUCAAUGUUUCAAUUUGCCCUUCUCUGUUCAGUUUCGUUGUAGAACCUCGUAGUAGGUUAUGUUACUUGGGCUCAUGAGUGUUGGGUAUGUACAUGUGUCCAAUACGAAUAUUUUUGUUUAUCAAUUUUUUAAUUUGCUCUUCCGUCUUCCAUUUCUUUGUAGAACCUCCCAGUAGUUUGUAAGUCUCAAGUAUGGAUAUGUCUCCAACAUGAGUAUUUUCAUUUUAUUUUUUUAAGUUUUUAGCUUGUACUUGGAGAAUCCUUGGAGGGUCAUGUUUUCAUAUCCAAGUUUAGACAUGCAUUGGGCACACCUGUUGUAAGAGAAGGAUACUUAAGGAAAAUUGUAAGAGCUUGAGCUAUAUAACUAGUAGGUUUAAUUGAUUAGUUUAGCAUUUUUUUCCACAGGUUCAGGGAGGUGGGAAUGCUGGAAAUGCCUUAACUUGUGUUGCUCGUUUAGGAUUAAAUCCACGACUAAUUUCUAAGGUCUUACAUAUCUUUGUUCUUCUUUAUUUUCUCUAUCUACUUCAAUUCCACCGUGAAAUUUGACUGUUGAAUGAGAUAACACUUUUAUUGCAUCAUAUAAAUCAUUAGGUUGCCAAUGAUGCCCAAGGCAAGAGUAUAUUGGAGGAGCUUGAAUCUGAUGGAGUCGACACUUCAUUCUUUAUUGUAAGGCUUUGAGAUAUUUUAUGGCUCUUACUUAUGGGAAAGAUCCAUAGCCUACUAUUAUCAUUGCUUUUAUCUUGAUUGAUAUAAGAAGGUUAUUUGCCUCGAAGCUUUAUUCUAUUGGUAUUUUUGAAUGUUUGGAUAUUCGAUUCUAGAAAUAAUGCUCCACCCGGAUUUAUGCAAUAUAGUUAGAUCAUUUGCGUUUGUCGAUCAUGACUUGUCCAGACUCUAGAAGUUAGAAGCCAAGAAAAGAACCUAGGAACUUGGACUGUCAUAUAGUAGAGACAGACAUGGGAAGGACUGUAUUUUAUCAUACAUCACAUCAUAGAUGGCUAGAUGAGCUUUGUGCACUGGGCAGCCUUUUUUUUUCAUAUAAGACAUUUUACUGCCAUUAAAUGUCUCAUUACAACCUGGACUCCCUCUCUCUGAACUAAUUGUGUGGAUUUCAGGUUUCUGAGGAGGGGAAUUCGCCAUUUACUUAUAUAAUUGUUGACAACGAAACGUAAGCACCUGUUGCCUUAUUCCAUGCAUUAUAUAAUCAGUUAUCCUUUCAGUAAGAAGUGUAUUUCCUUGAAAAAUCCUUCUUUUCUCUCUGAUUCUGUAUAUAGGCAUUCGAGAUCUGCCUAUAGCAGGUUUAAAGCAUGGAAAAUUAUCUUCUUCAGAGUGGCUUAGAUGGCUUAAGGUCACCUUUGACCAGCUCUUUCCAUCCUUUAUUUAAAAUAGUAUUUAUUUACAUUUUCUUUGGGUGUAGAUAUAAGCCGCAACUCUUAACACUUGUGCCAAGAACCCAAAGAAAAAAAAGAAGUGUUGCUUAUGUUAAAAAAUGAAAAUAGAAAGCAUAUGUAUCCAAUCAGUUGACAUUAAACUUUCAGGAAAACUCGCACCUGUAUUCACACCCCUGGUUAUCCACCCUUGAUACCAGAUGAACUCUCACAGUCCCAAUUAUUAUCUGCUUUGGAUGGAGCAAAUAUGGUCUAUUUUGAUGGAAGACUGUACGAAACUGCUUUAAUUAUUGCAAAAGAGGUACAUUUUCUUUUUCUUGUUCUACUUAAUAGUAUCAAAGCAGAUGAAAUUAAGAGUUAUCAUAUGGCUAGGAGAUGUCUUGCUCCUCCUUCAUUUUGCUUGGAGUAUAUGUUUUUGACAUUUAUUGGGACAUGAGAUAUGAGGAUAUGAAACUAUCAAGUACCCUCUGAAUACAUGGAAAAACUUGGAAAAAAAUGAACAAAUCCUUGUCGGAUACUUAAAGAUUAUUCUUCUUAUUUGGUAACCAUUGGAUUUUCCUUAUUUUAGCUUCUUUGAUUAGCUUUACCUUCAACUUAUUGCAUAUUCGAUGCUGGCAGUUUUUCCGUGAUUGCUAGAAUAUUAAGUCGUUCCUCCACAUUCUUCAUCAUUAAUAUCAACUGAUAGCAAGUCAAUAGCACUCUUUUGUAUGUUUCCAGUACAGGCAGCUUGCAAAAAUAUUCCAAUAUUAGUCGAUGCAGAAAGGGAAAGGGAAGGUUUAGAUGAUCUUCUGAAUUUUGCUAGUUAUGCUAUAUGCUCAGCAAGAUUUCCGCAGGUAAGUUGAUCUUUUGAUGGAUCACUAUAUGGUUCUUUUACAUUGAAGUUCCCCACAGAUAACUUGGUUUUGCAAACAUGUGUCAAAAUUUAAUGAAAUGCCCUACAACUCUUAUCCAAUCUCCAUAGAAUCCUUUUUCCAUAAUCUUUUAUAAGUGAUGUCUUCAUCCUUAUCUUUAGGAACUUAUUUUGUCAUUAUUAGUUAAAUCUAUUUUAGUUUCUCACUCAAUUGGUAAUUUGGAUAUUUAAUUGUGGCCUGGUUCUUUAAUCUUUAGUUACAAAGAUGAUAUACAUGUGCAUUGCCACUGAUAUUUGUUAACUCAGUUGAUUUUCUUUUGGCACGUAUUAUGAACUUCUGAUGAAAAAGGCGUGGACAAAGGCUCCAUCUCUUCCAAGUGCACUUCUUUCUAUGCUUCUGAGAUUGCCAAACUUAAAAUUUGUGAUUGUGACACUGGGUGAAGAUGGAUGCAUAAUGCUCGAAAGAAGUGUAAAUGGUAAAUAUCAUAUGAAAUGGAACUGUAAUCUUGUUGGAACCAUAAAAAAAAUCGAUACUUGCUUGAUUCAUUUGAAUUUGCAUUUUUUACAGGUAUUCUCUACUAUGUUUGCAGGUGGUUCCGAUGCUGAAGAAAUUGAUAUUCACGGUUUAUUGGAAUCACUGAACCAGAGAAAAGAUGAAAGCAAGACCAUACCAACAUGUAUCUCAUCGGUAAUAUACAAAGCAAAGGACUUUAUAAUUGGCUUACAUAUUAUAUCUCAUCAGGAAUACAGUUGCACGAUAUGAACUUCACUGUCUUAAAUCUUUUUCUAGAUUUGUGCUCUCAAUUCAGGAGCAUGCCUCUGAUUCAUGUUGCUAUUUUACACUACAUUACUCUUACUCUUCAUUUCUCUUGAAAUACUUGUGUCCAGACUUGUGUCUGACACACUUUAUGGGGAUAUGCCACACCAAAGGCUCUUUAAAUACAAGAAAAGCUUAGAAAAAUUGAAUAUAUUCAUGCCAGACAUAUACCUGUUUCCAGCACUCACAACUAUUCGAGUAAUAUUUUCUCUAUUAUAUUGCAUAUGUUUAUAUACAGCUCAUCUUAUAGGAUUGCUGCUACAGGUAGUUCAUCUUUCUGAUACUUUAGGAUUUUAAGUUUUCAAUGGAACCCAUUUAAUCUCUGCCGUGAUCUAAUGUUGCUUGAAUCCGAGUUCAAAGUUAUCUCUUCCUAAAUCUAGUUUGCAAGAGUUCUCCGGAGCUACUUCUGGCUUCUGAAAUUCUAUUCUCUUAUAAGUGGCAAUUAUGAACUUCUGUUUCAUCUUCCAGAUUUUUAUUUGCUAGAUGGCUCCCCUUGUAGGUGGUUACCAAAUUGAGUGCAAAUGGGAUAGGAACAGUAUUUGGUCGGCUAUUUAUUGGAACAGCUGAAAAGAUUCCACCAUCAGAACUUGUUGACACAACCGGUGCCGGAGAUGCAUUUAUUGGAGCAGUAGUUUAUGGUACAUUUAUCCCUUCAGACCUCAUUAGUUCCAACUUUUGUUUUCCGAGAGAUUAAACAUAUUUAUGUUUAAUUUGAAAGUUGCUAGAAAUAGGUAGCUAAGGUUUUUUUUGCUUUAAAGGUUCUCAUAUUUGUCUUGAUCUCAACCAUCCUUUGUUCCAAAAGUGCAUAACUAUUAAUUAGCAAUAAACCUGGCAGAAAUCUCAGAUUCUUCUGUAUAGCACUCGAUUAAGGUGAAGGUGAUUGUGUGCGUAUAUAAGAUGAACCCUUCAUCAACAGUUUCAUCAGUUAGUGAGGUUUCUUCUAUUAAUCUAUGCACAACUUAUAGCCUUACCGGAAACUUCGUGUCCUCACAGCUGAACUAGUAUCAUUUUAUGGGGAAUCAUACAACAUCAUUUCAUUCACCUUACAUUUUCUUAGACUAAUGUAGUCUGCAACAUUUUGCAAUUCGUAACCUGGCCAGAUGGGUCAUUCACUUUGAAAGAGCAUCAUUUCUUCCAUUAUUUCCGCAUUGGUCCUUUCAUUUUCUAUUUAUGGAUUAAGCCAUUUACGAGGUUGAUGACAACCCAUUUUUUGUUUUUAGCUCUCUGUGCGGGCAUGCCACCAGAGAAGAUGUUACCAUUUGCUGCUCAAGUGGUAAGCGGAUUUACUCUUUGUUAAUUAGCUGCUAAAAUUUCUAAUUGCCAGGAGAUGUUUUUAUUUUCCUUACCUAUUUUCGAGGCUUCAAUGCAGGCUGCAUCUGGCUGUAGGGCUUUGGGAGCCCGAACGGGUCUUCCACACAGAACAGAUCCACGCUUGGCGACCUUCUUGUGACAUGUCAACUAUGUUAGAGGUUAAGUAAAUUGAAACUUUGCCCUACAACAAAGAGCAUUGAUAUUGCCAUGACAAACUUCUGUAAGCUUUACUUUCAUCAACAUCAUAACAUGGUCCCUAGUACAAGCUAAGACAUCCUUUUAUAUAGAGCAAAGGGUUAUAUAUAUAUAUAUAGAAAUACAACCUUCUUUGCCUACAUUAGACUUCUGGUCUUAAUUCACUUAUGUUACACUUAAUAUUACAGGUCAUGGUCCCAGAGAGGAGUUAUGAAUCUCACAUUGACAGUGUACUAGAGUUUGAUUGAAGACUCACAAAGUGGGAGACACUUUAUGCGAACAAAAUUGUGAGGCAUAAAUGACCGAAUCAGAUAAUUGCUUGUAAUUUGAUGUGAAAGCUUAUUGAAAUUGGGUUUGGGUUAUUAGUGAUGAUAGUGAGGUGUCAUUGGAGUGGGGGAUGUUACGGUCUUAGACAGCAACCAUCAAUCCUCCUACCCCCAUUUGUUGGAAUUACAUUUCAUUUGCAAUAUAAAAAUAUAUUCACAAAUAUCUAUAAGCAU
rnacentral:lncRNA from 1 species